rnacentral:lncRNA from 1 species
GGAUGUAAUAGUUUAGUUACUCAAGAUAUCACAAAUUGUCCCACAAAUAAGUUUCAUAAUUGUCCCACAAAUAUGUUCCAUAAUUCAUAUAACACUAUCAUACAAAAUAUACUGUUCCGAGGCAUGCUCAGACCAUCAAAGUAGACGUAAUAAAAUAUUAAAUCACAGCAUGUUGCAUCACGACUCCAAAUUCACAUCACAACGGUUCAAGGAUUAGUAGCAGCCGCAGGCAUGUCCUUCGCAACGAAAGGCAAAGUUGGCUUAGGGAAAUCGGGGAGAUGAGGCAAUUCGGGCACUUCCGGCAAUUCCGGCUUCGGUAUUGUUGGUAAUUCAGGCUUUGGCAGUUCCGGAAGUGGCGGCAAUUCAACUUUUGGCAGUGAUGGCAAUUCUGGCUUUGGCAGGCUUGGGAUGUCGGGAAGGUGUGGCAAUCCGGGCUUCGGCAGUUCGGGCACCUCGGGCAACGUCUCCUCCAAAAUUCGGCUAGCUCCAACCGAGUUCUCGCCGGUCAUCAAGGACAAAGCAAAGACAAACAAUGCCAAAAGAUGCACAAGUCCGCGAUAGUUCGCCAUCGCAGGACCGAUCGACAAGCAAAUUUAAAAACUUCAAGUGAAGAAUCGAUGGAUCUCAAAUGAGGAGGUGCAGGUGUGCUUGAGCAAUGGCUUGAUGGAGGGUUUAUAAAGAGGAGGGACGUGGGGAUUAGGGAGAUUACAAGUAUGGUUUGGUGGGACUUUGUCGAAGUGUUAGUUCAACUUCUAGACCAAUCUCAUUUUCGUAUGUUCAACAACAACAUGGAGCAGAUAAUUCCAGAAAGGACCUUGCCAAUUAUUGGCUUUCAACGCUUGUAACCAUCAGUCGUGCUGGUAUUAUAGCUUUUGUUUUGGUUUUCCUAUAAAUCGUUAAUUGGUAACCGUACUACAAUCAUGAACUACGAUCAUUGUAAAUGAUAUCCUAAAAAUGACCAUCCCGAUACACGCACAUAUAUAUAGCUGAUUUACAUAUGAAAUUAAAAACUGAGACUAGGUAAAACUAUCUAACGUCUUGAAAUAUCUUUUCCGCAAUUCAUCUCAUGUGAUGGAAUGAUAGCCAAGCUUGCAAGGUUUUUCAAUUAUUUGAUAAAUUUAAGACUAUGUUCUUUGACUAGUAGUACACGUGAUUGAUGAACGAAUAAAAGAUCAUCAAAUAUUUGAUAACCAACGCAAUACUACCAUAGAAGUCUCAAAACAUAUCUCAAAUAUGAUGUAAUCGUAUGCUUUUAUGGAGCAGAAUAUAAAGUAUAUAUGUAUCUAUUACGGACCAGUUUGAAAUUGGUCUACUAUAUUAUAAUGACAUUCGAAAAUUAAAUGAAAAACUACUUUUCUUACCGAAAUUGAAUCUUGAGAAUUUUUCAAGGAAACUAAAAAUAUAAAGAAAAUACUCAAAAAAUUCUUAACCGGAAUACAUAUGUGAAAAGUAAGUCCAUUCAAUUUAACGAGAAAGACUCUUUUCUUUUCCAAAUAGAUUGAUAAGACUUUUUGCGGAAAAUAACAAUUUAAAGGAAAGUAUCUUAAGUCUCAAUCUAAAUAUAUUUAGGUGAUACUGUGUAGUAUUACAUAUAGAAAGAAGUCUUUUUAUUUUUUUCAAGGAAAUUUUGAGAGAGAAGAUUAUUAAAGAUUAACAUGUAUAUCAAAUAUUAUAUAAUGUAAUAAGUAUUGAAAUUAACUUCAUGGGAAUGAGAAAAUGUUUUGAUUAUUAAUUUAAGUAAAAUUGACUCUAUGAGACUCGAUAUGUGAUGUGGUAUAAAAAAGAAAAAAAAUGUAAAUAUAUCUAUAUUUGAGAGAGAGAGAGAGAGAGAGAUAAACUUUUCACUCGAAUUAGAAGUUGGAGCUAAAUAGAUUGACAUUAGGCGAAACAAUAUAUCAAGAAUAGAAAAAAAAAAUGAUCUAUAACGGCAAAGUUGUCUAUACAAUACAAUGUAUGCCAUGUUAUAGAAAACAUCGAUAAUAUUUAACAUAUAUCGAUACUAUAACAUAGAGCUUAAAAUUACUUCAAUUCAAUUCAAUACAAAAUGAAAUAAAAACAAACAUCAGAGUUGAUAUUACUUAAUUGAAGAAUGAUGAUUGCUUGAAACAUGAAAAAAUAGUUGUGUCAAAUUAAAAGGGAAAAUACUCUAUGAUAAAUUCAAGGGAAAAUUCCAAAAAGGUACCCGAAAUACCCUAUUUUUUUCAAAUAAGAGCCUAAAGUGAAUCUUAUUUCAAAUAAGGACUGAAGUGCAUUUGUUUUCUCAAAUAAGGGUUUAAAGUGGAUGUUAUUUCAAAUGAGGACCUAAAGUAAUUAUGUUUAUUUCAAAUAAGAGCAUGAAGUGGCUAUAUCCGUUUGAAAUAAGAACCCGUCUUUCUAGCGAUCAAUGGUAUUUUCGUCAUUUGUCAUUUGUCCAUUUUUUUUUUUUUUUUUUCCAUUUUUUUGACUAGCUCUUGUUCCUCUUCGCCAAUGGCCAGCCGGCCAUUGGCAAUGCCCACAAAGGGCUGAGCAAGAGAGUGAGGGUCACCACACUCAAGCAAGGCUGUCCGUCACUUGUGGGCAGGGUGGGUGGCCCUUGCUGGUGGGGGCGACCCUCGCUUAGCCCUUUGUGGGCAUCACUGGCAAAAAGGAAGAAGAAUAACCAAAAGAAAAAAAGGAAAGAAAAAAAAAGUGAAAUGCAAAAUGACAAAAAUACCCUUGGCUGGUUGGAAAAUUUAGCCACUCAGCGAUCGGCGAGAUCAGGUCUUUAUUUGAAACAACCAAAGCCACUUCAGGCCCUUAUUUGAAACAACUAAGGCUACUUUAGGUUCUUAUUUGAAACAAAAUCCAUUCCGGGCCCUCAUUUGAGAAAACAAUAACACUUCGGGUCUUUUUUUGAAAUUUUCCCUAAAUUCAAUUGAAGUAAAUAAGAUGUUCAAUAAGUGGAUUUAUAAUUUAUAUGUAAGAUAAAUGAACCUAUAUCACUCGAUCCUAUAACAAACAUGUAAUUUUGCUUAUUUUUCCUUCAAAUAUUUAAAUUCUAUGAUAAGUUAAAUGUGUAUAAAGUAGAUAAUGAGUUUUAAUAAAUAUAAAUUUGAUAUAUUUUGAAAUAUAAAACACAUGAAGCAUCAGAAAGUGUACUAGUUGUUUAAGAAAGAGUAACUAUAGCAUACUCCGUCGGUGUAAAAGAAGAGUUACACAAGAUAUCAUAAACUAUCAUACGAAUAAGUUCCAUAAUUCAUAUCACAAACUGUCAUACAAACGACUAUAUAUGGCAUAUAACAUUCUGAGGUGAACACUGACCAUUACAAUAGAAGUAAUAGAAUACUAAUUCAUAUCAUAUCGAAUCCCGACUACAAGUUCACAUCACAACGGUUCAAGGACUAGUAGCAGCGAUAGACGUGUCCUUCGAAACGGCAGGCAAUGUUGGCUUAGGGAAAUCGGGAAGGUGAGGCAAUUCAGGCACUUCUGGCUUUGGUAAAGUUGGAAAUUCAAGCUUUGGAAGUUUGGGCACUUCCGGCAAUUCUGGCUUCGGUAUUGUUGGAAAUUCAGGCUUUGGCAGCUCGGGAAGUGGCGGCAAUUCGACUUUUGGCAGAGAUGGCAGUUCUGGUUUUGGCAGGCUUGGGAUAUCGGGAAGCUGAGGCAAUUCUGGCUUCGGCAGUUCAGGCACUUCAGGCAACGUCGCGUCCAAAAGUUGGCGAGCUCCAACGCGGUUCUGGCCGAUUGUCAAAGACAGAGCAAGGACAAACAAUGACAAAAGAUUAGUGAGUCUGCAAUAGUUCGCCAUCGUGGAAUUGAGCGACUAGCAAACCGAAAAACUUUGAGUGAAGAAGCGGUGUGUUUGAGCAAUGGCUUGAUGGAGGGUUUUUAAAGAGGAGGGACGUGGGGAUUGGGGAGAUUACAAGUAUGUUUUGGUGGGAAAAAUAAUCUAAGUGUUGGUUCAACUUCUAAACCAAUCUCAUUUUCUUUUGUUCAACAACAAGAUGGAGAAGACUCCAAAAAGUUAUCUUGCCACUUCUGGGCUUUCUAAGUCUGUAACUAUCAGCUGUGCUAGAUUUCUCAGCUACGCGGGAAAAAGAAACGAAAGGAGAUGGUUCAUGAUUUCACUCUAUGUACAAUAGUAGGACGAAGUCCGGAGUUUUGGUUGAAGAAGUCAAUAAUUUAAGGAUAAAAAUCUAAGUUUUGUUAGCGAUCAUUGUACAUGAAAUGCAUACUCAUCUAAAACUUGUCUAAAUUUAUUAAGUGCAUUUAAUAAAUUCAUUAACCUUCUCUUAAGUUUUCCGUUCCCUUUCUCUAUUAUAUCCAUUCACGUGCACUCAAUACUUUUCAAUUUCAAUUUUUAUGUAUCCAUUUGCAUGCUAGAGUUAAGGACGAUGGUCACUUACAUUCAAUUUGUUUGUUUUUUUUUUUUUUUGGGGGUAUGCCUGGCCUUUUUUUCACCUAUAAGAGGGUAGAAUAUUUGUUAUUCUGGUCUUUAUGUGCAUUUCAUCUCCUUUUUUUCUCCUCAGAAAUGGGUCUUAGUUGCAAAAUUAAUUCAUCAGAAAUCGAUUUUUCUUUUUCCAAUUUGAUCUUGACUUGCUAUUGAAUGGAUAAUCGGUUAUCAUCACUCCCAAUUAGAUUAGAAAUAUGACUACAUCUCAAUAUAUCAAUUUACAUCCGAACUGUAAAAAAUGAGACUCGGCAAUAAUCUAUUUCUUAUGUAUGGAUCAUCUUUCUUACCGGUAUCUCGAAAAGCAAAUGAUUUUUUUUUUUGGCAUAAACAUUUUUGUUGAGUGUCUUAAAAAAUUAACUACAUUUAAAAAUGCAAAAAUACAAAGAGAUAAGAGGAAUGGUGAGGGAUUUUGAUUUCACAUGAAUUAGCAAAAACGAUUGAGAAUUUAUGAGCUGAAACUUAUUGAGAACUUAUGGGCUAAAACUUUCUUCUAUGCAAUCCAUCUUAAAUGACAAUAUAAUAGCCAACCUGGCAAGGCUUUUUUUUCUUUUUUAAACUAUUUAUGAAUUUUAUAUUAUGCUUUCCAGAUAGUAGUGUACGUAAUUGAUGAACAAACAAAAGAUCAAAAAAAUAUUUAAUAACCGACUUAAUACUACCAUAGAAGUUUCAACACAUAUCACAAAUAUGAUAUAACCAUAUUCUUGCAUGUGGUAGCUUAUUAACUAUAAAUGUAUCUAUAACACACGGGUUUGAAAACUAGUCUAAUAUAUAAUAGGGGCUUCUGAACAUUAAAUGCAUUCAAUUUAAUGAGAAACAUUCUUUUCUUAUCCAAAAUGAAGUUUUAGAUUUUUUUUUUCCCUUGACAUAGAAUUAGUCGCAGAAAAGAGUGGGAAUAUGCGAAACAAGAUCCAAGAAUAGAAAAAAAAAUGAUUUAAUAACAGUAAAGUUGACUAUGAUCUGCAUAAUAUAUUAUUUGAUAGAAAAAGUACAUAAUGACUAACAUGCAUCAACACCAUAACAUAUAGCGAAAUAUUACUUUGGUUUAAUCAGAUACAAAAUUUAGUAAAGUACAAAUAUUAGAGUUGAUUUUGCUUGACCAAAGAAUGACGAUUGCUUAAAAAUGACAAUAUUUGUGCCAAAUUAAAAGGAAAAAUAAUCUACGGUAGUUCAAUUUUAAUAAAGUAUGAUAUAUAAGAUGUUUGAUGACUUAAAGUGUAUUUAUAAUUUGUAUGUAAGACAAGUGUACCUAUCUCAAUCCAUCAUACAAUAAAAGACGCAUUUUUCUGAUUUUUUCUUCAAUUGUUUAGAUUAUGUCACCGUUAUCACUCUAAAAUUUUAAAUUCCCAUAUUAGUUAGAAGUGAAAAAAGUGGACAAGGAAGUAACAUAGAUUUCUUCUAUUUUGAAAUAUUAAACUCGUACAGAACAUAAGGGAGUGCACUAGCUAUAUUAAAAAGAGUAAUAAUAGUAUACACUAUCGAUGUAAAAAGAUAGUUACACAAAACAUCACAAACUGUGAAGGAGUUCCAUAAUUCAUAUCACUAAAACAAGUAUUGUAUAGUGUUCUGAGGUAUGCUCAGACCAUUAAAAUAGAAGUAAUAAAAAACUGAAUCGCAUCAUGUUGUAUAACGACUCCAAAUUCACAUUAAUGGCUCAAGGGCUAGUAGCAGCGACGGCUGUGUCCUUGGGAAUCGUGGGAACGAAAGGCAAUGUUGGCUUGGGAAAAUCAGGAAGAUGAGUCACUUCGGGCACUACCGGCAAUUCCGGCUUUGGUAUUGUUGGAAAUUCGGGCUUUGGUAGCUCAGGAAGCGGCGGCAAUUCGACUUUCGGCAGUGACGGGAAUUCUGUCUUUGGCAAGCUAGGGAUGUCAGGAAGUUGAGGUAAUUCGGGCUUCGGCAAUUCCGGCACUUCUAAGGACUCCGGCUUCGGUGUUGCUGGAAAUUCAGGCUUUGGUAGUUCAGGAAGCGGUGGCAAUUCGACUUUCGGCAAUGAUGGGAAUUCUGGCUUUGGCAAGCUAGGGAUGUCAGGAAGGUGAGGCAAUUCAGGCUUCGGUAGUUCGGGCACUUCGGGCAAGGUCGCCUCCAAAAGUCGGCGGGCUCCAACUGGCUUCUCACCAAUCAUCAAAGACAGAGCGAGGACAAACAAUGCCAAAAGGUGCGCGAGUCCAUGAUGGUUCGUCAUUGGAGAAUCAAUCGACUAGCAAAUUCAAAAGCUUUGAGUGAAGAAGCGGCGAAUCUCGAGUGAGAGAAGGUGCAGGUGUGCUUGAGCAAUGGCUUGAUGGAGGGCUUAUAAGGAGGAGGGACGUGGAGGAUUGGGGAGAAUGCAAGUAUGGUUUGGUGGGAAUAUUAUCAAAGGGUUAGGUCAACUUCUAAACCAAUCUCAUUUUUGUACGUUCAACAGCAAGAUAGAGCAUAUUAUUCCAAAAGGAGCUUGCCAAUUCUUGGCUUUUCAGGCUUCUGACUACCUGUUGAGGUGAGAAAGAGGGAGAGAAAAGAAAAGAAAAGAAAUGGUUUAUGAUCUCACUAUGUACAACAGGACUGGAGUCUUGGAGUCUUAAAAUAUUGGAGAAGCCAAUAAUGUAAGAGCAAAAUAAUAAAUAUUGUCAGUGAUCAUUAUUCAUGGAAUCUUUACUUGAUGCAAGGAUUACUCAAGUUUUAAGCAUGUAUGUUUUCUUUUGAGGCCUUGGUUCAAAUCCCUACAAUUGUGCAUUAUUUUCGAUGAUCUUUGAGAACAUAGGCAUGUAUGAAUCCGAUUAUCUCUCUAAUUGUGUGGGAUAAAACUACUCUUGCUGGAAAAAACAAAACUUUAGGUGACAACUUUUUGGGGACAGACAUAAAAGGAGAUCCUUAAAUAGAGUUUCUAGUUAGGGGUGAGUAGUUCUAAGGAUGGUUUAGGUUUCAACUUUCUUGGAACUUGAAAUUUACCUUAUUAAGACCGGUUUCCCAGUUUUUGAAACUUAAAACCUAUCAUGUAUAUCUUAAAAUUUGUGACCUGCUCUAUCAAUCGAAUCCAAAGUCUAUUAAGGAACCGGCUGAUUUCUCUUUUCUUUUCUUUUUCUUUUUUUUUUCUUGUUUCAUUUUAGUCAGCAAUAGAGAGAACAUAACAACAAAAAUCAUCAUUUGUCAAUAACAAUGAUCUAUAAAAUAUUAGCACCUAAAAUAAAAUAAACAAUAAAAAGUUGAAAACGCAUAAUGUAGAAUCCAAAUUUCAUGCUCUCAAAGGAGUCAAGAACCAUGAUAAAAACCAAGGAUUCGAAUGAAGGAACCUUUUUUUUCAUUUGAGCCUCGUGUAAUACCGUUCAUGUCAUGCUCUAUUUUAGGAUUACCUUGGUUCUUGUUCUAGUUCUUUGAUUUUCAGUCUGAUUCGUCGAUUCUUAGUUCAAUUCUAUUCAAUUCUUAAGAAUCGCAUAGAACAAGUUCCAAAAAAUGUGAAACCGAAAUUUGGAGCAUGCCCUUUAGAACCUAGAGACAGGUCGAUUCCCAUGACCUGUUUGGUCUUUCUUGAUUAUACUUGGGAAAUUUGCUCACCCCCAACUUCUUGUUCCGUCCCUACGGAAAUAUUGAAUGAGCCGUCGUUAAUGGUAAUAGUGUAAAUGAUUUAGUUUGGUUCGGUUUUUUGGGAAAACGGAACCAAACCGAACCGAUAAAGAAAUUUAUUGAAUCAAACUGAAAUUCCAUCCAAAUCGAAACCGAAUCGUCAAUGACAAAGCAAGGACAAAUAAUGCCAAAAGAUGCGAGAGCCCGCAGUAGUUCGCCAUCGUAGAACCAAUAUACUAGCAAAUUGAAAAACUUCGAGUGAAGAAGUGGAGGAUGUCAAGUGUAAAGGUGCAGGUGUGUUCGAGCAAUGGCUUGAUGGAGGGUUUUUAAAGAGGGACAUGGGGAUUGGGGAGAUUGCAAGUAUGUUUUGGAGGGAAAAUUAUCGAAGUGUUCGUUGAACUUCCAAACCAAUCUCAAUCUCUUUUGUUCAACAACAAGAUGGAGCCGAUAAUUCCAAAAAGGAUCUUUAUAUUCUUGGCAUUUUUAAGCUUGUAACUGCGAGUUGUGUUGGACUUCCUAGCUAGGAGGGAAAGACAAAAGAAAGGAAAUGAUUUAUGAUCUCACUCUAUGUACAAGAGGACGAAGUCCAUAGCUUUGGUCAGAGAAGUCAACAAUGUUGAGAGUAAAAUCUAAGUUUUGCCAAUGAUAAUUAUACACGAAAAGUAUUCUUGAUGUAAGGAUUGCUUAAGUGGUAGGCAUAUUCCUUCUCUUUCUCUGAUAAUUUCAUAAACCUAUGUAUCUGGUAAUUUCUUGAUAUGCGUGGGACAAGGCGGCAGCCACUGUUAAGGCUACCAUUUUGGGCCUCAAUAGAGAAGCUUAUGGUCAAGUUGAGGGUAAGGCCACCACCUUCGGAGGGAGUUGGUGGCGUACAAGCCGACUUCGGAGGAGAUGCUAAUUGCUUCCUGAAAAAGUGAGGGUUUAAGAUCCAUGAAAUUGCGAAGUUAAGAAGGAGAAGACUAAGUGGUAAAGAGAUUGAAGAACUGCCACCCUCGGAUGAAACUAAUGAUCGAAUGAAACAAUUCAAUUGGGUAAGCGUAGGACUCUGAGUCGAGAGCACCAAAGACAUCAAUCAAUUGGAUGGGGGAGAAUAUCAUGGACCGGAGGUUCUCAAGGUGCAAUAGGCUGAGGCGGUGGCCAUGUGACCGGGGGUGCCUUAGAUUUAGAGAAGCCUUGUCAUUAAUGGAGGUAUGUGGUAAAUGAAGAGAUAUAUAACUUUUUGUAUAUCUCCACUUUUUUCAUCCUAGGAAAAAUAGGUAUUCAUUACUCUGGUCUUUAUGUGUAUUUAAUUCUCUCUUUUCCUCUUCCCCUCAAAAAGGGCGGUCCUAGGGGCGCAAUCAAUUCGGGAGAAAUUAGUUUUUCUUUUCUUUAUUUGAUCUUGACCUGCAGUUGGAUGAAUAUUUGGUUAUUAUCCUUCUAAAUAAUAUGCUGAAUAUUACUAUAUCUCAAUAAAUAUAAACGCUGAUUCACAAUGAAAAAAAAUAAGAAUUGGUGAUCAUCUAUUCCUUAUGUAUGGAUCAUCCUUCUUAUCAGUAUCUAGGAAAGCAAUUGUUUUUUUUUUCUGGCAGAUAAUUUUUUUAUUAAUUCAAAUUCAUAUAUAUAUAUAUAUAUAUAUAUAUAUAUAUAUAUAUAUAUUUUGAGCAAGUCAAAUUCAUAUCUGUUAAGUGACAGCAAAAGUUAACUAUACUUCAAACAGAAAUACAUCGAGCCAAACGAAAAAUUGGUGAGGGAUUCUUUAUUUAUAAGAAGUAGCAAAACUGAUUUAGAUCUUAUGUCCUGAAAUUAUCUUUUGUGAUCCGUCUCAUCUUAUAACAUAAUGUUCAAGCUCGCAAGGUUUUUCACAGUUCGGGUAUUGGUGUCCCCGUAGGCUUAUACAAGGUUUUUUUUUGUAAUAGUAAGCUUAUGGAAAUAUAUAUAUAUAUAUAUAUAUAUAUAUAUAUAUGUAACUAUAUUUGUACAAUAAGGAGAGAAAUUGACUUUUUCGCUUGAAAUAGAAAGUGUAACAGAAUAGACUAACAAUAUGCGAACUGGUCAAUAUCAUGAAAAACUAUAAACUGAUACAUUUGUGAUAAGUUUACUUCUAUCUAAUUAUUUGGCCACAAAAAACUCCAACCAAUACACUUAUGACAAAUUUACCUAAAAUUAAUAUUUUGACCAUGAAAACAUUUAAAUUGGUACACCUAAAAUAAAUUUACCAAAAACUAAUUUUUUGACCACUAAAAAUCUCAAAUUGAUAUACACCUAACAAAUUUACCCAAACUAGUUUUUUGACCACUAAAAAACCCCAAAGUGGUAUAUAUAAGGCAAAUUUCUUCUAUAUUAGCUUUUCUUAAACUGGAUUAACACCAUGACAAACCACAAACUAAAACAGACCGGGGGGGGGGGGUAAUAUCCCAAACUAAUAUUUUUUUCAACCAUCACGUAUCAUCUAACUUAGUAAUUUAAUAGUGAAAUUUAAAAUAAAAUAAUGGAUGGUAAAUUUGUUAUAAGUAUAUUAGUUAUGGUUUUAGUUUGGGAUAAAUUUAUCACAUGUGUACUAGUUUGGGGUUUUUAGUGAUAAAAAAAUUAGUUAAGGAUAAAUUUAUCAAAAGUGUAUCAGUUUAGUGUUUUUAAUGUACCCGUUUGGAGUUUCUAUUCUUGAGAAUAGGAAAAUAGAAAAAAAAAGAAAGAUCUAUCAAUAAAAUUGACUAUACCAUAUACAAUAUAUUAUGUGAUAGGGAACACGUAUAUAUUAAUUAACACUCGUCAAUACUUUAAUAUAUAGCGUAUAAUUACUUUGGUUCAAUCCAAUAUGAAUUGCAGUGAAUAAUUUUUUUUAUUUAUUACCUAAUUAAAGAAUGAUGAUUGGUUGGAAAACGACAACAUAGUCAUGUCAAUUUUAGAAAUAUAUAUAACUCAUGAUGAAUUCAUUUUAAGUAUACAUAUAAGACAAACGAACCUCCAUUGUUACGAACGGUUGAUAUAUUGAAAAAUCUCAAACUAGUACACAUGUGAUAAAUUUAUCUUAAACUAAUUUUUUGACCAUGAAAAACCCCAAAUUGGUACACCCGUGAUAAAUUUACCCCGACUGAUCAUAAAAAAAAAAAAAAUCUCAAAUUAGUACAUUUGUAAUAGAUUUAUCCCAAACUAAUUUAUUCGAUCGCCAAAAAACCCAAAUCGGUACAUUUGUGACAAAUAUACCCUCUAUUAAGUUAGAUUAAUAUCAUAAAAAAAUCACAAAAAUUGUAUGAUGGUAACAAAUGGAGAAUAAAAUCUCAAAUUGGUAUACCAGUAAAUUGCCGCAUGUCAUUCAAUUUAGUAAUUUGAUAGUAAAAUUUAACGGAAACAAAUAGAGAGUAAAUUUAUCACAAAUAUACUAGAUUUGGGUAUAUUUGUUAAAGGUAUACCGGUUUAGGAUUUUUGCUAAAAAAAUUAGUUUGUGGUAAAUUUGUUACGACUGUACCAGUUUGGGGUUUUUCAAGAUAUUAACCCAAUAAUGAAUGACGCAUUUUAUUUUUCUUGAUUUUUUCUUUGAUUAUUUGAAUUUCAUAAGUAUUGUCAUUACUAGAACUCAUAUAAAUUAAAUUUUCAUAUUAGUUAUAUGUGAAACAAGAUAAGGAGUUUCAGCAAACAUGAGUUUCAACAAAUUUGGAAAUAUAGAACUCAUGUGAAGCAUGCUCGAGUGCACUAGGUAUUUAAGAAAGAGUAAUUAUAGCAACUCCGUCGGAUGUAAUAGUUAAGUUACUCAAGAUAUCACAAAUUGUCCCACAAAUAAGUUUCAUAAUUGUCCCACAAAUAUGUUCCAUAAUUCAUAUAACACUAUCAUACAAAAUAUACUGUUCCGAGGCAUGCUCAGACCAUCAAAGUAGACGUAAUAAAAUAUUAAAUAACAGCAUGUUGCAUCACGACUCCAAAUUCACAUCACAACGGUUCAAGGAUUAGUAGCAGCCGCAGGCAUGUCCUUCGCAACGAAAGGCAAAGUUGGCUUAGGGAAAUCGGGGAGAUGAGGCAAUUCGGGCACUUCCGGCAAUUCCGGCUUCGGUAUUGUUGGUAAUUCAGGCUUUGGCAGUUCCGGAAGUGGCGGCAAUUCAACUUUUGGCAGUGAUGGCAAUUCUGGCUUUGGCAGGCUUGGGAUGUCGGGAAGGUGUGGCAAUCCGGGCUUCGGCAGUUCGGGCACCUCGGGCAACGUCUCCUCCAAAAUUCGGCUAGCUCCAACCGAGUUCUCGCCGGUCAUCAAGGACAAAGCAAAGACAAACAAUGCCAAAAGAUGCACAAGUCCGCGAUAGUUCGCCAUCGCAGGACCGAUCGACAAGCAAAUUUAAAAACUUCAAGUGAAGAAGCGAUGGAUCUCAAAUGAGGAGGUGCAGGUGUGCUUGAGCAAUGGCUUGAUGGAGGGUUUAUAAAGAGGAGGGACGUGGGGAUUAGGGAGAUUACAAGUAUGGUUUGGUGGGAUUUUGUCGAAGUGUUAGUUCAACUUCUAGACCAAUCUCAUUUUCGUAUGUUCAACAACAACAUGGAGCAGAUAAUUCCAGAAAGGACCUUGCCAAUUAUUGGCUUUCAACGCUUGUAACCAUCAGUCGUGCUGGUAUUAUAUAGCUUUUUGUUUUGGUUUUCCUAUAAAUCGUUAAUUGGUAACCGUACUACAAUCAUGAACUACGAUCAUUGUAAAUGAUAUCCUAAAAAUGACCAUCCCGAUACAUGCACAUAUAUAUAGCUGAUUUACAUAUGAAAUUAAAAACUGAGACUAGGUAAAACUAUCUAACGUCUUGAAAUAUCUUUUCCGCAAUCCAUCUCAUGUGAUGGAAUGAUAGCCAAGCUUGCAAGGUUUUUCAAUUAUUUGAUAAAUUUUAGACUAUGUUCUUUGACUAGUAGUACACGUGAUUGAUGAACGAAUUAAAGAUCAACAAAUAUUUGAUAACCAACGCAAUACUACCAUAGAAGUCUCAAAACAUAUCUCAAAUAUGAUGUAAUCGUGUGCUUUUAUGGAGCAGAAUACAAAGUACAUAUGUAUCUAUUACGGACCGGUUUGAAAUUGGUCUACUAUAUUAUAAUGACAUUCGAAAAUUAAAUGAAAAACUUCUUUUCUUACCAAAAUUGAAUCUUGAGAAUUUUUCAAGGAAAGUAAAAAUAUCAAGAAAGAACUCAAAAAAUUCGUAACCGGAAUACAUUUUGCGAAAAAUAAGUCCAUUCAAUUUAACGAGAAAUACUCUUUUUUUCCAAAUAGAUUGAUAAAAAUUUUCUCGGAAAGUAACAAUUUAAAGGAAAGUAUCUUAAGUCUCAAUCUAAAUAUAUUUAGGUGAUUUUGUGUAGCAUUAUGUUUAGACAGAAGUCUUUUUAUUUUUUUCAAGGAAAUUUUGAGAGAGAAGAGUAUUAAAGAUUAACAUGUAUAUCAAAUACUAUUUAAUGUAAUUAUGAAUGAGAAAAAUGUUUAUGAUUAUUAAUUUAAGUAAAAUUGACUAUAUGAGCAUGAUAUAUGAUGUGAUAUAAAAAAAAAGUGUAAAUAUAUCUAUAUUUGAGAGAGAGAGAGAGAGAGAGAGAGAGAGAGAGAGAGAGAGAGAGAGAGAGAGAGAAGUUGCAGCUAAAUAGAUUGACAUUAUGCGAUAUCAAGAAUAGAAAAAAUUGAUCUAUAACGGUUAAGUUGUCUAUACAAUACAAUGUAUGCCAUGUUAUAGAAAACAUCAAUAAUAUUUAACAUAUAUCGAUACUAUAACAUAGAGCUUAAAAUUACUUCAAUUCAAUUCAAUACAAAAUGAAAUAAAAACAAACAUCAGAGUUAAUAUUACUUAAUUGAAGAAUGAUGAUUGCUUGAAACAUGAAAAAAUAGUUGUGUCAAAUUAAAAGGGAAGAUACUCUAUGAUAAAUUCAAUUUUAGUAAAUAAGAUGUUCAAUAAGUGGAUUUAUAACUUAUAUGUAAGAUAAAUGAACCUAUAUCACUUGAUCAUAUAACAAACAUGUAAUUUUGCUGAUUUUUUCUUCGAAUAUUUAAAUUCUAUGAUAAGUUAAAUGUGUAUAAAGUAGAUACUGAGUUUUAGUAAACAUAAAUUUGAUAUAUUUUGAAAUAUAAAACACAUGAAGCAUAAGAAAGUCUACUAGUUGUUUAAGAAAGAGUAACUAUAGCAUACUCUAUCGGCAUAAAAGAAGAGUUACACAAGAUAUCAUAAACUAUCAUACCAAUAAGUUCCAUAAUUCAUAUCACAAACUAUCACAUAAACAACUAUAAAUGGCAUAUAACAUUCUGAGGUGAAUAUUGACCAUUACAAUAGAAGUAAUAGAAUACAAAUUCAUAUCAUAUCGAAUCCCGACUACAAGUUCACAUCACAACGGUUCAAGGACUAGUAGCAGCAACAGACAUGUCCUUCGGAAUGGAAGGCAAUGUUGGCUUAGGGAAAUCAGGAAGGUGAGGCAAUUCGGGCACUUCCUGCAAUUCUGGCUUUGGUAAAGUUGGAAAUUCAAGCUUUGAAAGUUCGGGUACUUCCGACAAUUCUGGCUUCGGUAUUGUUGGAAAUUCAGGCUUUGGCAGUUUGGGAAGUGGUGGCAAUUCGACUUUUGGCAGCGAUGGCAGUUCUGGUUUUGGCAAGCUUGGGAUGUCGGGAAGCUGAGGCAAUUCUGGCUUCAACAGUUCAGGCACUUCAGGCAACGUCGUGUCCAAAAGUUGGUGAGCUUCAACGUGGUUCUGGCCGAUUGUCAAAGACAGAGCAAGGACAAACAAUGCCAAAAGAUUAGUGAGUCUGCAAUAGUUCACCAUCGGGGAAUCAAGCGACUAGCAAACCGAUAAACUUUGAGUGAAGAAUCGGUGUGUUUGAGCAAUGGCUUGAUGGAGGGUUUUUAAAGAGGAGGGACCUAAGUAGCACCGACAUGGGACACGAUAUGACACAACACGUCGACAUGUCAUUUCUAAAAAAUAGAGAAAUUUGAUACGUUGCAAUACGUUAUAUAUUAAACGAAUAUUUUUAUUUUUAAUUAAUUUAAUUCAAAUUCAUAAAUAAAUAAAUAAAGAACCUAUAAUGAAUUUACACUAAUAAUAUUAAUAAAUCAAUUCAUUAGAAAUUCGAAAGCUAUAUUCAUAGUUAAUGCGAAAUAUGUUUUUAACUUUAACAAAAGUUAUUGAUGAAAUUAAUGACUAAUAAGAAAUUAGAAUCAAUUUAUUUAAAUAAAUCCAUGAUUUUCUACAAUGACCAAAAUUUAUCAUUAUUCAAAAUUCAAUACUUUUAUUUUUUGAAAUUAUUUUUUUAAUCUCAUUUAUUUAAUUUUCCGAUUAAAAAUAAAAAUCCCCAAAGGUCCACCCCUUCUUUCCCUCGUCCGUUUCCCUCCACCCCAAAUUUAUUUUACUUCGCCCCCCACCCCCCACACCACCUGACAAACAGUAACUUCCCCUCCCCCAAACUCAAAAAUCACGUCAUCAGUCUCCCUUUUUUUUUUAUUACUUUUUAGUUCCCUUAUCAAAACCCUAGCCACCCUCCUUUUCCUCCUCCUUCUCGCCGUUGGCCGCACGACCCCCUCCCCUUCCUCUCCUCUUCCUCUCCUCUUCCUCUCGAUCCUUCUCCUUCUCCUCCUCACCACACGACCACCUGCCUCUCCGCAUGACCCCCUUCCUCUCCUCCUCCUCCUCCUUGUUGCCAAUCCAUCGCAACAAUGGCGGCCCUCGCUUCAGUUUCUGCUCUCUUUGGUUGUCUCUCACCAUUGCAGUAGUUCGUUGCAUGGCUUCAUCUUGCUAGCGGGAGUUUGCUUUCUCUGUCUUCUUUCCCUCCAUCUGUUGGAGAAAUCUUCUUGAAGUGUUUUGAAGUUGACAAAACGUUUCUAUCAGUCUAGUCUGAAGGCUUGCAGACUCUGCUAUUUAAAGUCUGAAGACCUCCGGACAGCCAGACUCAAGACUCAAAGUCUAUCCUCAUUGAUAGUCUCUAAUCCGUUGAAGAAAGGUUAUCCAGAACUGGAUGUUUCGUUAAGGAUUUAACCUUAUCAACUGGAGAAGAUCUCGUGGCUGGAGAAGACAUAACAGAGUCCUUUGAUUGAUUUAAGAUUGACUCGAUAAUUGAAGAUCCGGUGAUUGCCUAAAUAUUAUUGGAAGGUUCUGCUUAUGGAAACCGAGAUCCUGAUUGUAUGGGCGAACAUGAUUGAUGGGCUAUCAACACGUUCCUUUAAUAGCUUGAACAAUUUUUCUAAUUGAUUCCGUCCAACGGGUAGAUUGGAGGAAUUCCUUUGGUAAGUGCCAACGGGUAUGAUGGCAUAAAGGAGUAUAUAAGGAAGACUGUCUUAGUUGUUCAAGGUGUGCGCAAUAGAAGAAUUCCAAAGUCUGAAGCUCCUUUUUUGUUUAGACAAAUCCUUUGAGCGAAUACUUGUAUACGAAAGAGAGAGUCUAUAUUUGUGAGAAAUCUUGAGAAGGUGUGGUAGAACAUCUACACUGUGGAAUCAAGGCAAAUCUGUGCUGUAACUUCUCUUUUGUUCAUAGUGGAAUCCAGCCAAUAGGCUGUCAGUGAAGAAGAGUGGACGUAGGCUUGAUAUAAGCCGAACCACUAUAAAUCACGUGUUCAAUUUUCUCUUCUCUCAGUCUUACUUUGAUUAUCGUUUCCAUCAACUGUCUAGUAUUGUGCAAUUGUUGAAGAAAAAUCCUCUAUAUACCUAUUCACCCCCCUCUAGGUACUCAUACUAGCAAUAUCAAUUGGUAUCAAAGCCUGUGUACUUACUUUAUUUGAAGUGUUUUACUUCGUAGUAAAAGAUCCAUGGCUAGUAUGCUAGCACCAUGGCUGAUGGAAGGGCAAAGCAAUACCAGACCACCCUACUUUGAUGGAAAGGAUUACAACAUCUGGAAGAACAAGAUGAAAGCUUUCCUACGAUCAAAGGAUCCUCUGGAAUGGGACGUUGUAGAAAAAGGAAUUACUCCUACCACUGCAUUAGUCUCUGAAAGAGGAAAAGAAACUGAUGAAACUAGCGGAAUGUCUCAGGAAGAAAUAAUCAAGAGACAAGCACUCGAUACAAAAGCAAUUUACUCCUUAUAUUGUGCUUUAUCACCAACUGAAUAUAAUAGAAUAUCUUCUUGUGGUACAGCAAAAGAAGUUUGGGACAGAUUGCAUAUCACCUAUGAAGGAACAGAUUGAGUGAAGGAAACAAGAAUCAACAUUUUUCUCGGUCAAUACGAAGCCUUCAGAAUGAAACCAGGAGAAUCUAUAUCUGACAUGUUUAGUCGUUUUACAGAUAUUGUGAAUGGUCUUGAAAAUCAAGGUCAACCAACUUUUGAUCCCAUGAAGGUAAACAAGCUACUGCGUGGACUCUCCAGGAUUGGAAUCACAUAAAGACUUCGAUAAGUAAUUUUAAAAUUCCUGUCAAAGUUUCUAAAUACAUUGAUGAACUAUGUUUUAGUCUUAAGACUUCUCUCAAAAGAAUUUCCGAACUAAAAAAGGAAAACUCAGCUCUAAAACAAAAGGAAAAUGUUUUAGUAGAAAGAGUUAAAAGUCUAGACUUGACUGUUUCUAAUCUUAAAGAAAAUGAAGAUAAUCUUUUAAAAGAAAAUGCUUUUUUAAAAACAGACUUAUCAAAUACAUCAAAGAAAUUUUCAAUAGGGUCUGAAAAACUUGAGAAAAUUCUUUCAGCACAAAGACCUUACUUCAAUAAGUCCGGUCUAGGUAUGUUAGAAGAAACAAUUCCCUUGAUUGAUUUUCCUAAAGUAAAAGAAAGAAUUAAGAAAAGACUCUCGAGAGAGGUUUACAAAAAUCACUUCAAGAAAGUUUUUGUAAAAUCUAUAGGUAGAAAUGCUCUAAGAUGUUCAAAAUGCAACAGUCCGGAUCACUUUGAAAAAGAGUGUCCUAUGGUUUGGAAACCUGUUAAGAAAAUAUGGGCUAAUACUGCUUAUGUUACUAACACCAAAGGACCCAAGAAAGUUUUGGUACCAAAGAAAGCUUGAGACUCUUUUUUAAAUGCAGGUCACCGUCGAGAAAAAUGUGAAGUGGUAUCUUAACAGUGGAUGCUCAAGACACAUGACAGGAGACUCAAAUUGUUUUAUAAAGCUUGCUCAAGUAAAUGGUGGAAAAGUUUCAUUUGGAGGAAACAACAAAGGGAGUAUUGUGGGAUUUGGAACUGUGAAAAUUGGAAAUCUCACAAUAAGUAAUGUUUCCUUAGUGGAAGGACUCAAUUACAAUCUUCUCAGCAUUAGUCAAUUGUGUGAUACUGGUUUCAAGAUCUUCUUUCAAGAAGGAAUAUGUUCUGGAAUCAGUAAAGACUCUACUCAGUCUUUCAUGGGUCGUAGACAUGGAAACAUCUAUCUUCUGGAUGUGAAACCAAAUGAAUCGCAAUGUUUUAUCUCAAUUCAAGACGAAGCAAGCUUAUGGCACAGAAAGCUUGGUCAUGUAUGAAGCAAUUAGCCAAAAUCUCAUCAAAGCAGCUUGUUCGAGGACUACCCAAAUUACCUUAUCAAAAGACUGAUCCAUGCACUCCAUGUAUUCUGGGAAAGCAGGUAAGAAAUUCAUUUAAGCCAAUAAAUCAUGUCUCUACUAAUCAUGUACUACAGUUGCUGCAUAUGGAUCUCUUCGGACCAACCAGAACACAGAGUAUUGGAGGUAAGAAAUAUUGCCUAGUAAUUGUGGACGAUUACUCCCGUUUUACUUGGAUAUAUUUCCUUGCAAGUAAGUCUGAAACCUUCUCGUAUUUUGAAAAGUUUGCUAAAAAGGUUCAAAAUGAAAAAGGAUGUAUUAUCUCAAGUAUACAGAUCAUGGAGGUGAAUUUGAAAAUGAAGAUUUUACUAAAUUUUGUGAUGAAUCUGGCUUUAAUCAUGUGUUCUCCUCUCCAUAUACUCCUCAGCAAAAUGGACUUGUGGAAAGAAAGAACAGAUCUCUUCAAGAAAUGGCUAGAACUCUUUUAAUUGAAAGCAAGAUUUCUUCACGAUUUUAGGCUGAAGCUAUUUCAACAGCUUGUUAUAUCAUCAAUAGAGUCUUCUUAAGACCUAUUCUAGAGAAAACCCCUUAUGAGUUGUUCAAAGAUAAGAAGCCUAUUGUUUCAUACUUUCAUGUAUUCGGUUGCAAAUGUUUUAUAUUGAAAAAUGCAAAAGAUCGAGUUGGUAAGUUUGAAGAAAGAUCAGAUGAAGGUAUCUUCUUUGGAUAUUCUACAUCAAGCAAAGCCUUCAGAGUCUAUAACAAGAAGAGCCAGUCUGUGGAGGAGUCAAUGAAUGUCAAAUUUCAAGACUCAACGCAAGAUGAAUCAAGUCAGACUCAUCAAGAAGAGUCUGAACCUGCUCCAGAACUUCCAAAGCUUACAACUCAAGAAGCAUCUCAGACUCUGGAAAACCAGCAUCAGGAUGUUCGUGAAGAUCUAAACAAAGAGAGAGAUCAUCAACCAGACAAAUCAACAAGUAACUGGAAGCAUAAGUCUAGUCAUCCCAAAGAUCUUAUAAUCGGCGAAAUUAAUGAAGGAAUUCGCACCAGAUCCAAAAGGCGAGAAGAGUCUAGUGCUGUGGCUCUCGUUUCUGAAAUUGAACCAAAAAACAUAGAAGAAGCUUUAUCUGAUGAAAGCUGGAUUGAAGCUAUGCAAGAAGAGCUCAGACAGUUCAGCAUUAAUGAUGUCUGGGAAUUGACAUCCAAACCAAAAGGUAAAACUAUUAUUGGAGCUAAAUGGGUGUUCAGAAACAAGAUGAAUGAGAAAGGAAAAGUCGUACGAAACAAAGCAAGACUCGUGGCCAAGGGAUAUACGCAAGAAGAAAGAAUAGACUAUGAUGAGACUUACGCUCCAGUAGCAAGGUUAGAAGCUAUUCGACUAUUACUUGCGUUUGCUUGUUAUAAGAAUUUCAGGUUAUUCCAAAUGGACGUCAAAAGCGCCUUCCUAAAUGGAUUUAUCCAAGAGGAAGUUUAUGUGGAACAACCACCAGGGUUUGAAGACCCAAAGAAGCCAGACUCAGUCUUCAGACUGAAAAAGGCUUUGUAUGGUUUAAAGCAAGCACCUCGAGCUUGGUACGACAUAUUAAUCUAUGCAGGAUGAAUUUGAAAUGAGUAUGAUGGGAGAGUUAACAUUCUUUCUUGGUCUUCAAGUAAAACAAUUGAAGGAAGGAACUUUUAUUUAUCAAGAAAAAUAUGUUAAUGAUCUUGUCAAAAGAUUUGGACUGGAAAAGUGCAAAAAGACCGACAUACCGAUGUCAAGUUCUUUGAAGAUAGACAAAGAUGAAGAAGGGAAGAAAGUUGAUUAAAAGCUGUACAGGAGCAUCAUUGGUUCACUUCUUUAUCUUACCGCUUCUAGACCUGACAUUUUGUUGAGUGUUUGCAUCUGUGCUAGGUUUCAAUCAGAUCCAAGAGAAUCCCAUCUCAGUGCUGCGAAACACAUCAUUAAAUACAUUGCUUCAUCAUCAAGCAUCGGUCUUUGGUAUCCUAAGAAGGGAGACUUUAAUCUUCUGGGAUAUUCAGACGCAGAUCUGGCCGGUUGCAGAGUUGAUAGAAAAAGCACUUCGGGAACCUGCCAGUUGCUUGGAAGCAGGACAGUGUCUUAGUUUUCAAGAAAACAAAGCACUCUGUCCCUUUCAAUAACAGACGUAGAGUAUGUAGCCCUUGGAAGCUGCUGUUCGCAAAUUCUAUGGAUAAAACAGCAGCUAAGAGACUUUGAAAUUGAAGACUCAUGCACGGAGAUUAAUUGCGACAAUACCAACGCUAUCAACCUCACCAAAAAUCCUAUUCUCCACUCAAGAGCAAAGCAUAUAGAGAUUCGACAUCACUUUAUUAGAGACCAUGUUCAAAAUGGAGAUGUUUCAAUUCAAUUUGUUGACUCAAAGAAUCAACUGGCGGAUAUAUUCACAAAGCCUUUGGAGAAAAAUCAAUUUGAGUCUAUACGUUCCAGACUCAACAUUUUGAGGUAUGAGGAUAUCAAAGUCUAAAGACUUUUAGACUUAGACUUACAAGACUUUAUCUGAAAGACAGUCUUGGUACGUCCGUCAGACUGUAAGUCUUUCUCUCUUGAAUCUCAUCUUGAAAAGGUACGAUCGUCAGACUGUGUUUAAAUUGUUGCUAUAUUUAAUUGACGUAAAUAUUGCAUCGUUUCAUUUUCAAAAAGGAAGUUAUUUUUGAAAUGGCUAUUUUUCAGAAAAAGACAGUUAUUUUGAAAAGGCAUAUUUUUAUUUCCUUUGUGACGGUUCGUUUAUCCCUCUUUUUAACCGAUCGUGCACUGUCGAUUCCUCUUCACUUUUCUCUCAAAAACCCUAGAAAGCAUCGAUCCUUCAUUCCCGUUUGUCUUCUUCGUUUAAUCCUCAAAAAGUUGUCAUCUUUCCUGGGAAAGUCAAGUAAGGAAUCUUCCAAAAACUGAGAAAUAUGUCAUCUUCAAGAAAGUCUUCAAGAAUCGCAAGCAGGGGACCACGGCGGAUGAGUGAGGGGCCUACGCACUUCGAUCUUACUGAAGAAGAAGUGACUCCAGAACAGCAAGCGAGCCCACAACAUUCUCAGCAGCGUCAUUCUCCUCCCUCUAGUCCUAAAGGCGUUGAUCAACAACAACAGGAAGAAAUCAUCGAGGAAGCAGACCCUGUAAGAGUUCAAAAGCCCGCUUAUAUUUACCAGUUAUAUCGUGCCUUAAAAGGAAUUCGUACUCCUUUGAACUACAUUGAUGAGUUUCUUAAAGACAAAGGACAUGGGAACGAAUAUAUCUUUAUGCGAAAAAUGGAAAGUUUGGGAAUUGCUCGAAAAGGGGUGGCUGAGGAAACCCUUGCAAAUAUUGAUAUUGCUAGUAUAAACACCUAGAGGGGGGUGAAUAGGCGCACAAACAAUUUUUCUUGAAUACGGAAGCAAUUCUUAACAGAUUGAUAUACGUUUGAAGUAAAGAGAGUAAGGAAGAGAAAAUUAAACACAGGAUUUAUAGUGGUUCGGAUUAUUCCAAUCCUACGUCCACUCUUCCGCACUGACAGCCAACCGGCUGGAUUUCACUAUAAUAAAAAGAGAAGUUACAGCACAGCUUUGCCUUGAUUCCACAGUGUAGAUGUUCUACCACACCUCCUCAAGGUCUCUCACAAAUAUAGACUCUCUUUUGUAUACAAGUAAUCGCUCAAGAGAUUUAUCUAAACAAAUGGGAGCUUCAGACUUUGGAAUUUUUCUAUCGCGCACACCUCGAACAACUAAGAACGACUUCCUUAUAUACUCCUUUAUGCCAUCAUACCCGUUGGCACUUACCAAAGGAAUUCCUCCAAUCUAACCGUUGGACAUAAUCAAUUAGGAAGAUUGUUCGAGUUAUUAAAGGAACAUGUUGAUAGCCCAUCAAUCCUGUUCGCCCAUACAAUCAGGAUCUCGGUUUCCAUAAGUAGAACCUUCCAAUAAUAUAUAGAUAAUCAUCGAAUCUUCAGUCAUUGAAUCAAUCUUGAUCAAUCAAAGGAUUCUGAUAUGUCUUCUCCAGCCACGAGAUCUUCUCUAGAUGAUAAGGUUAAAUCCUGAACAAACCACUUAGUUCUGGAUAACCUUUCUUCAACGAAUUCGAGACUGUCAAUGAGGAUAGACUUUGAGUCUUGAGUCUGGCUGUCCGGAAGUCUUCAGACUUUAAACUGACAGAGUCUGCAGACUUUCAGACUAGACCGAAUGAUACGUUUUGUCAACUUCAAAACUCUUCAUGAGGAUUUCUCCAACAAUGUCCCCCUUUUUGAUGGUGACAAAACCUUCCUACAGAUUUGGAUAACUUUGACCUGCAAAACAUUUCUCAAACACAUAUGCAUAUCUUAUUGAAAUAAAUGGCUAAUAGAAUAACACUAGAUUCUGCAACCACAGAAAAUAAGUUAGUCCAAUAUAUGAUUAAUCCAUUCAUAAGAUAUCAAUAUUGAUAAAUAGAAGCAGUCAAGUUAAAUCCAAGUCUAGGCAUCCAGACACAAAAUAAAGUCAAAGUCUGUCAAAAACAAACAGACAGUUUAAACAUAAUCCAUCAAAAUAAAAAGAUUGAAAGUUUUGUUUUUCAAAUCAUGAUGCAUCUCUCCCCCUUUUUGUCAACAUUUAAAAAGGAUGAGAUGAAAUCAAGAUUGCUUGGGAACGCGGACAAGCUGGAAAUCUUCCAUAGACUGAACAAUGCCUUCCAGCCUCUUAAAGUCUUCUUUCAGCUGUACAACCUCCUCACUCUUGGCAUUAGCCUGAUUCUGAAUAGAGAGGGCUUGCAUCUUUUCAUUUAAUGAACAGGAAGAAGCUUGACCUUCAUUCUUCAAGCUUUGAACUUCGCAUCCCAAGGCAUAUAUCUGACCUUUCAUCUCCAAUAGAAUAUCCAUGAUUCUACGAAAAUCUGCUCCAUUAUCAGUCUGAGUACUUGCUUCUGCUCGUUCUGAUGGAGUAAAAGCAGACGAUGGUGGAUCAGCAUAAUCUCGCAGGUUUGGCGAUAAAGCUUCAUGACCUUCCUCUGGAAAUUGAGAUGCAUAAACAUCUUCUGGGUCUGCAGGCGAACGACUGACUCCUUCACUUUCAUCUGGAAAUGAAGAUGUCACUCCUUUCUCCUGAACUCCCCCUGUUUUCAUGCCUACAGGUGGAGAAGAGAUUUCCUCAGUUUCUCCUUCUCUUCCUUCUUCUUCAGGUCUUUCUUUCUCUGCUUCUUGUUCUGUUUCUCUUUCUCCUUCCUCCUUCUCCUUUGCUUCUCUUUCUUCUUCCUCUUUCUCUGCCUCUUUCGUCUUUUGUUCCGAUUCUUUCUGAGGAACAGGACGACUUAAGUUCUUUAAAGCCAUUGCAGAGAUGGUGAUGUCAUCAUCAUCAUCUUCAUCCUCAACGAGGAGAACUCUUCUUUUCUUUGAUGGAGCAGCCAUGGGCUCCUUCCCUUUUCUCUUAGCAGCAGAAGAGAGUUGAUGAGACUUGGCAGGAGUCUUGAAUUUCUCCAAUUCCUUGCUCAGUUCUUUCAGACGCAUUUUAGUCACCAUUUUCAGUCCUACCACCAUUUGAUCGCAUGAUCGAACACAAAGGAUUUGUGGAGGCUGAAUAUUCAGAUGUCUGAAUAACUUCGUAACAAGGCUUGGAUAAGGGAGUUGACCUCUGUCCUUCAUCACUGCUCUAUACAUGUGAAACAUGAUAGUAUGAGGGAGAGAAAACUUCUUUCCACAGAGGAUGGCAUACAUCAGCUUUGCCUCAGAGCUUGAAACAUCAGUUUUGGAAGUUGAUUUCGGCCGAAGGCAAUUAAUCACAGUUUUGUGAAGCAGGAUGUUGAAUGCAUUCAUCCUUGAGUAGGUGAUCUUCUCUUCUGUUCUUCUGUCCUUCACCAGUUCAAGAGUGGCCCGAGCAAUGGAAACCUUAAUCGGUUGAUAUCUCCCUCUCUCAACUUCUAACACAUCAGCCAGCAUAUCCAUAUCAACAACAUAGUCUUGAUCUUUGACACUGAAGGAAAAUCUAUUCGCAUCUAAAAAACUAAGAUUUGAAUAGAAAUACGCAGUCAGUUCAGCAUAAGCCUCUGUUGAGUCAGAACAGAACUUUUCCAAUUGAAGAUAAUUGAACUUUUCCCUCAAGUUCACUUUCACAGCAUCCAGAAAAUCAAAGUCCACACUCCUAGGGUUUAUUACCCCUCGCUUCAGCAAUUUCGAGUACAUAUCCUUUUGUUCCUUAGAUCUGAACAAAUCUCCCCUUUUUCCUUGAAUUUCAGCCGCAAUACCCAUUUUCGGUUGAAAUAAACUGAACAUAUUGUCAUCAUCAUUCCCAUCUACAGGAUUUGGCCCCCAGUCACGAGGAUCACUUGGGAUAUUCGCAAGGGUUUCCUCAGCCACCCCUUUACGAGCAAUUCCCAAACUUUUCAUUCUUUUCAGAAAGAUAUAUUCGUUCCUAUAUCCUUUUUCUUUAACAAAACUAUCAAUAUAGUUCAAAGGAGUACGAAUUCCUUUUAAAGCACGAUAUAACUUGUAGAUAAAAGCAGGCUUUUGAGAUCUUACGGGGUCUGCUUCCUCGAUGAUUUCUUCCUGUUGAACAAUGUCUUGAGGACUAGAUGAUGGAGAGUGACGCUGCUGAGAAUGUUGUGGGCUCGGAUGCUGAUCUGGAGAAACUUCAUCUUCCGUAAGAUCAAAGUGAGUAGGCCCUUCACUCAUCUUCUGUGGUCCCCUGCUUGCGAUUCUUGACUUUCUUGAAAACGACAUCUUUCUCAGUCAAUGGAAGAUUUCUUGCUUGACUUUCACAGAAAAGAUGACAACUUUUUAAGAUUGAACGAAGGAGACAAACGGAAGUGGAGGAUCGAUGUUUUCUAGGGUUUUGAGAGUAAAGUGAAUAGAAAGGUGAAGAGUAAUCGAUAGUGUUCGUUCGGUUAAAAAGAGAAGAAAACGAAUCGUCACAAAGGAAAUAAAAUAUGCAUUUUCAAAAUAACUGCCUUUAUCCGGAAAAAUAGCUAUUUCAGAAGUAACUUCCUUUUUGAAAAUGAAUCGUUGCAAAAUUUACGGUUAAUAAAUAUAGCAAUAAUUUAAACAGAGUCUGAUGAUCGUACCUUUUCAAGAUAAGAUUGGAGAGAGAAAGUCUUACAGUCUGAAGGUUGAGACAAGACUGUAGAUAAGGUCUUAUAAGCCUGAGUCUGAAGGUCUUUAGACUUUGAUAUCCUCAUACCUCAAAAUGUUGAGUCUGGUCCGUAUAGACUCAAAUUGAUUUUUGUCCAAAGGCUUUGUGAGUAUAUCAGCCAGUUGAUUCUUUGAGUCAACAAAUUGAAUUGAGACAUCUCCAUUUUGAACAUGAUCUCUAAUGAAGUGAUGUCGAAUCUCUAUAUGCUUUGCUCUUGAGUGGAAAAUUGGAUUUUUGGUGAGGUUGAUAGCGCUGGUGUUGUCGCAAUUAAUCUCCGUGCAUGAGUCUUCAAUUUCAAAAUCUCUUAGCUGUUGUUUUAUCCAUAGAAUUUGCGAACAGCAGCUUCCAAGAGCUACAUACUCUGCUUCUGUUGUUGAAAGGGACACAGUACUUUGCUUCCUAGAAAACCAAGACACUGUUCUGCUUCCAAGCAACUGGCAAGUUCCUGAAGUGCUCUUUCUAUCAACUCUGCAACCGGCCAUAUCUGCGUCUGAAUAACCCAGAAGAUUAAAGUCUCCCUUCUUAGGAUACCAAAGACCGAUGCUUGAUGAUGAAGCGACAUAUUUGAUGAUGCGUUUCGCAGCACUGAGAUGAGAUUCUUUAGGAUCUGAUUGAAACCUUGCACAGAUACAAACACUUAACAAAAUAUCAGGUCUAGAAGCAGUAAGAUAAAGAAGUGAUCCGAUAAUGCUCCUGUACAGUUUUUGAUCAACUUUCUUUCCUUCUUCAUCUUUGUCUAUCUUUAAAGAACUUGACAUUGGUAUGUCGACCUUUUUGCAAUUCUCCAGUCCAAACCUUUUGACAAGAUCAUUGACAUAUUUUUCUUGAAAAAUAAAAGUUCCUUCUUUCAAUUGCUUUAUUUGAAGACCAAGAAAGAAUGUUAAUUCUCCCAUCAUACUCAUUUCAAACUCCUCCUGCAUAGACUUUGAAAAUUUCUUGCACAGACUUUCAUUAGAGGAUCCAAAAAUGAUAUCAUCUACAUAUAUUUGAACAAGUAAGAAACUUUUGUUUUCCUUCUUGAUAAAUAAAGUCGUAUCUACUUUACCUUUGACAAAACCAUUUUGUAAAAGGAAAUUACUUAACCUGUCGUACCAAGCUCGAGGUGCUUGCUUUAAACCAUACAAAACCUUUUUCAGUCUGAAGACUGAGUCUGGCUUCUUUGGGUCUUCAAACCCUGGCGGUUGUUCCACAUAAACUUCCUCAUGGAUAAAUCCAUUUAGAAAUGCGCUUUUGACGUCCAUUUGGAAUAACCUGAAAUUCUUAUAACAAGCAAACGCAAGUAAUAGACGAAUAGCUUCUAACCUUGCUACUGGAGCGUAAGUCUCAUCAUAGUCUAUUCCUUCUUCUUGCGUAUAUCCCUUGGCCACGAGUCUUGCUUUAUUUCGUACGACUUUUCCUUUCUCGUUCAUCUUGUUUCUGAACACCCAUUUGGCUCCAAUAACAGUUUUACCUUUUGGUUUGGAUGUCAAUUCCCAGACAUCAUUUAUGCUGAAUUGUCUGAGCUCUUCUUGCAUAGCUUCAAUCCAGCUUUCAUCAGAUAAAGCUUCUUCUGUGCUCUUUGGUUCAAUUUCAGAAACAAGAGCCACAGCACUAGACUCUUCUCUCCUUUUGGAUCUGGUGCGAAUUCCUUCAUUCAUUUCGCCAAUUAUGAGAUCUUUGGGAUGACUGGAUUUAUGCUUCCAGUUACUUGUUGAUUUGUUUGGUUGAUGAUCUCUUUCUUUAUUUAGAUCUUCACUAACAACCCGAUGCUGGUUUUCCAGAGUCUGAGAUGCUUCUUGAGUUGUAGACUUUGGAGGGUCUGGAGCAGGUUCAGACUCUUCUUGAUGAGUCUGUCUUGAUUCAUCUUGCGUUGAGUCUUGAAAUUUGACAUUCAUUGACUCCUCUACAGACUGACUCUUCUUGUUAUAGACUCUGUAAGCUUUGCUUGAAGUAGAAUAUCCAAGGAAGAUACCUUCAUCUGAUCUUUCUUCAAACUUACCAACACGAUCUUUUGCAUUUUUCAAUAUGAAACAUUUGCAACCAAAUACAUGAAAGUAUGAAACAAUAGGCUUCUUUUCUUUGAAUAACUCAUAAGGGGUUUUCUGAAGAAUAGAUCUUAAGAAGACUCUAUUGAUGAUAUAGCAAGCUGUUGAAACAGCUUCAGCCCAAAAUCGAGAAGUAAUUUUACUUUCAAUUAGAAGAGUUCUAGCCAUUUCUUGAAGAGAUCUGUUCUUUCUUUCCACAACUCCAUUUUGCUGAGGAGUAUAUGGAGAGGAAAACACAUGUUUACAUCCAGAUUCAUCACAGAAUUUUGUAAAAUCUUGAUUUUCAAAUUCUCCUCCGUGAUCUGAUUUUAUACAAGAGAUUACACAUCCUUUUUCAUUUUGAACCUUUUUAGCAAAUUUUUCAAAAUACGAAAAGGUUUCUGACUUACUUGAGAGGAAAUAUACCCAAGUAAAACGGGAGUAAUCAUCAACAAUUACUAGACAAUACUUCUUACCCCCAAUACUCUGAGUCCUGGUUGGUCCGAAGAGAUCCAUAUGCAGCAACUGCAGAACAUGAUUAGUAGAGACAUGAUUUAUUGGCUUAAAAGAAUUUCUUACCUGCUUUCCCAAAAUACAUGGAGUGCAUGAAUCAGUCUUUUGGUAUGGCAAUUUGGGUAGAUCUCGAACAAGCUGCUUUGAUGAGAUUUUGGCUAAUUGCUUCAUGUUGACAUGACCAAGCUUUUUGUGCCAUAAGCUUGCUUCGUCUUGAAUUGAGAUAAGACAUUGCGAUUCAUUUGGUUUCACAUCCAGAAGAUAGAUGUUUCCAUGUCUUCGACCCAGAAAAGAUUGAGUAGAGUCUUUACUGACUCCAGAACAUGUCCCUUCUUGAAAGAAUAUCUUGAAACCAGUAUCACACAAUUGACUAAUGCUGAGAAGAUUGUAAUUGAGUCCUUCCACCAAGGAAACAUUACUUAUUGUGAGAGUCCCAAUUUUCACGGUUCCGAAUCCCACAAUACUUCCUUUGUUGUUUCCUCCAAAUGAAACUUUUCCACCAUUUACUUGAGCAAGCUUUAUAAAACAAUUUGAGUCUCCUGUCAUGUGUCUUGAGCAACCGCUGUCAAGAUACCACUUUACCUGUUUCUUGAUGGAGACCUGCAUUUAAUAAAGAGUCUCAAGCUUUCUUUGGUACCCAAACUUUCUUGGGUCCUUUGGUGUUAGUAAGAUAAACAGUAUUAGCCCAUACUCUUUUAAUAGGUUUCCAUACCAAAGGACACUCUUUUUCAAAGUGUUCCUUACUGUUGCACUUAGAACAUCUGAGAGAAUUUCUUCCUACAGGUUUUACAAAGACUUUCUUAAAAUGAUUUUUGUAAACUUCACUCGAAAGAAAGAAUUUUCUCAAGUUUUUCAGACCCUAUUGAAAAUUUCUUUGAUAUAUUUGAUAAGUCUGUUUUCAAGAAAGCAUUUUCUUUUAAAAGAUUUCCUUCUUUUUCUUUAAGAUUAGAAACAGACAAGUCUAAGCUUUUAACUCUUUCUGUUAAAACAUUUUCCUUUUGUUUUAGAGCUAAGUUUUCCCUUUUUAAUUUGGAAAUUCUUUUGAGAGAAAUCUUAAGACUUAAGCAUAGUUCAUUAAUAUAAUUAGAAACUUUGACAGGAAUCUUAAAAUUACUUGCCUCAAAUUCACUGUCUGAGUCUGAUCCUGAGUCUGAUCCAGAGUCUGAGUCUGAUCGUGCCAUCAGACAUAGAUUUGCAUAUUCAUUAUCACUUUCUUCACACUCAGUAUCACUCCAGGUUUCAGCUUUGAGAGCUUUUCGAAACUUUUCAGCCUUUCCUUUCUUCUUUUUUAGAAGAGGACAGUUGGGUCUGAUGUGUCCCUUCUUCUUGCAUUCAAAGCAGACUAUAUCUUUAUUUGGUUCCUCAUCAUCAACAGACUUGGUCUGCUGUCUUUGAAAGCCUGGUUUCUUUGAGUUGAACCUUCUCCCUUUUCUAUUUAGUUUUCUGAAUCUUCUUAUCAUGAGAGCAAGCUCCUCAUCGUCCAUAUCAUCUUCAGAAUCUGUAACAUCAGAAUCAUCAUUUGAUUUUAAUGCAAUGGAUUUCUUACCUCUUGGAUCUUCUUCUUCAUUUAUCCUUUCCACUUCAUAGGACUGAAGCGUUCCAAUAAGCUCAUCAACAGACAGUGGCAUAAUUCUCUGCGUCUCUCUUAUCGAAGUCUUUAUGUGAUUCCAAUCCUUGGAGAGUCCACGCAGAAGCUUGUUUACCUUCAUGGGAUCAGAAGUUGGUUGACCUUGAUUUUCAAGACCAUUCACAAUAUCUGUAAAACGACUAAACAUAUCAGAUAUUGAUUCUCCUGGUUUCAUUCUAAAGGCUUCAUAUUGACCGAGAAGAAUGUUGAUUCUUGUUUCCUUCACUCGAUCUGUUCCUUCAUAAGUGAUAUGCAAUCUGUCCCAAACUUCUUUUGCUGUACCACAAGAAGAUAUUCUAUUAUACUCAGUUGGUGAUAAAGCACAAUAUAAAGAGUAAAUUGCUUUUGCAUCGAGUGUUUGUCUUUUGGUUAUUUCUUCCUGAGACAAUCCGCUGGAUUCUUCAGUAUCUUUUCCUCUUUCAGAGACUGGUGCAGUGGUAGGAAUUAUUCCUUUUUCUACAACAUCCCAUUCCAGAGGAUCCUUUGAUCGUAGGAAAGCUUUCAUCUUGUUCUUCCAGAUGUUGUAAUCCUUUCCAUCAAAGUAAGGUGGUCUGGUAUUGCUUUGCCCUUCCAUCAGCCCUGGUGCUAGCAUACUAGCCAUGGAUCUUUUACUAUGAAGUAAAACACUUCAAAUAAAGUAAGUACACAGGCUCUGAUACCAAUUGAUAUUGCUAGUAUAAACACCUAGAGGGGGGUGAAUAGGCGCACAAACAAUUUUUCUUGAAUACGGAAGCAAUUCUUAACAGAUUGAUAUACGUUUGAAGUAAAGAGAGUAAGGAAGAGAAAAUUAAACACAGGAUUUAUAGUGGUUCGGAUUAUUCCAAUCCUACGUCCACUCUUCCGCACUGACAGCCCACCGGCUGGAUUUUACUAUAAUCAAAAGAGAAGUUACAGCACAGCUUUGCCUUGAUUCCACAGUGUAGAUGUUCUACCACACCUCCUCAAGGUCUCUCACAAAUAUAGACUCUCUUUUGUAUACAAGUAAUCGCUCAAGAGAUUUAUCUAAACAAAUGGGAGCUUCAGACUUUGGAAUUUUUCUAUCGCGCACACCUCGAACAACUAAGAACGACUUCCUUAUAUACUCCUUUAUGCCAUCAUACCCGUUGGCACUUACCAAAGGAAUUCCUCCAAUCUAACCGUUGGACAUAAUCAAUUAGGAAGAUUGUUCGAGUUAUUAAAGGAACAUGUUGAUAGCCCAUCAAUCCUGUUCGCCCAUACAAUCAGGAUCUCGGUUUCCAUAAGUAGAACCUUCCAAUAAUAUAUAGAUAAUCAUCGAAUCUUCAGUCAUUGAAUCAAUCUUGAUCAAUCAAAGGAUUCUGAUAUGUCUUCUCCAGCCACGAGAUCUUCUCUAGAUGAUAAGGUUAAAUCCUGAACAAACCACUUAGUUCUGGAUAACCUUUCUUCAACGAAUUCGAGACUGUCAAUGAGGAUAGACUUUGAGUCUUGAGUCUGGCUGUCCGGAAGUCUUCAGACUUUAAACUGACAGAGUCUGCAGACUUUCAGACUAGACCGAAGGAUACGUUUUGUCAACUUCAAAACUCUUCAUGAGGAUUUCUCCAACAAAUAUCCCAAGUGAUCCUCGUGACUGGGGGCCGAAUCUUGUGGAUGAUGAUGACAAAUUAUUCAGUCAAUUUCAACCAAAAAUGGGUGUUGCGGUUGAAAAUCAAGGGAAAAGGGGAGAUUUGUUCAGAUCGAAGGAGCAAAAGGAUCUGUACUCGAAAUUAUUGAAGCGUGGGGUAAUAAACCCUAGGAGUGUUGAUUUUGAUUUUCUGGAUGCUGUGAAUAUGAACUUGAGGGAAAAGUUCAGUUAUCUUCAACUCGAAAAGUUCUGCUCUGACUCUACAGAGGCAUAUGCUGAAUUAACUGCAUAUUUCUAUUCAAAUCUAAGCUUUUUAGAUGCGAAUAGAUUCUCUUUCAGCGUUAAAGACCAAGACUAUGUUGUGGAUAUGAAUAUGCUGGCAGAUGUGUUAGAAGUCGAAAGAGGAAGAUAUCAACCAAUCAAAGUUUCCAUUGCUCGGGCCACACUUGAACUGGUGAAGGACAGGAGAACAAAUGAAAAUAUCACCUACUUAAGGAUGGGUGCAUUCAACAUCUUGCUUCACAAGAUUGUGAUUAAUUGCCUCCGACCGAAAUCAACUUCCAAGACUGAUGUUUCAAGUUCAGAGGCCAAGCUGAUGUAUGCCAUUCUCUUUGGAAAAAGGUUUUCUCUCCCUCACACUGUGAUGUUUCACAUGUAUAGAGCAAUGCUGAAGGACAGAGGUCAACUCCCUUACCCAAGCCUUGUUACGAAGUUAUUCAGACAUCUGAAUAUUCAGCCUCCACAAAUCUUUUGUGUUCGACCAUGCGAUAAUAUUGUGGUAGGACUGAAAAUGGUGACCAAAAUGCGUCUGAAGGAACUGAGCAAGGAGUUGGAGAAAUUCAAGGAGAAGACUCCUGCAAAAUCUCAUCAAAUCUCUUCUGCAGCUAAAAGAAAAGGGAAGGAGCCCAUGGUUGCUCCAUCCAAGAGAAGAAGAGCUCUCCUCGUUGAGGAUGAAGAUGAUGAGGAAGACAUCACCAUCUCUGCAUUGGCUUUGAAGAAUUUAAGUCGUCCUGUUCCACAGAAAGAAUUAGAACAAAUGACGAAAGAAGCAGAGGAGAAGGAAGAAGAAGAAAUAGAAGCUGAAAAAGAAACAGAGGAGGAAAGACCAUAAGAAGAAAGAAGAGAAGAAGGAGAACCUGAGGAACACUCUUCUCCACCUGUAGGCAUGGAAAUAGGGGGAGAUCAGCAGAAAGGAGUGAAGUCUUCAUGUCCCGAUGCAAGUGAAGGAGUCAGUCGCUCACCAGCAGACCUAGAGGAUGUUUAUGCAUCUCAGUUUCCAGAAGAAGGUCAUGAAGUUUCAUCGCCAAACCUGCGAGAUUAUGCUGAUCUACCAUCGUCUGCAUUUACUCCAUCAGAUCGAGCCGAAGCAAGUACUCAGACUGAUAAUGGAGCAGAUUUUCGCAGAAUCAUGGAUAUUCUCUUGGAGAUGCGAGGUCAAAUUUAUGCCUUGGGAUGCGAAGUUCAAAGCUUGAAGAAUGAAGGUCAAGCUUCUUCCUGUUCAGUGAAUGAUAAAAUGCAAGCCCUCUCUGUUCAGAAUCAGGCCAAUGCCAAGAGUGAGGAGAUUGCACAACUAAAGGAAGACUUUAAAAGGCUGGAAGGCAUCGUUCAGUCUAUGGAAGAUUUCCAGCUUGUCCGCGUUCCCAAGCAAUCUUGACUUCAUCUCAUCCUUUUUAAUGAUGACAAAAAGGGGGAGAGAUGCAAGAUUUGAUCAAAAAAAUUUCAUUCAUUAAACUUUUAAUUGUUUGUUGGAUUGUUUUGUGGUUUAAACUCUGUUUGACUUUGUUUUGUGUCUGGAUGAGAACUGAACUAGACUUGGACUUGACUACUUCUAUUAACCAAUAUUGAUAUCUUAUGAAUGGCUUCAUCAUAUACUGGACUAACCUAUUUUCUGUGGUUGCAGAUCCUAGUGUUAUUCUGUUAGCCAUUUAUCUCUAUAAGAUAUGCAUAUGUGUUUGAGAAAUGUUUUGCAGGUCAAAGAUAUCCAAAUCUGCAGGAAAGUUUUGUCACCAUAAAAAAGGGGGAGAUUAUUGGAGAAAUCUUCUUGAAGUGUUUUGAAGUUGACAAAACGUUUCUAUCAGUCUAGUCUGAAGGCUUGCAGACUCUGCUAUUUAAAGUCUGAAGACCUCCAGACAGCCAGACUCAAGACUCAAAGUCUAUCCUCAUUGACAGUCUCUAAUCCGUUGAAGAAAGGUUAUCCAGAACUGGAUGUUUCGUUAAGGAUUUAACCUUAUCAACUGGAGAAGAUCUCGUGGCUGGAGAAGACAUAACAGAGUCCUUUGAUUGAUCUAAGAUUGACUCGAUAAUUGAAGAUCCGGUGAUUGCCUAAAUAUUAUUGGAAGGUUCUGCUUAUGGAAACCGAGAUCCUGAUUGUAUGGGCGAACAUGAUUGAUGGGCUAUCAACACGUUCCUUUAAUAGCUUGAACAAUCUUCCUAAUUGAUUCCGUCCAACGGGUAGAUUGGAGGAAUUCCUUUGAUAAGUGCCAACGGGUAUGAUGGCAUAAAGGAGUAUAUAAGGAAGACUGUCUUAGUUGUUCAAGGUGUGCGCGAUAGAAGAAUUCCAAAGUCUGAAGCUCCUUUUUUGUUUAGACAAAUCCUUUGAGCGAAUACUUGUAUACGAAAGAGAGAGUCUAUAUUUGUGAGAAAUCUUGAGGAGGUGUGGUAGAACAUCUACACUGUGGAAUCAAGGCAAAGCUGUGCUGUAACUUCUCUUUUGUUCAUAGUGGAAUCCAGCCAAUAGGCUGUUAGUGAAGAAGAGUGGACGUAGGCUUGAUAUAAGCCGAACCACUAUAAACUGCGUGUUCAAUUUUCUCUUCUCUCAGUCUUACUUUGAUUAUCGUUUCCAUCAACUGUCUAGUAUUGUGCAAUUGUUGAAGAAAAAUCCUCUAUAUACCUAUUCACCCCCCUCUAGGUACUCAUACUAGCAAUAUCACCAUCUUCUUCCGGACACGCGUGUCAAAACAUGUUGAGAAACGUUGACUGCGUGUCCGACCGUGUCCGACACGCUUUGACACGUGUCGGACAUGACAUAGAAGCAUGGGGAACAUGUCUGUGUUUCAUAGGGAGGGACGUGGGGAUUGGGGACAUUACAAGUAUAUUUUGGUGGGAAAAAUAAUCUAAUUGUUGGUUCAACUUCUAAACCAAUCUCAUUUUCUUUUGUUCAACAACAAGAUGGAGAAGACUCCAAAAAGGUAUCUUGCCACUUCUGGGCUUUCUAAGCCUGUAACUAUCAGCUGUGCUAGAUUUCUCAGCUACGCGGGAAAAAGAAACGAAAGGAGAUGGUUCAUGAUUUCACUCUAUGUACAAUAGUAGGACGAAGUCCGGAGUUUUGGUUGAAGAAGUCAAUAAUUUAAGGAUAAAAAUCUAAGUUUUGUCAGCGAUCAUUGUACAUGAAAUGCAUACUCAUCUAAAACUUGUCUAAAUUUAUUAAGUGCAUUUAAUAAAUUCAUUAACCUUCUCUUAAGUUUUCCGUUCCCUUUCUCUAUUAUAUCCAUUCACGUGCACUCAAUACUUUUCAAUUUUCAUGUAUCCAUUUGCAUGCUAGAGUUAAGGACGAUGGUCACUUACAUUCAAUUUGUUUUUUUUUUUUUUUGGGUAUGCCUGGCCUUUUUUUCACCUAUAAGAGGGUAGAAUAUUUGUUAUUCUGGUCUUUAUGUGCAUUUCAUCUCCUUUUUUUCUCCUCAGAAAUGGGUCUUAGUUGCAAAAUUAAUUCAUCAGAAAUCGAUUUUUCUUUUUCCAAUUUGAUCUUGACUUGCUAUUGAAUGGAUAAUCGGUUAUCAUCACUCCCAAUUAGAUUAGAAAUAUGACUACAUCUCAAUAUAUCAAUUUACAUCCGAACUGUAAAAAAUGAGACUCGGCAAUAAUCUAUUUCUUAUGUAUGGAUCAUCUUUCCUACUGGUAUCUCGAAAAGCAAAUGAUUUUUUUUUUUUGGCAUAAACAUUUUUGUUGAGUGUCUUAAAAAAUUAACUACAUUUAAAAAUGCAGCAAAAAUACAAAGAGAUAAGAGGAAUGGUGAGGGAUUUUGAUUUCACAUGAAUUAGCAAAAACGAUUGAGAACUUAUGAGCUGAAACUUUCUUCUAUGCAAUCCAUCUUAAAUGACAAUAUAAUAGCCAACCUGGCGAGGUUUUUUUUUUUUUUUUUUACUAUUUAGGAAUUUUAUAUUAUGCUUUCCAGAUAGUAGUGUACGUAAUUGAUGAACAAACAAAAGAUCAAAAAAAUAUUUAAUAACCGACUUAAUACUACCAUAGAAGUUUCAACACAUAUCACAAAUAUGAUAUAACCAUAUUCUUGCAUGUGGUAGCUUAUUAACUAUAAAUGUAUCUAUAACACACGGGUUUGAAAACUAGUCUAAUUUAUAAUAGGGGCUUCUGAACAUUAAAUGCAUUCAAUUUAAUGAGAAACAUUCUUUUCUUAUCCAAAUUGAAGUUUUAUAUUUUUUUUUUCACUUGAAAUAGAAUUAGUCGCAGAAAAGAGUGGGAAUAUGCGAAACAAGAUUCAAGAAUAGAAAAAAAAAUGAUUUAAUAACAGUAAAGUUGACUAUGAUCUGCAUAAUAUAUUAUUUGAUAGAAAAAGUACAUAAUGACUAACAUGCAUCAAUACCAUAACAUAUAGCGAAAAAUUACUUUGGUUUAAUCAGAUACAAAAUUUAGUAAAGUAAAAAUAUUAGAGUUGAUUUUGCUUGACUAAAGAAUGAUGAUUGCUUAAAAAUGACAAUAUUUGCGCCAAAUUAAAAGGAAAAAUAAUCUACGAUAAUUCAAUUUUAAUAAAAUAUGAUAUAUAAGAUGUUUGAUGACUCAAAGUGUAUUUAUAAUUUGUAUGUAAGAUAAAUGAACCUAUCUCAGUCCAUCAUAUAAUAAGAGACGCAUUUUUCUGAUUUUUUCUUCGAUUGUUUAGAUUAUGUCACCGUUAUCACUCUAAAAUAUUAAAUUCCCAUAUUAGUUAGAAGUGAAAAAAUUGGACAAUGAAGUAACAUAGAUUUCUUCUAUUUUGAAAUAUAAAACUCUUACAAAACAUAGGGGAGUGCACUAGCUAUAUUAAAAGGAGUAAUAUUAGUAUACACUAUCGAUGUAAAAAGAUAGUUACACAAGACAUCACAAACUGUGAAGGAGUUCCAUAAUUCAUGUCACUAAAACAAACAAGUACUGUAUAGUGUUCUGAGGUAUGCUCAGACCAUUAAAAUAGAAGUAAUAAAAUACUGAAUUGCAUCAUCUUGUAUGACGACUCCAAAUUCACAUUAACGGCUCAAGGGCUAGUAGUAGCGACAGCUGUGUCCUUGGGAAUUGUGGGAACGAAAGGCAAUGUUGGCUUGGGAAAAUCAGGAAGAUGAGGCAAUUCAGGCACUUCUGACAAUUCCGGCUUCGGUAUUGUUGGAAAUUCAGGCUUGGGUAGCUCAGGAAGCGAUGGCAAUUCGACUUUCGGUAGUGAUGAGAAUUCCGGCUUUGGCAAGCUAGGGAUGUCAGGAAGUUGAGGCAAUUCGGGCUUCGGCAAUUCCGGCACUUUUAACAACUCUGGCUUUGGUAUUGCUGGAAAUUCAGGCUUUGGCAGUUCAGGAAGCGGCGGCAAUUCGACUUUUGGCAAUGAUGGGAAUUCGGGCUUUGGCAAGCUAGGGAUGUCAAGAAGGUGAGGUAAUUCAGGCUUUGGCAAUUCGGGCACUUCAGGCAAGGUCGCCUCCAAAAGUUGGCGAGCUCUGACUGGGUUCUCACCAAUCGUCAAAGACAGAGCGAGGACAAACAAUGCCAAAAGGUGCGCGAGUCCAUGAUGGUUCGUCAUUGGAGAAUCAAUCGACUAGCAAAUUCAAAAGCUUUGAGUGAAGAAGCGGCGAAUCUCAAGUGAGAGAAGGUGCAGGUGUGCUUGAGCAAUGGCUUGAUGUAGGGCUUAUAAGGAGGAGGGACGUGGGGGAUUGGGGAGAUUGCAAGUAUGGUUUGGUGGGAAUAUUAUCAAAGGGUUAGGUCAACUUCUAAACCAGUCUCAAUUUUGUACGUUAAACAGCAAGAUGGAGGAUAUUAUUCCAAAGAGGAGCUUGCCAAUUCUUGGCUUUUCAAGCUUCUGACUACCUGUCGAGGCGAGAAAGAGAGAGAGAAAAGAAAAGAAAAGAAAGGAAAUGGUUUAUGAUCUCAUUAUGUAUAACAGGACCGGAGUCUUGGGGACUUAGAAGCUUAGAGAAGUCAAUAAAGUAAGAGCAAACAAGUAAAUGUUGUCCGUGAUCAUUAUUCGUGGAAUCUUUACUUGAUGUAAGGAUUACUUAAGCGGUCAGCAUGUAUCUUUUGAUUCGGGGCCUAGGUUCGAAUCCCUACAAUUGUGUACUCUUUUGGACGAUCCUUGAGAGCAUAUACAUGUAUGAAUCCGAUAAUUUCUUGAUUUGUGUGGGAUCAAACUACUCUUGCUGGAAAAAAUAAAAUAAAAAGAAAACAAAAAACAAAACUUUGGGUGACAAUUUUUUAGGGACAGACAUAAAAAGAGAUUCCUAAAUAGAGCUUCUAGCUUGGGGUGAAUUCUAAGGUUGGUCUAGGUUUCAACCUAUCUAGAACAUGGAAUUUACCCCGUUAAGACCGGUUUCCCAUUUUUGGAAUUUGAAACCUAUCAUAUAUAUCUUAAAACUUGUGACUUGCUCUAUCAAUUGGAUCCAAAGUCUAUCAAGAGUCGGCCGAUUUCUCUUCUUUCUUUCUUUUUUCUGUUUUUUUGGUUUCAUUUUAGUCAAGCAAAAUGAGAGUGAACAUAACAACAAAAAUCAUCGUUUGUCAAUAACAAUAAUCUAUAAAAUAUGAACACCUAAAAUAAAAUAAAUAAAUAAAAGUUCAAAAUGCGUAAAAAGAUUCAAAAACCACGAUAAAAACCAAGGAGUCACAAUCGAAUGAAGGAACUUUCUUUCAUUCAAGCCUCAUGUAAUACCGUGCAUGUUAUGCUCUAUUUUAGGAUUACUUGGUUCCUGUUCUAGUUCUUUGAUUUUCAGUCCAAUUCGUUGGUUCUCAGUUCAAUUCUAUUCAAUUCUUAAGAGGAAAUCGGGAAUUUGAAUCACAUAGUACAAGUUCCAAAAAAUAUGAAUUCGGAAAUCGGACCAUUCCCGUUAGAACCUAGAUGCAUGCUGAUUCCCAUGGCAUGUUUGGUCUUUCCUGAUUAUACCUGCUCACCCUCAACUUCUAGUUCCAUUCCUAUGGAAACAUUGAAGGAGCUGUCAUUAAUGAUAGGGGUGUAAAUAGUUUGGUUCGGUUUGGUUUUUUUUAAAAACCGAACCAAAUCAAAUCAAUAAGGAAAUUUAUUGAAUCGAACUGAAAUUCGAUUCAAAUGAAAACUGAACCGAACUUGGAUUUUACUUUUGUUUUGUUUUCUCCCUGGCCCUUUCAAUAAAUUUUUAUUUUUUAGAAAAAUCAUUUUUAAUUAUAUUUAAUUCUUUUUCUUUUUCUUCUUCUUCUUCUUCUUUUUCAUUGGCUGGUCGCUGAUGACCACCGUAGGCGGCAACUAGCCAAUGAAGAAGAAAAAGACGAAAAAGAAGAAAAACCAAAAAUGAUUAAUUAAAAAAAUAAAAUGAAUUUUUUUAAAAUUUUAUUGGUUUGAUUCAGUUAACCAAAUUGAUAUAAUUAAAAUCAAACCGAAUGAUAACAAAAUCGAGAAAAAUCAAACUUUUUAGUUCAAUUCGGUUUGAUUCAGUUCGGUUUUUGACACUCCUAAUUAAUAGGCUAGCGGAUAAAUCAACAUGAAAACUUCAAGGGAAAUCCCAACCUGAAAUAAGAAAAGCGAAGCCCAUCGCAAAAAGAGAAGCCCAGCCCAACUCACACUCUGAUUUUCUCCCGGCCUCUCCCUCUCCCACUCUGCCCUGCAAAAGCUCAGCUCGAAUUUCUCUCGGUCUCUCCAUCGCACCCCAGCUGCAGCUCGUCGAUCUCGCGGACGAGAGCGUCUUCGGACCAGGAUUCCCCGUCGGCUUUCUUCUUCACGGUCUCCGCAGGUCACUGUUGUUGCCUCCCUCUCUCUCUCUCUCUCUCUCUUUCUUUCUCGCGCAUUUCACUGGCCAAUGUGGGGAAACCAUUCGCGAAGCGGUGGACUUGGGCGGAUGUUUCGAUCGUGGGUUGUGGGAGUUACCGGGUCGGGUCCUUCGUUUCCCCUUAUCUUGUCACUUUUGGGGGGGCAUAGCUCAUCUGGGUUGCUCAUGCCAGAGAGCUAACCCGGCGUGGUUGUAGGCGGUUCGGUGUCUUGUGAGUCCCUGCCCACCUUGUGUUUGCCAUAAUGUUUCGCUGGAUUUAUGCGGAGCAGGAGGAGAGUUGUCCCUUGCAUUGGAUUCCUCCGUGUGUUGGGAGUGAAAUUUAAAAGAACAGGCUUCGAGAACGUCUUGACUUUGCAUACGUGGAAAUGUGAUGAAGAUAAUUCGUGCGAAAGUUUUCAUGAAUAUUGUAAGGGAUGUUCUAUGAUGUGGAAGGUAGCGCAUUCCCAUUACCCUUGUGAUGGGAUCGCCUUUAUGUUUUGAUGUGAACUAAUAUUUCGUUCAACUCUAUAUGUUGCAUGAAAGGUGGUAAACCCAUUGUCAAACAAUGACGAAAUCUCCGCCCCUUUGCUCUCAAUAAGUUAUGUAAAUGUCAUUUGAGGGUUCUGAUGGUGAGGUUCUUGUUUUCAGUUUCAAACUCUGAAUGAAAGCACGUCCACAUCAUCAUCAUCUAUGUCGUUGAUUAGGCGCCUAACUCCAUCCUUUGCUGGUCACACUCAAGAGAACCAUAGGCUUUUGAGCCCUUCUUCUUCUUCAGUGUUUCAUGGAGCCUUUUCUACUGCAUCGCAGUCUCUAGAUGAUGCACACACAAAGGAUGGUAACAUGCGGGUACAUUCUUUCUUGAUAUCCUCAAGAAAACUAUUCACUUAAGAAACAUAUAUUGGUGUGUUAUGUCAUAUGCUCUUGGUGCCAAACAUAUUAUUUUGUUACCUUCAAACUCUGAUUGCUUUACUGUGCAUUCUGAAUUAUUCUUCUUCAUUUUCUCUGUUAUUGGAUCCAAUUCGUUUUACACUGUCUGCUUGUCAUAACUUGAGGAAUGAAAACUUUCCUUGUUUAAAUGGUACAAAGACAAAAGAAAUGGAGGGAGAAUAGAAGAAAAUUUAGAUUCCUUCGAGGACCACAAAACACAUUCUCCCAAAGAUGGGGAGGAAAUGAAAGGAAAUGCUUCCAAGACCCCUCUUGUUUCCUAUUGCUCUUAUUUUUUUGUAAAAUAGGGAAUUAUAUUUGACAAAAGUUAUUUUAGUCUAUUAAUUUCUUUUAUAUCCCUCAUAGCCUUUUAUUUUGACAUAUAUACAGGUCAAUUAGUCUUUGUCUAGUCAUUUUGUCGGAGAAGAUAAAUGUUUUGGAAUGAAGUUAUAAAAUCAUAAGUCGGGUCGGGGUGAUGUGAAAAUUAGUUCCAAGAGUUUCUCACUGUGCUUUGGAAACCGAAAUGAGAGAAAUCCUAUAAUCAUAUUUUGGUUAGUAGCUUCGUGGCAAUGAACAUAGUAAGCAUUAAAUUUCCAUUUGCCAAUUCACAUGGACAACCAACUUAAUCCAUCAAUAAGGUCGAAUUUGGCAUUUGAUGGAUAUUGGAUCUCAUUUGGUUGAGCUGUAUUGCCAAUUUCAGGUGAAUCUCUUCCUUGUAAUUUCCCUAAUGGUUUCUAUGUGUCUACUUUCAGGUGAAGCCACCAUCAAAGAAUCUCCCUCAAAUUGUAAAACCCACUCCCAGACCUCUUCAACCAUCUUCUUCACCACCUCCCUCUCUUCUCUCAGACCUCAAGCUGCCCUCUCUAUCUCCAUUACCAACCCUGACUCUCUCUAUAACCAAUCAUGAUAAUCUGAUGAACUUUCUUAAGUCUAAACUCUCUUUCCCUCUCACACCCAGGAGUCUCCUCCACUUCCUCAAGUGCAAACUCCACCCCAACCCUCAUUUGACCCUCUAUGACUUUUAUAUAUUCAGUUGGGCCUCCACGAUUGACUCCUAUCGCCAUGACCACUCAACAUUUGAGUGGAUGGCUCGCACUCUCGCUAUUUCAAGCCGUUUCGCGCAACUCAAUUCACUUCUCCAGUUCAUGGCCUCAAACCCUUGCCCUUGCUCUGAUGGAAUUUUCUCAUGCCCCAGGACAGAGCCAAUCUUUCAAUUCUCAAUAGAAGCUUAUUGCAGAGCUCAGAAACUAGAGGAAGCAGUGAUUGCUUUUGAGAGUAUGGAGAAGAUGAUUGAUGGCAGGCCGAGUGCGGUGAGUUAUAAUGCUUUGAUUCAUGGAUUUGUGAAAUGGGGUGACCAUGCCAGGGCUCUGGCCAUCUAUGAUCAAAUGAUAAGGAACAGAGUCAAGCCUAAUGUGAUAACCUUUAAUAUCUUGAUUAGUAGUUAUUGUAGAAGUUCACAGUUUGGAUUGGCUUUGGAGGUGUUUAAGGAGAUGAAGGAGAAGGGUUGCAGCCCAGAUGUGGUCAGUUUCAAUACUUUGAUCAGGGGGUUUUUUCGGGAGAGGAAGUUUGAGGAUGCGAUCGCAAUGGCUUAUGAGAUGAUCGAACUGGGGUGCCAGUUGUCGAGUGUGACUUGUGAGAUUUUGGUCGAUGGCCUAUGUAGGGAAGGUAAAGUGGCUGAGGCAUGUGAAUUGCUGAUUGGUUUUUCAAGUAAAAGAGUGUUGCCUGAGGAGUAUGAUUAUUUUGGCCUUGUGGAAGCUUUGUGCAGUUCAGGCAAUUCUCAUAGAGCACUUGAUGUUGUUACUGAUCUGUGGAAGACAGGGAAUAUUCCAAGCUUGAUUGCUUGUACUACUUUGGUGGAAGGAUUGAGGAAGCAGAAGAAAAGGGAAGAAGCACUUGCUUUGAUGGAAAAUAUGCUUAAAGAAGGUAUUGUACCAGACAUUGUGACGUUUAAUUGUUUGCUUGAGGAUCUUUCUGAUAUAGGGAAGACUGUGGAAGCAAACAAAUUGAGGUUGUUGGCGCAAAGCAAGGGUUUGGAACCAGAUGGCAUGAUGUACAGGAUUCUGGUAUCUGGUUUUACAAGAGAAAGAAAGAGAAAGGAGGGCCAGAUUCUGGUAGAUGAGAUGUUAGACAAGGACUUUAUACCUGAUCUUGCAACGUACAAUAGAUUGAUUGAUGGACUUUCAAACUCAAAAAUUACUUCUAGGAAGAAAGGUUGAAGAUGGGUUAGGAUCUUAUUCUUUUCACCUUGGUUUCUGGAAUGCUGGCAUCUGUUUGCAAACCCCCUCAUGCUUUGUGCUUGGUUUGCCAAUCAGUUUUAUCACUUUGGGACAAAGCCGGUUUAGGCUACGUUUCAGAUGGUUGAGGACAAUGUACAGCCUGGGAGCGAGCAGAACAGAUAAUGGUACGUGCACAAAACAACGAGUGGAAAGGAAUGGAAACUUCGCAUUGAGUUGUACGAAUUGUAAAGCCAGGAGAGUAGAUUGUGAUGCUCAGCAAGAGAUGAUGCGGAUGAGUAGUGCCCAGACGACAUCUAGGAGGUAUGAAUCAUGGUAACAGUGAUAAGUAUUAAUCCUAAGAUAUGAGAGAGUUGGAAAGUUUGAGUGACUGAGAAUAGUUUAUUUGGAUUAUGUUUAUAUAUAGACAUAAAAGCUGCAGAAGAUCAACAUUGAAUUUUCUGGCAGAUCUCAAACUGACACCAAAUCUAAUGAGGAAAAGCUUAGGGUAGAAAAUUCAUGCAAAUUCUGAAUUGGGCUCUGCUAUAUAUAUGAUAUAACUUGUGUGAGAUGGACCCUGGCAAAGAGAUUUCUUAGGAUUGAAAGUAAUGCAGAAAAGAGAAGGCAAGAGCCAAAGCUGUUAAAACAAAGUAUAAAAUCAUAAACUAUCAGGUUGGCAAAGCUGUCAAGUACUCGAUGUUGAUAGAACAAAUUAGGCACUUUACAUUUGGUUUGGUGGUGACACUGCCCUAUUAAUGCCCUUUUUCUGUGCUCCUCAUCGAUGAAUCAGUUGAUGAGAAAAAUAAUCCCCUAACUUCAUAAAUUCGGUAAGACAAAAACUCCAUGUGUGGCUCAAAUAUAAGAUUGUUUGAACUUGAUGAUAUAAUCGGUAUGCAUUAUCCAUGUAUACAUAUCUUUCUUUGUUCAGUGGGUGCAAGUCCUGCCAUUAAACUUUAGUUUUACAUUUUAUUAAAUGUAACACCAUAAAAAAGUUUUAUCUCACUAAAAAGCUCUGGACCCUCUAGAUUACCAAAUUAAGACGACUCGUUUCAACUUUUUAACAGAGGAUAGAUUCAAAUCACAGCACUUGUUUUGGAUUUUUCUUUAUGAGACGAAAAUUAGUAUUUUGGAUUUUUGUUAGGCUAAAAUUUUCGAGUAAACGUAUCAUGAGAGCACAAAAAAAUUUUGGGGGGAGGGGGGGGGGGGGGGAAGUAAAUCUACAUAACAAACAUCACUUCAUAUCACAAACUGUCAUAAUCAAGUACAUGUAUAGGAUCUGAGGCAUGCUUAGAUCAUUACAAUAGACAGGGAUAACAUUAGUGAAUCACGUGAUAGUAUAGCCCAAUGGCGAACUCGCUACAUAGCUUCAAGGUGUAGUAGUGAAAACAGACAUGUCUUUCGGAAUUGUGGGAACAAAUGGUAGCGUUGGCUUAGGGAAAUCGGGGAAAUGAGGUAGUUCGAGCACUUUUGGUAAUUAUGGCUUCGGUAUUGUUGGUAAUUCAGGCUUUGGAAGUUCAGGAACCGACGGCAAUUCAACUUUUGGCAAAGAUGGCAAUUCUGGCUUGGGUAGGCUCGGAAUGUCGGGAAGGUGAGGCAAUUCGGGCUUAGGUAAUUCAGGCACUUCAGGCACUUCAGGCAAUUCUGGCUUGGGCAAGCUCACAAUGUCGGGAAGAUGAGGCAAUUCGGGUUUGGGCAGUUCAGGCACUUCUGGUAAUUCUGGUUUUGGUAUUGUUGGUAAUUCAGGCUUUGGAAGUUCAGGAACCGACGGCAAUUCAACUUUUGGCAAAGAUGGCAAUUCUGGCUUGGGUAGGCUCGGAAUGUUGGGAAGGUGAGGCAAUUCAGGCUUAGGUAAUUCAGGCACUUCAGGCAAUGCUAACUUCAAAAGUUGGCGAGCUUCAACAGAAUUCUCGCCGAUCAUCAAGGACAGAGCAAGGACAAACAAUCCCAAAAUGUGCACAAACCUGUGAUAGUUUGCCAUGAUGGAAUUGACUAGCGAAAUGAAGAACUUCGAUGGUGAGGAGCUAUGAAUCUCAAGUGAAGAUGGUGGCGGUGUGUUUGAGGGAUGGCUUGGUUGGGGUUUUUAAAGAGGGGGACGUGGAGAUUAGGGAGAUUGCAAGUAUGUUUUGGUAGGAAAACUAGCAGAGUGUUAGCUCAACUUCGAAACCAAUUUCAUUUCCAUAUGUUCAACACGAUUUGAGCAAAUUAAACAAUCCCAGAAUGAUCUUGCCAACUCUAGGCUUCAAAAGCAUGUAAUGUAACCAUCAGCUGUAUUAUUUUGGUUAGAAAAAAGCCAAAAAGAAUCUUACUCUGCACAAGUAUGUUUUCUUUUCAAUUUUUUCUCACUAACUUAAUUUUUGACUUACAUUCAGUGGACCAAGUUGAAAAGGGUCAUUUAAACUUAUAUAAAAUAGAUUUAAAAUGGUUAAGAAAAACAAACCCAACUAGAUGUGGACUUUAAUGGUUCGGACCAAAUUCAUUUUAAUCAAACGAAAUAAAGAAUCGGCAAUAAAAAAUACAAGACAGGUCAUCUUGGGUUUUAAUGGAUUGGGAUUGAACUCAUUUGAUUCAAAUAAUAGAUUUCGAUUGAACUCAUUUGAUUCAAACUAAGAAAAUUAAGAGGAGAGGAGAGGGAUAUCACGUUUACUUUCCUUCCUUCUAUUUGCAUGUGGGAAAACACCAAAAAAGUUAUAAAUAUAUUGUAUUUGUGUCAAUUAUGUUAUAAAUAUAUUGCAUUGUGUCAAUUCAAUCUUAGGCCGUUUAAUUAGAUUAAUUUGUCCUAAAUAUUUUGUUGGUGCCAACUAGUUCACGUGGACGCUUGUCAUAUAGCUGACACUAACAUUAACAUUUUUAAUAAUUUUUAAUAUUUUUUAAUUUUUUAAUUUCUUUUUCUUCCUUUGAUUUGGCCAGCCGGAGGAGAAGGCAUUCGUGCCCUUGUUUGCAGCCAGCUGCGAGUAAGGGUGUAAGAAGUCCCUCGCCCAAGCCCCACCCAAAUUGACCCUCAAGAAUGGUUAGGCCCUAACCGGCCAAAAUGGAAGAAAGAAAAAUAUAAACAAUAAUUCACAAAAAUUAAAUUGAAAAAAUUAUCCAUGUAAGGACCAAUCAUGCUACAUAGGAUGGCUAGUUAGCAAUUUUCAGCCAAAUUUGAUCAAAUAAACUGAAUUGACACAAACGUAAAUAAUUUAAAAUAAAAUUGGUUCAAUUGAAAGAUUUAUGAUUGAAUUAGUCAUAAUACAAUAAGUAUAUAUAUAUUUUUUUAAAUUCUCCGCGCCAGAACAUAGAGGUGUCAAAAUGGGUCAUUAACCCAUUUAUGUUUAAAUGGGUCGUUAAUGGGUCAAGCCUAUUUCCUAAAGCACCUAUAAUGAGUUUUAAUGGGUUAAGACUGAGAUAUAUGAGUUAAGACCAAUUUAUCAACCCAUUGAAAAUGAAAUUAUUUAUUUUCACCCAAAAACUCACAAUUUCUAUCUUCUCUAUUUAACUUUACAAAAAUAUUUUUUUAAAAGAAACCAAAAUUAUAAUUAUUUUUUUAUUUUUUAUUUUUUCUUUCUUUUUCUUCAUCUAGUCGCUGGCACGGCGAUGGCCGGCGACCGGCCAAGCAAGAGCCUCGCCAAUCUGGCGAGACUCAAACUUGCCGGCGUCAAGCGAGGCUCGAGCUUGAGCUCGCUAGACGCCGACAAGCCUCAAGCUCGCCAGAUCUGGUGAGGCAAAGGCCCCGCUGACAUUCGGCGACGCUUGAGUCUUGCUAGAUCUAGCGAGGGGUGAGCUCAAGCUCGCUCGACGCCGGCAAGCCUCGAGCUUGCCAAAUCUGGCGAGGGGCGAGCUCAAGCUCGCUCAACGCCGGUGAGCCUCGAGCUCACCGGAUCCGGCAAGGUAGAGGCCUCACCAACAUCGACGAGCCAGGCGAGCUCCUGGUCGCCUGUGGCCGGCCGCCGGCUGUCGUCAUGGCCGGCGGCCGGCCAAAGAAGAAGAAGAACAAAAAAUAAAAUUUAAAAUUUAAAAUUAUAUUUAAAAAAUAAAAAUAAAUAAAAAAUUAAUUUAAAAAAUAAAAAAUAAUUAAAAUUCGAUUUUUUAAAAUAUAUUUUUAAAAAAUUAUAAAAUUUGUCCAUUAAAUUUGCGUUGUAUAAAAUUAUUUUAGCAAUACUAUAAUAUAUAUAAGCUUUCUUAAGUUUAGUUAAAUGGGUCGGGUAUGGAUAGGGUAUGAGUCAACAAAUUUGUAUUGUAAUAAUUGGUCAUAAACAGAUUAAAUGGGUCGAUUUGGGUUGGACCAUUUAUGACCCAACCAAAACCCGACUCGACCCACCUGUUUAACGGGUAUACCAGAACAUCAAUGACAAUGUUGCUACCGCCACUAGGCAACAACCAUCGGAUAAUAGAAGACCCAGCAAUGUUGUCAUAGUUAGCAUUAUCAACAUUCUCGUUGGUGUUAGCCUCAACAAAAGAACAAAGCACCAUGAUCGCGGUGCCCAUCAUGAACUUCAUUGUCAUUGGGUAUUAGGGAAAUCCCUUAGGAUGUUUUAAAAAAGAUAAAAUAAAUCAAAGGUUAAUAAUGUGUUUAAUAAGAAUUUUUUUUUUUUUUUUGUAAAAUAGGGAGGGGGGGGGAAAUGAAAGGAAAUGCUUGCAAGACCCCUCUUGUUUCCAAUUUCUCUUUUUUUUUUGUUGUAAAAUAGGGAAUUAUUUUCAACAAAAGUUAUUUUAGUCUAUUAAUUUCUUUUAUAUCCCUCAUAGCCUUUUAUUUUGACAUAUAUACAGGUCACUUAGUCUUUGUCUAGUCAUUUUGUCCGAGACGAUAAAUGUUUUGGAAUGAAGUUAUAAAAUCAUAAGUCGGGUUGGGGUGAUGUGAAAAUUAGUUCCAUGAGUUUCUCACCGUGCUUUGGAAACCGAAAUGAGAGAAAUCCUAUAAUCAUAUAUUGAUUAGUAGCUUCGUGGCAAUGAACAUAGUAGCAUUAAAUUCCCAUUUGCCAAUUCACAUGGACAACCAACUUAAUCCAUCAAUAAGUUCGCAUUUGGCAUUUGAUGGAUAUUGGAUCUCAUUUGGUUGAGCUGUAUUGCCAAUUUCAGGUGAAUCUCUUCCUUGUAAUUUCCCUAAUGGUUUCUAUAUGUCUACUGUCAGGUGAAGCCACCAUCAAAGAAUCUCCCCAAAAUUGUAAAACCCACUCCCAGACCUCUUCAACCAUCUUCUUCACCACCUCCCUCUCUUCUCUCAGACCUCAAGCUGCCCUCUCUAUCUCCAUUACCAACCCUGACUCUCUCUAUAACCGAUCAUGAUAAUCUGAUGAACUUUCUUAAGUCCAAACUCUCUUUCCCUCUCACACCCAGGAGUCUCCUCCACUUCCUCAAGUGCAAACUCCACCCCAACCCUCAUUUGACCCUCUAUGACUUUUAUAUAUUCAGUUGGGCCUCCACGGUUGACUCCUAUCGCCAUGACCACUCAACAUUUGAGUGGAUGGCUCGCACUCUCGCUAUUUCAAGCCGUUUUGAGCAACUCAAUUCGCUUCUCCACUUCAUGGCCUCAAACCCUUGCCCUUGCUCUGAUGGAAUUUUCUCAUGCCCCAGGACAGAGCCAAUCUUUCAAUUCUCAAUAGAAGCUUAUUGCAGAGCUCGGAAACGAGAGGAAAGCAGUGAUUGCUUUUGAGAGUAUGGAGAAGAUGAUUGAUGGCAGGCCGAGUGCGGUGAGUUAUAAUGCUUUGAUUCAUGGAUUUGUGAAAUGGGGUGACCAUGCCAGGGCUCUGACCAUCUAUGAUCAAAUGAUAAGGAACAGAGUCAAGCCUAAUGUGAUAACCUUUAAUAUCUUGAUUAGUAGUUAUUGUAGAAUAUUACAGUUUGGAUUGGCUUGGUGGUGUUUAAGGAGAUGAAGGAGAAGGGUUGCAGCCCAGAUGUGGUCAGUUUCAAUACUUUGAUCAGGGGGUUUUUUCGGGAGAGGAAGUUUGAGGAUGCGAUCGCAAUGGCUUAUGAGAUGAUCGAACUGGGGUGCCAGUUGUCGAGUGUGACUUGUGAGAUUUUGGUCAAUGGCCUCUGUACGGAAGGUAAAGUGGCUGAGGCAUGUGAAUUGCUGAUUGGUUUUCCAAGUAAAAGAGUGUUGCCUGAGGAGUAUGAUUAUUUUGGCCUUGUGGAAGCUUUGUGCAGUUUAGGCAAUUCUCAUAGAGCACUUGAUGUUGUUACUGAUCUGUGAAAGACGGGAAAUAUUCCAAGCUUGAUUGCUUGUACUACUUUGGUGAAAGGGUUGAGGAAGCAGAAGAAAAGGGAAGAUGCACUUGCUUUGAUGGAAAAUAUGCUUAAAGAAGGUAUUGUACCAGACAUUGUGACGUUUAAUUGUUUGCUUGAGGAUCUUUCUGAUAUAGGGAAGACUGUGGAAGCAAACAAAUUGAGGUUGUUGGCGCAAAGCAAGGGUUUGGAACCAGAUGGCAUGAUGGACAGGGUUCUGGUAUCUGGUUUUACGAGAGAAAGAAAGAGAAAGGAGGGCCAGAUUCUGGUAGAUGAGAUGUUAGACAAGGACUUUAUACCUGAUCUUGCAACGUACAAUAGAUUGAUUGAUGGACUUUCAAACUCAAAAAUUACUUCUAGGAAGAAAGGUUGAAGAUGGGUUAGGAUCUUAUUCAUUUCAACUUGGUUUCUGGAAUGCUGGCAUCUGUUUGCAAACACCCUCAUGCUUUGUGCUUGGUUUGCCAAUCAGUUUUAUCACUUUGGGACAAAGUGGGUUUAUGGCUAUGUUUCAGAUGGUUGAGGACAAUGUACAGCCUGGGAGCGAACAGAACAGAUACUGGUACGUGCACAAAACAACGAGUGGAAAGGAACGGAAACUUCGCAUUGAGUUGUACGAAUUGUAAAGCCAGGAGAGCAGAUUGUGAUGCUCAGCAAGAGAUGAUGCGGAUAAGUAGUGCCCAGACGACAUCUAGGAGGUAUGAAUCAUUGUAACGGUGAUAAGCAUUAAUCCUAAGAUAUGAGGGAGUUGGAAAGUUUGAGUGACUGAGAAUAGUUUAUUUGGAUUAUGUUUGUAUAUAGACGUGAUUAAUAAUGAUACCAAUGAGCGUGUAUAUUAUAAAAGCUGCAGAAGAUCAACAUUGAAUUUUCUGGCAGAUCUCAAACUGACACCGAUUAAUCUAAUGAGGAAAAGCUUAGGGUAGAAAAUUCAUGCAAAUUCUGAAUUGGGCUCUGCUAUAUAUAUAUGAUAUAACUUGUGUGAGAUGGACCCUGGCAAAGAGAUUUCUUAGGAUUGAAAGUAAUGCUGAAAAGAGAAAGCAAGAGCCAAAGCUGUUAAAACAAAGUAUAAAAUCAUAAACUAUCAGGUUGGCAAAGCUGUCAAGUACUCGAUGUUGAUAGAACAAAUUAGGCACUUUACAUUUGGUUUGGUGGUGACACUGCCCUAAUAAUGCCCUUUUUCUGUGCUCCUCAUCGAUGAAUCGGUUGAUGAGAAAAAUAAUCCCCUAACUUCAUAAAUUCGGUAAGACAAAAACUCCAUGAGUGGCUCAAGUAUAAGAUUGUUUGAACUUGAUGAUAUAAUCGGCAUGCCUUAUCCAUGCAUACAUAUCUUUAGUGUGUGCAAGUGCUGCCAUUAAACUUUAGUUUUACAUUUUAUUAAAUGUAACACCAUAAAAAAGUUUUAUCUUGCUAAAAAGCUCUGGACCCUCUAGAUUACCAUAUUAAGACGACUCGUUUCAACUUUUUAACAGAGGAUAGAUUCAAAUCACGGCACUUGUUUAGGAUUUUUCUUUAUGAGACGAAAAUUAGUAUUUUGGAUUUUUGAUAGGCUAAAUUUUUGGAGUAAAUGUAUCAUGAGAGCACAAUUUUUUUUUUGUUUUUGGGGGAGGGGGGUUGGGUUUUGAGACGAAAAUUAGUUUGAGGUACAUGUAUCGUAGGAUACGAAUUUGGGAUUUUUAGUCAUAUUAACCCUUGGCAUAAUGAUAUAUACAUAUAUAUAUUUAUGUAAUUUUGGAUGUCAAACACCAAAUUUAUCCUUCUUUAUGAUUUCUUAAAGUAAAUCUACAUAACAAACAUCACUUCAUAUCACAAACUGUCAUAAUCAAGUACAUGUAUAGGAUCCGAGGCAUGCUCAGAUCAUUACAAUAGACAGAGACAACAUUAGUGAAUCACAUGAUAGUGUAACCCAACAGCGAACUCGCUACAUAGCUUCAAGGAGUAGUAGUGGAAACAGACAUGUCUUUCGGAAUUGUGGGAACGACUGGUAGUGUUGGCUUAGGGAAAUCGAGGAGAUGAGGUAGUUCGGGCACUUUUGGUAAUUCUGGCUUCGGUAUUGCUGUUAAUUCUGGCUUGGGCAAUUCAGGAAGCGAUGGCAAUUCGACUUUUGGCAAAGAUGGCAAUUCGACUUUUGGCAAAGAUGGCAAUUCAGGCUUUGGCAGUUCAGGGAGCGGCGGCAAUUCGGCUUUUGGUAGAGCUGGCAGUUCUGGCUUAGGCAAGCUCACAAUGUCGGGAAGAUGAGGCAAUUCAGGUUUGGGCAGUUCAGGCACUUCUGGUAAUUCUGGCUUCGGUAUUGUUGGUAAUUCAGGCUUUGGAAGUUCAGGAAUCGACGGCAAUUCAACUUUUGGCAAAGAUGGCAAUUCUGGCUUGGGUAGGCUCGGAAUGUUGGGAAGGUGAGGCAAUUCCGGCUUAGGUAAUUCAGGCACUUCAGGCAAUUCUGGCUUGGGCAGGCUCACAAUGUCGGGAAGAUGAGGCAAUUCGGGUUUGGGCAGUUCAGGCACUUCUGGUAAUUCUGGCUUUGGAAGUUCAGGAACCGACGGCAAUUCAACUUUUGGCAAAGAUGGCAAUUCUGGCUUGGGUAGGCUCGGAAUGUCGGGAAGGUGAGGCAAUUCAGGCUUAGGUAAUUCAGGCACUUCAGGCAAUGCUAACUCCAAAAGUUGGCGAGCUUUAACAGAAUUCUCGCCGAUCAUCAAGGACAGAGCAAGGACAAACAAUCCCAAAAUGUGCACAAACCUGUGAUAGUUUGCCAUGAUGGAAUUGACUAGCGAAAUGAAGAACUUCGAUGGUGAGGAGCUAUGAAUCUCAAGUGAAGAUGGUGGCGGUGUGUUUGAGGGAUGGCUUGGUUGGGGUUUUUAAAGAGGGGGACGUGGAGAUUAGGGAGAUUGCAAGUAUGUUUUGGUAGGAAAACUAGCAGAGUGUUAGCUCAACUUCGAAACCAAUUUCAUUUCCAUAUGUUCAACACGAUUUGAGCAAAUCAAACAAUCCCAGAAUGAUCUUGCCAACUCUAGGCUUCAAAAGCAUGUAAUGUAACCAUCAGCUGUAUUAUUUUGGUUAGAAAAAAGCCAAAAAGAAUCUUACUCUGCACAAGUAUGUUUUCUUUUCAAUUUUUUCUCACUAACUUAAUUUUUGACUUACAUUCAGUGGACCAAGUUGAAAAGGGUCACUUAAACUUAUAUAAAAUAGAUUUAAAAUGGUUAAGAAAAACAAACCCAACUAGAUGUGGAUUUUAUUGGUUCGGACCAAAUUCAUUUUAAUCAAACGAAAUAAAGAAUCGGCAAUAAAAAAUACAAGACAGGUCAUCUUGGGUUUCAAUGGAUUGGGAUUGAACUCAGUUGAUUAGAAUAAUGGAUUUCGAUUGAACUCAUUUGAUUCAAACUAAGAAAAUUUUGCGGAUAAAAAAGAGGAGUGGGAUAUCAUGGUUACUUUCCUCCUUCUAUUUGCAUGUGGGAAAACACCAAAAAAUGUUAUAAAUAUAUUGCAUUUGUGUCAAUUCAGUCUUAGGCCGUUUAAUUAGAUUAAUUUAGUCCAAAAAAUUUAAUUGAUGCCAACUAAUUCACGUGGAUGCCAGUUAUCUUAUGUGAUAUAAUCGACAUUAACAUUAACAUUUUUUUUAAUAAUUUUUAUUUUUAUUUUUAUUUUUUCUUUCUUUUUCUUCCUUUCAUUUGGCCAGCCGAAGGAGAGGGCAUUCGUGCCCUUGCUCACAGCCAGCCACAAGUAAGAGUGUGAGAAGUCCCUCGCCCAGGCCCAACCAAAUUGACCCUCAAGAACGGUUAGGCCCUAACCGGUCAAAAUGAAAGAAAGAAAAAUAUAAACAAUAAUUCAAAAAAAUUAAAUUGAAAAAAUUGUCCAUGUAAGCACCAAGCACCAAUCAUACUACAUAGGAUGGCUAGUUAGCAAUUUUCAACCAAAUUUGAUCAGAUAAACUGAAUUGACACAAAUGUAAAUAGUUUAAUAUAAAAUUGGUUCAAUAGAGAGAUUUAGGAUUGAAUUAGUCAUAAUACAAUAAGUAAAAAAAAAAUUAUUUAAAUUCUCCUUGCCAGAACAUCAAUGACAAUGUUGCUACUGCCGCUAGGCAAUAACCACCGGAUAAUUGAAGACCCAACAACGUUGUCAUAGUUGGCAUUAUCAACAUUCUCGUUGGUGUUAGCCUCAACAAAAGAACAAAGCACCAUGAUCGUGAUGCCCAUCAUGAGCUUCACUAUCGUCGGGUGUUUGGGAAAAUCCCUUAGGAUGUUUUAAAGAUAACAAAAUAAAUCAAAUGUUACUAACGUGUUUAAUAGGAAAUUAUUUUUUUGUAAAAUAGGGAGGGGGGAAAUGAAAGGAAAUGCUUGCAAGUCCCCUCUUGUUUCCUAUUGCUCUUAUUUAUUUAUUUUUUUGUAGAAUAGGGAAUUAUUUUCGACAAAAGUUAUUUUAGUCUAUUAAUUUCUUUUAUAUCCCUCAUAGCCUUUUAUUUUGACAUAUAUACAUGUCACUUAGUCUUUGUCUAGUCAUUUUGUCCGAGACGAUAAAUGUUUUGGAAUGAAGUUAUAAAAUCAUAAGUUGGGUUGGGGUGACGUGAAAAUUAGUUCAAUGAGUUUCUCACCGUGCUUUGGAAACCGAAAUGAGAGAAAUCCUAUAAUCAUAUAUUGAUUAGUAGCUUCGUGGCAAUGAACAUAGUAAGCAUUAAAUUCUCAUUUGCCAAUUCACAUGGACAACCAACUUAAUCCAUCAAUAAGGUCGCAUUUGGCAUUUGAUGGAUAUAUAUAUAUAUAUAUAUAUAUAUAUAUAUAUAUAUAUUAACAUAAACCCAUAUUGUAUUAAUACGAGUGUCCCAUACAACCAGCAGCUAUAGCAUCCGCGCUUAACAGGUUCAAGAGAGGAGGGGGCGAAAGAAGGGCCCGAUUACAAGUCAAACUAUUGCUAUUAUGGGCCUUACAGGCCUAGUCGGCUACCACGUUUGCUUCCCUUCGACAGAACCCUAGCGUUAGAUUGGGAAAUAGGGUUAACAGGAAUGCUGCCUAUGAGAAGAGAGAGCGAUCCGUCCAUGGUGGCAGUGUCCGGCUAUUCAACGUUUCCACCAGAGUGAUAUUGUCUGAUUCGAUGAUUAUCGAUGUGUUUUGGAGCCCCCGUUGCAGAAGAUGGCGGAGUGAGAAGGAUAAGGCUUGGAUCUCAACCUGCAUAGCCGAGGACGCAACAACCCCUAUGGAGAAACCAUCUGUAAGUCGGCCUUGAUGAUCCCUGCAAAUACAAGCUAUAUUGCCAUGAUUACUUCCCUGAUGAUAUGAUCCGUCUAUAUUAACCUUCAGAACCCUGGGAUUUGGGGGAUGCCAGAGAUGAGUUUUAUUUUUGACCGAGAACUCUUGUUGCGUGCAGGAAGCCGAGGACAACCGAUCUACCUGAGCGUGAUUUAGUGCCGCUUCUACCACCUGGGUCGGAUUAGGAGAAGUUCCUAUGAAAAUGAAGCCAUUCCGACCUCGUCAGAUUUGCCACAAAACAUGAGAAAUAAACGCCAGACGAGGUAAUCGGUUUCCUUCCCCGACCGUGGACACGAUCCACGAGUCUAGACGCUGAAUAUUGUUGGGAAUGAUUGAGAUCCCGAUCUGGGAAUGAUUCCACACCUGAUGAGUCCACAAACAGAGUAAGAACAUAUGUUCUAAGGUUUCUGGAACCUGAUUUUUACAUAGUUAGCAGCAGGGAUUUUCUAAUAUAUGUCUACGAUGCAGGUUGUCUCUCGUCGCCAAGGAAUUGCUACAGAUGGACCAGAGGAAAACACAGAGUUUGGGUGCAGCAGGCAUUUUCCAGAUAUUGCGCCAUAACUAGGUAGGGAUUUGGUAUGAUGUUGAAGCACCAGAAUUUGGGAUACCUGAUUUUGUCUGAAUAAUUGCAUGAUAUGCUGAUUUGACUGUAAAUGUUCCUUGCUUAGUAGCUGUCCAUAUAAGUGCAUCUGAAGUGAAGUUAGGCCUGAGUUGGAUGUCUGUUAUAUGUUGAAUGAUUGACAAGUCGAAAAAUCUGUACAAUAAACUGGUAGCCUGAUCAAUAAGAUCAGCUACUAGUAGAGGUUCUUCUGGGGCUUUUGGUCCACCUAGAAUGCCCAUUGGGAGCCAUCUGUCUUCUCUAAUGUUGAUGCAUUUGCCAUCUCCCACUGACCAACUAACAUUUGGUAAAAUAGCAUCCCUCCCGCUCAAGAGGCUCUGCCAGCCCCAUGAUGGGCGAGAGCCCUUGUUAGCUUUUAAAAAGGUGGAUGAGUGAAAAUAUAAACCUCUAAAAAACUUGCCCCAUAAAGAUAAGGGUUGAUGAAUUAGACGCCAUGCUUGCUUACCGAGCAUGGCUUAAUUAAAACUCAUCAAAUCUCUGAAGCCCAAUCCCCCUAAUUCCUUUCGGUUCUGUAAAGUUUUCCAACUCUGCCAAUGAAUUCUAGAUCUGCUUGUAUCAUUACUCCACCAAAAUUUAGCCAUUCUCUAUUCAAUAACUUUACAUAAUGAGAUAGGAUUCUUAAAAAUAGACUUGGCGUAUUGUGGAAUAGAUUGAAUGACAGUCUUUAGCAGAACUUCUUUCCCUCCCUUAGAAAUUAGUUUCUCCUUCCACCCUUCUAAUUUCGAUUGAACUCUACUCAACAGCCAAGAAAACAUAUCCCUUUUAGAUCUUCCCCAAUCUGUAGGUAUCCCUAAAUACUUCCCACAUCGCUGUAAAACAGGUACCCUUAAUUCCCUAGCCAAAUUUUCCUGGAGUGAUAGUUUGUCCAGAAGCCAGGCAAUACUGGUUUAGAAUAUUAGAUAGGUUUUGACACUCCAGCAAGGUACCAUCAAGAAAGAACACAGCAUCAUCAGCAAAAAAGAGAUGUGAUAAAGUAGGACACCAUUGAUUCAACUUAAUGCCUUUGAGUAAGCCCAUAUCCAUAGCAUUUCUAAUUAGGAAGGAUAAGAGAUUGGCUAUAAGGAUAAACAAGUAAGGGGAUAAGGGAUCUCCUUGCCUCAUCCCUCGAGUUGGGUGAAAAAUCGGUAAAUACUCACCAUUCAUUUUGACAGAGAAAGAUGUAGUUGAAAUGCAGCAUAAUUAGGUGGACCCAAUGAGAAUGAAAGCCUAAUCGAAGUAAAUAAUCUUGAAGAAAGUCCCAUUCAACACGGUCAUAAGCUUUAUGCAUAUCUAACUUAAGAAUCGCUUUAAAAUGACGCCUCUGUUUCCUGGUCUUAAGCUGAUGAAUGACUUCCUGUACGAUGAGAACAUUGUCCUGAAUCUAUCUUCCAGCAACAAAAGCACUUUGUUCCUCAGUAAUCAGCGUAGGCAGCAUGGAUUUUAAUCUAUUAGCUAGUACUUUAGAGAAAAUCUUAUAGGCAUAGUUGCACAAGCUAAUAGGACGAUACUGAUCUAAGCUUUCUGGGUUUAGGGUUUUGGGGAUUAGGGUUAUAGCGGUUCUGUUUAAAGGUAAAGGUAAUGAUCCAGAAGUAAAGAAUUGCUGAACUGCUCUGUGAAUGUCCACCUUAAGAACUUCCCAAUGCGAUUGAUAAAAUAGUCCAUUUAAACCAUCUGGGCCUAGUGCCUUUGAAGCACCUAAUUGAAAUGUGGCCACUUUAACUUCUUCGAGAGUGGGUUGCACGAGAAGUGUUGCAUUCAUGUCUGCAUCAACCAUCUGUGGACACUGUUGUAAAAUCUGUGCAUAAUAGCGAGGGCCUGAAGUGGUAUAUAGCUGUGAAAAAUAAUCUGUAGUCAGUUCUUUGAUCUGUCCAGUAUCUCGAACCCAUUGCUGAUGUUCAUCCCUCAAUAUAGUAAUUUGAUUACAUUGUCUUCUUUGAAGUGUGGUAGCAUGAAAGAACUUAGUAUUGCGGUAUCCCCACUUUAACCAGUUUAUCCUAGAUCGCAUCGCCCAAAAUUGCUCUUCCCUCUGCCGUGCUUUCUGAAGUUCUAUUUUUAUCAUUUGUUGCCGAGAUUGAUUCAUUAAAGUAGGAUGCUGAUUUGUCAAAGUUUGUAACUGGUGCUCUAAUUCCAUUGCAUGUUGCCUGUUGUGGGAGAAAUUCUGGCGACUCCAAGUGGAUAAGACUGCAGCAACCGCGUGAAGCUUGACUAGGAGAGGAGAGUCCUGCCUCGAGACAAAGUGCUAAGAGGUUUCAAUGAAUGAAUGACAUCCCGAGUCCUGAUUCCAGAAAGCUUCAAAGGUAAAGUGUCUCUUUCGUCGACCCGAAUAAGGUUUUGUAUCUAAAAAAAUUGGGCUAUGAUUUGAUCCCACUGCAGGGAGAGCCAGCACUUGAGCAUUCGGGUACGUGACACGCCAUUCAGCAGUGCAUACAUCUCGAUCAAGACGCUCCUUCACCAAGGCUUCCCCAUCACAGUUAUUGGACCGAGUGAAAGCACAACCAUGAGAAGGUAGAUCCAACAAGCAGCAAUCAUUAAGGACAUCUCGAAAUGAAGAGAGGCGGUAAGAGUCCGCAGGCCGAGAUCCCAUUUUCUCCCAACGGUGAAGAAUUUCAUUAAAAUCGCCAAGGCACACCCAAGGUAAGACAUUAUAACUACCAAAUUGUCACAAGGUUUGCCAAAGAUGCUGACGGUCAUGAAAAACUGCAGGGGCAUGAAUGCAAGUAAUCCUCAUAGAUCUGGCCUCCGAAAUUUCCAGACAAAGAAAAUCCAAAAAAUGAGGAUUGGAGGAGAAGUCAGAUAGCGAGAUCCCAGCAUUCCAAAAAAGAGCUAAGCCACCUGCAGAGCCAACAGGGCUGAACAGCUUGUGGUGCAAAAAACGGAAGGAACGUUUAAGGCAAAGGAGUACUUCAUCACCAUUCUUCGUUUCCAUAAAAAAUAAUAGGUUAGGCUUUUCUUUAGCCAAAAGGGCUUUUAAGGAUAGGACUGUCAGGGGAUUGCCCAAACCCUGACAGUUCUAAUUGAUAAUUUUCAUUGUUGUUCUGGUGGCUGUUUAGGGCCAGCCACCGUCGCCCACGAACCAUCUUCAAACGCCUCUACAAUUGGCGUAUCCAACAAUAAGGAACCAUCAUAAACUCCUAGUGGCCCUUCAGGUAAGUCAUAUGGAGUAUAGUGUCUCGGUUUCUUAGUAGGACCUUUUUUGAUAUUCUGAUGCACACAUUUGCCUUUUUUGACUUGAGGAGCUGAUAUGGGCAAUUGUACUCCUUUAAGCUUCUCUGAUGCUAGAAUUAGAGCGGUCGUGAGAUUUUGUUGCACUGAAGGAGUGAAGCCCAAGGUAUCAGUACCAGCCUGUGGUGUGGUUGGAGUAGCCUUUUGUGGAGAGGAGGUUGUUUUAGGAAUAGGUGGUAGUAGAAGAGGGAGAGGGCGAAUAUCAGUGGGAGGUGUUUCAAGUAUGGUUUCCUCUCGCUCCUCCUCCAUAAUUGAUUCUCCAUAGUAACACUUCCAGUAAGGGCUGUACUGUUGAACUUCAACUUUUAACCAAGGACCGUAAGGAGUUGUUCCAGUAUUGGUGAUCAUAUUCUCCUCAAAAGGGAUGGUGGGGCAAGAGUCAGUAUAAUGGCCCAAUCGUCCACAAGAGUAACUGUAAUGAGGUAACCGUUCAUACCAAAAUUCCAACCACAGAGUUUGAUUUUUGAAUUUAAUUAGUCGACCUACCUUCAAAGGUUCAAAUAAAUUCAGCUGUACUCUAGCGCGGCCUACUUUCAGGGUGGAACCAGUAGCAAAGUCAGACUUAACUUGCAGAACAGGGCCUAUCAGACUAACAGCCUUACGGAUCAUAUCAUCGGUACAACAUUCUAAAGGCAGCCCAAUUACCUGAACCCAGAAUGCAAAGGUAGAGAAGUCAUAAUAGUGCAGAGGGGUAUUGGCUACCCAGGGUUUAAAAUUUAUAAGGUGUCCCGAGAAUUGUCAAGGGCCUGUGUCUAGAAUUCUCUGUUUUUCAGCUUGAGACCUAAAUUUGCUAAAUAAAUUCCCGCUUCUGUCUGUAGGAUUUCGCUUGGUCGGACCUCCAUGCCCUCUUCAAGACUGCCUGGGAAAUUGAAGGAAAGGGUUGGAUGGAACUUUACCAAUUAACAGUAGCUUACACUCCUCGACUGCGCCAGGUGCGGGUUCAACUUGCCAUUCUUCAAUUGCUUUUCUAUGCAUAAUCGGCCCAAUUUUUGACAAAGUGCAGCAACUCGAGAUGCAUCGGGAUCAUCUUCGCUAGCCAUUGAUGAAAUGACGGAUUGCCUUAAUAGAUGAAGGUCGUGAACAUAAAAAUAUCGACGUGCAAAAGGAGAAACGGAAGAACCCCAGAGGUGGAGAAAAGAAAACCAGCAAAACAAUCGCUGGCGAGAUGUGUAUGGGUUAACUAAUUAAACCUGUGAAGGAAAGGAGAGAGGAAGAUGAUGAAGAAUUGCCAUUCGCAUGGCGAUAGUAAGAUACUGGAGACUGAAGACAAAAGGGUUUAACAGAGAAGAAGAACUCUAACCAGUAGAUAGAGAGGAAACUCGACAAGACGAGAGGGUAAGUGCAUUUGAUGGAUAUUGGAUCUCAUUUGGUUGAGCUGUAUUGCCAAUUUCAAGUGAAUCUCUUCCUUGUAAUUUCCUUAAUGGUUUCUAUGUGUCUACUGUCAGGUGAAGCCACCAUCGAAGAAUCUCCCUCAAAUUAUUAAACAUACUCCCAGACCUCUUCGACCAUCUUCUUCACCACCUCCCUCUCAUCUCUCAAACCUCAAGCUGCCCUCUCUAUCUCCAUUACCAACCCUGACUCUCUCUAUAAUCAAUCAUGAUAAUCUGAUGAACUUUCUUAAGUCCAAACUCUCUUUCCCUCUCACACCCAGGAGUCUCCUCCACUUCCUCAAGUGCAAACUCCACCCCAACCCUCAUUUGACCCUCUAUGACUUUUAUAUAUUCAGUUGGGCCUCCAUGAUUGACUCCUAUCGCCAUGACCACUCAACAUUUGAGUGGAUGGCUCGCACUCUCACAAUGUCAAGCCGUUUCGAGCAACUCAAUUCGCUUCUCCAGUUCAUGGCCUCAAACCCUUGCCCUUGCUCUGAUGGAAUUUUCUCAUGCCCCAGGACAGAGCCAAUUUUUCAAUUCUCAAUAGAAGCUUAUUGUAGAGCUCGGAAACCAGAGGAAGCAGUGAUUGCUUUCGAGAAUAUGGAGAAGAUGAUCGAUGGCGAGCCGAGUGCGAUGAGUUAUAAUGCUUUGAUUCAUGGAUUUGUGAAAUGGGGUGACCAUGCCAGGGCUUUGGCCAUCUAUGAUCAAAUGAUAAGGAACAGAGUCAAGCGUAAUGUGAUAACCUUUAAUAUCUUGAUUAGUAGUUAUAGUAGAAAUUUACAGUUUGGAUUGGCUUUGGAGGUGUUUAAGGAGAUGAAGGAGAAGGGUUGCAGCCCAGAUGUGGUCAGUUUCAAUACUUUGAUUAAGGGGUUUUUUCGGGAGAGGAAGUUUGAGGAUGCGAUCGCAAUGGCUUAUGAGAUGAUCGAACUGGGUGUUAGCCGGGUUCACACCUAUGUGGAGGAGGCCUAAUGAGUUGGAAGCCUAAAAAGGGCUUGAACCCAUAUGAUAAGUUAUAUGAGGAAAUAGGGUUUCUCACUAUCUAUAUAAAGAGGUAGCCGCAAAAAAGGAAAAGAAAAAGAGAAAGCAGAAAAUUUGGGGUUUUAGGCAAUAUCUGAUUUACAUCAAGCUGGUGUCGGAGGUCGAUUCGUGGUCCAAUUGAGCUAAAAUGUUGUCAGCAUGUUCAUGGCGCAAUUUUAUUGAAUCUGAACGGUUUGAUUUUCGUUUGAAGUUCCCUACAUCAGGUUUUUUAUGGAUUGAUCAAAACUUGCGUUUUUUGUCAGAUUUAUCCUUGAUCUCUUGUGAAAUUCAUGUGUAUUGCAAGAAUUAUGUUCUUGAGAUCUUUGCUACUAUGUACCUCUAGUAUUUGCUAGAGAAGAACAAUUUUGUUGAUAGUGAAGAAUUUCGGGUGGACUUCGGUCUCGUGGUUUUUUAUCUCCUCACAUCGAGGAGGUUUUCCACGUAAAAAUCAUCUUGUGUUCACGUGUUUGGUAUUUAUUUUACUCUACUAUAUCGAUUUCUAUUAGGGUUACACAAGAUGGGAGAUUAUUUUAUUCCGCUGCAUUGAUUCGAUAUUGUUCGAAUUAUUACCGUUCUCCCAUCAGAGUGGUAUCAAAGCAUCUGGUUAUUGCUUGAUUUUUCUGCCUUGUGUUAAAUAAAGGAAACGAAUAUGAGUGGAAUGGUUACAUUGAAUGGUUCGAAUUAUCAUAUUUGGAAAUGGAAGAUGGAAGAUCUUUUAUAUGUUAAAGAUUUUUAUUUGCCUGUAUUUGCUGAGGAGAAACCAGAGAAUAAAACUGAUGCUGAAUUGUCUAUAUUUCAUUGUCAAGUGUGUGGUUAUAUUAGGCAGUGGGUAGAUGAUAAUGUUUUAAACCAUAUUAUUGAAGAAACACAUGCACACAGUUUAUGGGAUAAGCUCGAACAGUUAUAUGCUCGAUACACUGGGAAUAAUAAGUUAUUUUUGAUAAAACAUAUGAUGGCUUUGAGAUAUCAUGAUGGUACUCAUUUGAUUGAUCAUUUAAAUUAUUUUCAAGGAAUUAUAAAUCAGUUGGGUGCGAUGGGAAUCAAGUUUGAUGAUAAGAUACAAGCACUAUGAUUGCUUGGUACUUUGCCGGACUCCUAGGAGACGUUCCAAACAUCUUUGUCUAAUUUUGCCCUGAACGGUACGAUUACCAUGGAUUUGGCCAAGAGUAGUAUUUUGAAUGAAGAGAUGAGAAGGAAGAUACAAGGAUCGUCAUCUUCACAUUCUGAUGCCUUGGUUGUUGAGAAAAGGGAGAGAAGUGAAUCUCGAGGUUCGAGAAAUAGAGAUAAAAGUCGAGAUAAAAGCAGAGGUAAGUAUAAUAAAUUUGCUAAUGUUGAGUGUCAUUAUUGUCAUCAAAAGGGACAUAUUCAGAGGUUUUGUCGCCAGUUAAAAAGGGAGAAACAAAAGGAGAAAGGUAAAGAAAAGACAAGUGAUAAUGAUAGUGAUGACAAUUGUGUCGCUACACUUAACGAAGAUUUUCUCACUAUUUUUUAUGGUGAUGUGGUGAAUUUUGUAUCUCAUGAGACUAGUUGGGUAAUUGAUAGUGGUGCAUCCGUUCAUGCUACGUCUCGUAGGGAUUUCUUUACAUCAUACAGGUCAGGUGACUUCAGAUUUAUGAAGAUGGGAAACAAUGGACUAGCUCAAGCUGUAGGCAUCGCUAAUAUGUGCCUAGAAACUAGCAAUGACACAAGGUUAGUUUUGAGUAAUAUUAAGCAUAUACCUAAUAUCCGCUUGAAUUUGAUUUCUACAAGCAAGUUGGAUGAUGAGGGAUAUUGCAGCACCUUCAGUAAUGGUCAAUGAAAACUCACCAAAGGUUCUCUUGUUGUGGCUAGAGGUGAAAAAUAUUCUUCGUUGUACAUUAUGCAGGCAAAGUUAUCCACAGACAAAAUUAAUGCAGUAGACAGCGAAGAUGCAGCUGAAUUAUGGCAUAAGAGGCUCAGUCACAUCAGUGAGAAGGGUUUGUCAAUAUUGGCCAAGAAGAAGCUCCUUUUAGGAUUGAAAAGUUCAGCGCUAAAGAAGGGUGCUCACUGUUUAGCGGGAAAACAUAACAGAGUUGCAUUUAAAAGCUCCCCUCCUUUAAGAAAGUCAGGUAUACUAGAAUUAGUGUAUUAUGAUGUUUGCGGUCCUAUGAAAACAAAAUCACUUGGUGGCUCUCUUUAUUUUGUUACCUUCGUAGAUUUUUUUCAAGGAAAAUUUGGAUUUAUACCUUGAAAACUAAAGAUCAAGUGUUAGAUGCUUUUAAGCAAUUUUAGGUUUCAGUUGAGAGACAGACUGGAAAGAAAUUGAAAUGCAUCAGAACUAAUAACGGGAGAGUGUAUAUUGGACCUUUUAAUGAAUAUUGCAGACAACAAGGUAUUCGACAUCAAAAGACACCUCCCAAGACGCCUCAGUUAAAUGGCUUAGCUGAGAGAAUGAACAGAACACUGGUUGAAAGGAUAAGAUGCUUACUUUCACAGUCAAAGCUACCUGGAUCCUUUUGGAAUGAGGCUUUAAGUACAGUUGUGCAUGUAUUAAAUCUUACUCCAUGCGUUCCUUUAGAGUUUGAUAUUCAUAAUAGAGUUUGGACAGGCAAAGAUAUUUCUUAUGAUUAUUUGCGUGUCUUUGGGUGCAAAGCAUUUGUGCAUAUUCCCAAAGAUGAGAGGUCUAAACUUGAUGUGAAAACACGACAGUGCAUAUUUAUUGGUUAUGGACAGAAUAUGCUUGGCUCCAAAUUUUAUGAUCCGCUUGAAAAGAAAAUUGUAAGAAGCAGAGACAUUGUGUUUAUGGAAGAUCAAACAAUAGAGGAUAUUGAGAAAGCAGAGAUGAUUUCAGCACUACAAGUUAGUGAUAAUAUGGUUGAUUUAAAUCCAGUUCCUCUUACAAAUAUUCCUACACAGUUGAUGAAGAGCAGCAGGAAGUCAAUGUUCCAAAUAACGCACAUGUUCCUGAACAUGUUGAAAUAGAUAAUACUAUUCCUGAACCAGAGGCUCAAUUAGAUGUUCCACUGGAUGUUCCAGUCCAAAGAUCUGUUAGAGACCAACGACCUUUCACUAGGUAUUCUGAGGAUGAGUAUGUAUUAUUGACUGAUGUAGAUGAACUAGAGUGCUAUGCAAAAGCAAUAAAAGAUGAGUACAAAAACAAUUGGUUCGAUGCUAUGCGAGAUGAGAUGCGGUCACUUUAUGAUAAUCAAAAUUUUGAGUUAGUGAAGUUAUUUAAAGGUAAAAGAGCUUUGAAGAACAAGUGAGUAUAUAGGUUGAAGCAAGAUGAACAUACUUUACAACUACGGUACAAAGCUAGAUUGGUUGUUAAGGGAUUCGGUCAUAGAAAGGGUAUUGAUUUUGAUGAUAUAUUUUCUCCGGUAGUAAAAAUGUCUUCUAUCCGUGCGGUACUAGGCUUAGCAGCUAGCCUAGAUUUGGAAAUUGAACAAAUUGAUGUUAAAACAACCUUCCUACAUGGUGACUUGGAGGAAGAGAUAUACAUGGAACAACAUGAGGGUUUUAAAGUGAAAGGGAAAGAGGAUUAUGUGUGCAAAUUGAAUAAAAGUCUCUGUAGCCUAAAACAAGUACCAAGGCAGUGGUAUAAGAAAUUUGUGUCAGUUAUGACAAAACAGGGCUAUAAGAAGACUUCCUCGGAUAACUGUGUGUUUGUUGAAAAAUUUUCUGAUGAUGACUUUAUUAUUCUCUUGCUUUAUGUUGAUGAUAUACUAAUUGUUGGCAGGAAUGCUUCAAGAAUUGAGUUAUUGAAGAAACGGUUGAGCAAGUCUUUUGCCACGAAAGACUUGAGCUCGGCAAAGCAGAUUCUUGGCAUUAGAAUUACCCGAGAUAAAGAUGCUAAGAAGUUAUUUUUGUCGCAAGAGAAAUAUAUCGAGAAGAUCCUUCAGAAAUUUUACAUGGACAAGACUAAAGUGAUUAGUACUCCUCUUGCUACCCACUUUAAGUUAAAUAUGAAGCAAAGUCCUACGACUGAUAAAUAAAAGAAAGAUAUGGAAAGUGUUCCAUAUGCCUCAGCUGUAGGAAGCUUAAUGUAUGCGAUGGUAUGUACACGCCCAGACUUGGCGCACACAGUUGGCGUUGUUAGUCGCUAUUUGUCAAAUCCAGGCAAAGAACACUGGAAUGCAGUGAAGUGAAUUAUGAGGUAUCUUCGGGGAACUUCAAAUUUGAAACUCAGUUUCGGGACCGGGAAGCUUGAGUUAGUUGGAUACACAGAUUCUGACUUGGCAUGAGAUAUUGAUACUCGUAAAUCUACUUCUGGUUAUUUGAUUUCUUUUGUGAGUGGAGCUGUGUCAUGGAAGUCCAGAUUGCAGAAGUAUGUUGCACUUUCUACAAUCGAAGCUAAAUUUAUUGCAGCGACUGAAGCUAGUAAAGAGAUGCUAUGAAUGAAGAAGUUCUUAGAAGAACUUGGGUUCAAGCAAAAGAGGUAUGUGCUAUUUUGUGAUAAUCAAAGCGCAAUUCAUCUUGGUAAGAAUUCAUCUUUUCAUUCUAGAUCAAAACAUAUUGAUGUUAGAUAUCAUUGGAUAAGGGAUGUUCUAGAUGAAAAGUUAUUGGAACUUGAGAAAAUUCAUACGGAUCAUAAUGACUCUGAUAUGAUGACAAAGACUCUACCAAAAAAGAAACUUGAACAUUGCCAAUUAAUAGCAAGGAUGGUGAAUCCCUCCACAUAUGUCGUGAGAGGGAGAUUUGUUAGCUGGGUUCACUCCUAUGUGGAGGAGGCCCAAUGAGUUGCAAGUCCAAAAAGGGCUUGAGCCCAUAUGAUAAGUUAUACGAGAAAAUAGGAUUUCUCACUAUAUAUAUAAAGAGGUAGCCGCAAAAAUGGAAAAGAAAAAGAGAAAGCAGAAAAUCUGGGGUUUAGGGCAAUAUCUAAUUUACAUCAAGCUGGCGUCAGAGGUUGAUUCGUGGUCCGAUUGAGCUGAAAUUUUGUCAGCAUGUUCGUGGCGCAAGUUUAUCAAAUCUAAACCGUUUGAUUUUCGUUUGAAGCUCCCUAUAUAAGGUUUUUCAUGGAUUGAUCAAAACCUGCGUUUUUUGUCAGAUUUAUCCUUGAUCUCUUAUAAAGUUCAUGUGUAUUGCCAAGAAUUAUGUUCUUGAGAUAUUUGCUGCUAUAUACCUCUAGUAUUUGCUAGAGAAGAACAAUUUUGUUGAUAGUGAAGAAUUUCGGGUGAACUCCGGUCCCGUGGUUUUUUAUCUCCUCACAUUGAUGAGGUUUUCCACGUAAAAAUCAUCUUGUGUUUAUGUGUUUGGUAUUUAUUUUACUUUGCUAUAUCGAUUUCUAUUAGGUUUACACAAGAUGGGAGAUUAUUUUAUUCCGCUGUAUUGAUUCGGUAUUGUUCGAAUUAUCACCAUUCUCCCAUCACUGGGGUGCUAGUUGUCAAGUGCGACUUGUGAGAUUUUGGUGGAUGGCCUAUCUAGGGAAGGUAAAGUGGCUGAGGCAUGUGAAUUGUUGAUUGGUUUUUCAAGUAAAAGAGUGUUGCCCUGAGGAGUAUGAUUAUUUUGGCCUUGUGGAAGCUUUGUGCAGUUCAAGCAAUUCUCAUAGAGCAUUUGAUGUUAUUACUGAUCUGUGGAAGACGGGGAAUAUUCCAAGCUUGAUUGCUUGUACUGCUUUGGUGGAAGGAUUGAGGAAGCAGAAGACAAGGGAAGAAGCACUUGCUUUGAUGGAAAAUAUGCUUAAAGAAGGUAUUGUGCCAGACAUUGUGACGUUUAAUUGUUUGCUUGAGGAUCUUUCUGAUAUAGGGAAGACUGUGGAAGCAAACAAAUUAAGGUUGUUAGCGCAAAGCAAGGGUUUGGAACCAGAUGGCAUGACAUACAGGGUUCUGGUAUCUGGUUUUACGAGAGAAAGAAAGAGAAAGGAGGGCCAGAUUCUGGUAGAUGAAAUGUUAGACAAGGACUUUAUACCUGAUCAUGCAACGUACAAUAGAUUGAUUGAUGGACUUUCAAACUCAAAAAUUACUUCUAGGAAGAAAGGUUGAAGAUGGGUUAGGAUCUUAUUCAUUUCAACUUGGUUUCUGGAAUGCCGGCAUCUGUUUGCAAACCCCCUCAUGCUUUGUGCUUGGUUUGCCAAUCAGUUUUAUCACUUUGGGACAAAGUGGGUUUAUGGCUAUGUUUCAGAUGGUUGAGGACAAUGUACAGCCUGGGAGCGAGCAGAACAGAUACUGGUACGUGCACAAAACAACGAGUGGAAAGGAACGGAAACUUCGCAUUGAGUUGUAGGAAUCGUAAAGCCAGGAGAGCAGAUUGUGAUGCCAUGCGGAUGAGUAGUGCCCAGACGACAUCUAGGAGGUAUGAAUCAUGGUAACGGUGAUAAGCAUUAAUCCUAAGAUAUGAGAGAGUUGGAAAGUUUGAGUGACUGAGAAUAGUUUAUUGGGAUUGUAUUUGUAUAUAGACGUGAUUAAUAAUGAUACCGAUGAGCGUGUAUAUUAUAAAAGCUGCAGAAGAUGAACAUUGAAUUUUCUGGCAGAUCUCAAACUGAUAUCAAUUAAUCUAAUGAGGAAAAGCUUAGGGUAGAAAAUUCAUGCAAAUUCUGAAUUGGGCUUUGUUAUAUAUUAAGAAGCACCGACAUUCUCUGGAAGCCUCCGUGUCAUAUCGGACACUCCGACAUGUGAUCAACUCUUCCUAACACACGAGUUCGAAAUUCUGACACGCAACUCCAACACGCACGGGGUCAAUUUUAAAAAAUUUCAAUACUUGAGGAGUCAAAAUAUAAAUAUAUGAAAAAAUAAUGAAAAUAACAAAAAUAAAGAGGAAAGAAGAAAAUUUGCACUCUCAAGUUUCUCAUUUAUAAAUUUUGACAUUCUCGUGAGUGACGGUGAACGCUCCUCUUCUUGCCGGCAUCGCUCUGCUACCCCCGCAGAGUUAAAGUUGGAAUUUUUUUUUUCUUCUUUCCACCUUUGGUCACAUUUUCCAUAGGGAAUUUAGUUAUUUCCUUUUCUUUUGGUCGUACUCUGUUUUGUAGAGGAGCUCAAGCCAAUCUAUUUAAUGAACUCCAAACUUGGUCUGGGAUUAUAAGAAAUCUCAUUAAUUUCCAAAAAGUGUGAGCAAACAGGACAUGUUUCUUCAAAUUUACUCUUGUGUUUGCAAUUUUUGAAUUUCUCCUUGAAUCUCUCUCAAAUUAAAACAAUAAAUGACAUUAAUAAAUAUUGGAUUAAUAUUUUUAGUAUAAAUUUAGUAUAUGCUCUUUUUAUUUAUUUAUUUAUUUAUUUUUGUAUUUAUAUAUAAUUUGUCGGAAUGUGUCGGAAUUCUCUAUUUUUUUUUUUUUUUAUAAAUAACGUAUCGGCGUGUCAUAUCGUGUUGUGUUGUGUGUCGCGUAUCCAUGUCGGUGCUGCAUAUAUAACUUGUCUGAGAUGGACCCUAGCAAAGAGAUUUCUUAGGAUUGAAAGUAAUGCAGAAAAGAGAAGGCAAGAGCCAAAGCUGUUAAAACAAGGUAUAAAAUCAUGAACUAUCAGGUUGGCAAAGCUGUCAAGUACUCGAUAUUGAUAGAACAAAUUAGGCACUUUACAUUUGGUUUGGUGGUGACACUGUCCUAAUAAUGCCCUUUUUCUGUGCUGCUCAUCGAUGAAUCGGUUGAUGAGAAAAAUAAUCCCCUAACUUCACAAAGUCGGUAAGACAAAAACUCCACGAGUGGCUCAAAUAUAAGAUUGUUUGAACUUGAUGAUAUAAUCGGUAUGCCUUAUCCAUGUAUACAUAUCUUUCUUUGUUCAGUGGGUGCAAGUGCUGCCAUUAAACUUUAGUUUUACAUUUUAUUAAAUGUAACACCAUAAAAAAGUUUUAUCUCACUAAAAAGCUCUGGACCCUCUAGAUUACCAAAUUAAGACUACUCGUUUCAACUUUUUAACUGAGGAUAGAUUCAAAUCACGGCACUUGUUUAGGAUUUUUCUUUAUGAGACGAAAAUUAGUAUUUUGGAUUUUUGUUAGGCUAAAAUUUUGGAGUAAACGUCUCAUGAGAGCACAAAUUUUUUUUGGGGGGAGGGGGGGGGGGAAGUAAAUCUACAUAACAAACAUCACUUCAUAUCACAAACUGUCAUAAUCAAGUACAUGUAUAGGAUCUGAGGCAUGCUUAGAUCAUUACAAUAGACAGGGAUAACAUUAGUGAAUCACGUGAUAGUAUAGCCCAACGGCGAACUCGCUACAUAGCUUCAAGGUGUAGUAGUGAAAAAAGACAUGUCUUUCGGAAUUGUGGGAACAAAUGGUAGCGUUGGCUUAGGGAAAUCGGGGAAAUGAGGUAGUUCGGGCACUUUUGGUAAUUAUGGCUUCGGUAUUGUUGGUAAUUCAGGCUUUGGAAGUUCAGGAACCAACGGCAAUUCAACUUUUGGCAAAGAUGACAAUUCUGGCUUGGGUAGGCUCGGAAUGUCGGGAAGGUGAGGCAAUUCGGGCUUAGGUAAUUCAGGCACUUCAGGCACUUCAGGCAAUUCUGGCUUGGGCAAGCUCACAAUGUCGGGAAGAUGAGGCGAUUCGGGUUUGGGCAGUUCAGGCACUUCUGGUAAUUCUGGCUUUGGUAUUGUUGGUAAUUCAGGCUUUGGAAGUUCAGGAACUGACGGCAAUUCAACUUUUGGCAAAGAUGGCAAUUCUGGCUUGGGUAGGCUCGGAAUGUCGGGAAGGUGAGGCAAUUCAGGCUUAGGUAAUUCAGGCACUUCAGGCAAUGCUAACUCCAAAAGUUGGCGAGCUUCAACAGAAUUCUUGCCGAUCAUCAAGGACAGAGCAAGGACAAACAAUCCCAAAAUGUGCACAAACCUGUGAUAGUUUGCCAUGAUGGAAUUGACUAGCGAAAUGAAGAACUUCGAUGGUGAGGAGCUAUGAAUCUCAAGUGAAGGUGGUGGCGGUGUGUUUGAGGGAUGGCUUGGUUUGGGGUUUAAAGAGGGGACGUGGAGAUUAGGGAGAAUGCAAGUAUGUUUUGGUAGGAAAACUAGCAGAGUGUUAGCUCAACUUGGACACCAAUUUCAUUUCCAUAUGUUCAACACGAUUUGAGCAAAUUAAACAAUCCCAGAAUGAUCUUGCCAACUCUAGGCUUCAAAAGCAUGUAAUGUAACCAUCAGCUGUAUUAUUUUGGUUAGAAAAAAAGCCAAAAAGAUCUUCCUCUGCACAAGUAUGUUUUCUUUUCAAUUUUUUCUCACUAAAUUAAUUUUUGACUUACAUUCAGUGGACCAAGUUGAAAAGGGUCAUUUAAACUUAUAUAAAAUAGAUUUAAAAUGGUUAAGAAAAACAAACCCAACUAGAUGUGUUCAUUUUAAUCAAACGAAAUAAAGAAUCGGCAAUAAAAAAUACAAGACAGGUCAUCUUGGGUUUUAAUGGAUUGGGAUUGAACUCAUUUGAUUCAAAUAAUAGAUUUCGAUUGGACUCAUUUGAUUCAAACUAAAAAAAUUUUGGGGAUAAAAAAGAGGAGAGGAGAGGGAUAUCACGGUUACUUUCCUUCCUUCUAUUUGCAUGUGGGAAAACACCAAAAAGUUAUAAAUAUAUUGUAUUUGUGUCAAUUAUGUUAUAAAUAUAUUGCAUUGUGUCAAUUCAGUCUUAGGCCUUUUAAUUAGAUUAAUUUAGUCCUAAAUAUUUUGUUGGUGCCAACUAGUUCACGUGGACACCAGUCAUCUUAUGUAAUAUAGCUGACACUAACAUUAACAUUUUUAAUAAUUUUUAAUAAUUUUAAAUUUUUAAAUUUUUAAAUUUCUUUUUCUUCCUUUGAUUUGGCCAGCCGGAGGAGAAGGCAUUCGUGCCCUUGUUUGCAACCAGCUGCGAGUAAGGGUGUAAGAACUCCCUCGCCCAAGCCCCACCCAAAUUGACCCUCAAGAAUGGUUAGGCCCUAACCGGCCAAAAUGAAAGAAAGAAAAAUAUAAACAAUAAUUCAAAAAAAUUAAAUUGAAAAAAUUAUCCAUGUAAGCACCAAUCAUGCUACAUAGGAUGGCUAGUUAGCAAUUUUCAGCCAAAUUUGAUCAAAUAAACUGAAUUGACACAAACGUAAAUAAUUUAAAAUAAAAUUGGUUCAGUUGAAAGAUUUAUGAUUGAAUUAGUCAUAAAACAAUAAGUAUAGAUUUUUUUUUAAAAUUCUCCGCGCUAGAACAUAGAGGUGUCAAAAUGGGCAUUAACCCAUUUAUGGACCCAUUUAUGUUUAAAUAGGUCGUUAAUGGGUCAAGCCUAUUUCCUAAAGCACCUAUAAUGAGUUUUAAUGGGUUAAGACUGAGAUAUAUGAGUUAAGACCCAUUUAUCAACCCAUUAAAAAUGAAAUUAUUUAUUUUCACCCAAAAAAUCACAAUUUCUAUCUUCUCUCUUUAACUUUACAAAAAUAUUUUUUUAAAAGAAAGCAAAAUUAUAAUUAUUUUUUUAUUUUUUAUUUUUUCUUUCUUCUUCCUCUAGUCGCUGGCACGGUGAUGGCUGGCAACCGGCCAGGCAAGAGCCUCGCCAAUCUGGCAAGACUCGAACUCGCCGGCGUCAGGCAAGGCUCGAGCUCGCUAGACACCGACAAGCCUCAAGCUCGCCAGAUUUGGCGAGGCAAAGGCCCCGCUAACGUUCGGCGAGGCUUGAGUCUUGCUAGAUCCAACGAGGGGUGAGCUCAAGCUCGCUCGACGCCGGCAAGCCUCGAGCUUGCCAAAUCUGGCGAGGGGCGAGCUCAAGCUCACUCAACGUUGGUGAGCCUCGAGCUCAUCGGAUCCGGCAAGGCAGAGGCCUCACCAACAUUGACGAGCCAGGCGAGCUCCUGGUCGCCUGUGGCCGGCUGCCGGUUGUCGUCGUGGCCGACGGCCGGCCAAAGAAGAAGAAGAACAAAAAAUAAAAUUCAAAAUUCAAAAUUAUAUUUAAAAAAUAAAAAUAAAUUAAAAUUUAAUUUAAAAAAUAAAAAAUAAUUAAAAUUCGAUUUUUUAAAAUAUAUUUUUAAAAAAUUAUAAAAGUUGUCCAUUAAAUUUGCGUUGUAUAAAAUUAUUUUAGCAAUACUAUUAUAUAUAUAAGCUUUCUUAAAUUUAGUUAAAUGGGUCGGGUAUGGAUAGAGUAUGAAUCAAAAAUUUUGUAUUGUAAUAAUUGGUCAUAAACAAGUUAAAUGGGUCGAUUUGGGUCGGACCAUUUAUGACCCAACCCAAACCUGACUCGACCCACCUGUUUAACGGGUAUACCAGAACAUCAAUGACAAUGUUGCUACCGCAACUAGGCAACAACCACCGGAUAAUAGAAGACCCGGCAAUGUUGUCAUAGUUAGCAUUAUCAACAUUCUCGUUGGUGUUAGCCUCAACAAAAAAACAAAGCACCAUGAUCGCGGUGCCCAUCAUGAACUUCAUUGUCAUUGGGUGUUAGAAAAAUCCCUUAGGAUGUUUUAAAAAUGAUAAAAUAAAUCAAAGGUUAAUAAUGUGUUUAAUAAGAAAUUAUUAUUUUUUUGUAAAAUAGGGAGAGGGGGAAAUGAAAGGAAAUGCUUGCAAGACCCCUCUUGUUUCCAAUUUCUCUUAUUUUUUUUUUUGUAAAAUAGGGAAUUAUUUUCAACAAAAGUUAUUUUAGUCUAUUAAUCUCUUUUAUAUCUCUCAUAGCCUUUUAUUUUGACAUAUAUACAGGUCACUUAGUCUUUGUCUAGUCAUUUUGUCCGAGACGAUAAAUGUUUUGGAAUGAAGUUAUAAAAUCAUAAGUUCGGUUGGGGUGAUGUGAAAAUUAGUUCCAUGAGUUUCUCACCGUGCUUUGGAAACAGAAAUGAGAGAAAUCCUAUAAUCAUAUAUUGAUUAGUAGCUUCGUGGCAAUGAACAUAGUAGCAUUAAAUUCCCAUUUGCCAAUUCACAUGGACAACCAACUUAAUCCAUCAAUAAGUUCGCAUUUGGCAUUUGAUGGAUAUUGGAUCUCAUUUGGUUGAGCUGUAUUGCCAAUUUCAGGUGAAUCUCUUCCUUGUAAUUUCCCUAAUGGUUUCUAUGUGUCUACUGUCAGGUGAAGCCACCAUCAAAGAAUCUCCCUCAAAUUGUAAAACCCACUCCCAGACCUCUUCAACCAUCUUCUUCACCACCUCCCUCUCUUCUCUCAGACCUCAAGCUGCCCUCUCUAUCUCCAUUACCAACCCUGACUCUCUCUAUAACCGAUCAUGAUAAUCUGAUGAACUUUCUUAAGUCCAAACUCUCUUUCCCUCUUACACCCAGGAGUCUCCUCCACUUCCUCAAGUGCAAACUCCACCCCAACCCUCAUUUGACCCUCUAUGACUUUUAUAUAUUCAGUUGGGCCUCCACGGUUGACUCCUAUCGCCAUGACCACUCAACAUUUGAGUGGAUGGCUCGCACUCUCGCUAUUUCAAGCCGUUUCGAGCAACUCAAUUCGCUUCUCCAGUUCAUGGCCUCAAACCCUUGCCCUUGCUCUGAUGGAAUUUUCUCAUGCGCCAGGACAGAGCCAAUCUUUCAAUUCUCAAUAGAAACUUAUUGCAGAGCUCGGAAACGAGAGGAAAGCAGUGAUUGCUUUUGAGAGUAUGGAGAAGAUGAUUGAUGGCAGGCUGAGUGCGGUGAGUUAUAAUGCUUUGAUUCAUGGAUUUGUGAAAUGGGGUGACCAUGCCAGGGCUCUGGCCAUCUAUGAUCAAAUGAUAAGGAACAUAGUCAAGCCUAAUGUGAUAACCUUUAAUAUCUUGAUUAGUAGUUAUUGUAGAAUAUUACAGUUUGGAUUGGCUUGGUGGUGUUUAAGGAGAUGAAGGAGAAGGGUUGCAGCCCAGAUGUGGUCAGUUUCAAUACUUUGAUCAGGGGGUUUUUUCGGGAGAGGAAGUUUGAGGAUGUGAUCGCAAUGGCUUAUGAGAUGAUCGAACUGGGGUGCCAGUUGUCGAGUGUGACUUGUGAGAUUUUGGUCGAUGGCCUCUGUACGGAAGGUAAAGUAGCUGAGGCAUGUGAAUUGCUGAUUGGUUUUCCAAGUAAAAGAGUGUUGCCUGAGGAGUAUGAUUAUUUUGGCCUUGUGGAAGCUUUGUGCAGUUUAGGCAAUUCUCAUAGAGCACUUGAUGUUGUUACUGAUCUGUGAAAGACGGGAAAUAUUCCAAAUCUUGAUUGCUUGUAGUACUUUGGUGGAAGGGUUGAGGAAGCAGAAGAAAAGGGAAGAUGCACUUGCUUUGAUGGAAAAUAUGCUUAAAGAAGGUAUUGUACCAGACAUUGUGACGUUUAAUUGUUUGCUUGAGGAUCUUUCUGAUAUAGGGAAGACUGUGGAAGCAAACAAAUUGAGGUUGUUGGCGCAAAGCAAAGGUUUGGAACCAGAUGGCAUGAUGGACAGGGUUCUGGUAUCUGGUUUGACGAGAGAAAGAAAGAGAAAGGAGGGCCAGAUUCUGGUAGAUGAGAUGUUAGACAAGGACUUUAUACCUGAUCUUGCAACGUACAAUAGAUUGAUUGAUGGACUUUCAAACUCAAAAAUUACUUCUAGGAAGAAAGGUUGAAGAUGGGUUAGGAUCUUAUUCAUUUCAACUUGGUUUCUUGAAUGCUGGCAUCUGUUUGCAAACACCCUCAUGCUUUGUGCUUGGUUUGCCAAUCAGUUUUAUCACUUUGGGACAAAGUGGGUUUAUGGCUAUGUUUCAGAUGGUUGAGGACAAUGUACAGCCUGGGAGCGAACAGAACAGAUACUGGUACGUGCACAAAACGAGUGGAAAGGAACGGAAACUUCGCAUUGAGUUGUACGAAUUGUAAAGCCAGGAGAGCAGAUUGUGAUGCUCAGCAAGAGAUGAUGCGGAUAAGUAGUGCCCAGACGACAUCUAGGAGGUAUGAAUCAUUGUAACGGUGAUAAGCAUUAAUCCUAAGAUAUGAGAGAGCUGGAAAGUUUGAGUGACUGAGAAUAGUUUAUUUGGAUUAUGUUUGUAUAUAGACGUGAUUAAUAAUGAUACCAAUGAGCGUGUAUAUUAUAAAAGCUGCAGAAGAUGAACAUUGAAUUUUCUGGCAGAUCUCAAACUGACACCGAUUAAUCUAAUGAGGAAAAGCUUAGGGUAGAAAAUUCAUGCAAAUUCUGAUUUGGGCUCUGCUAUAUAUAUGAUAUAACUUGUGUGAGAUAGACCCUGGCAAAGAGAUUUCUUAGGAUUGAAAGCAAUGCAGAAAAGAGAAGGCAAGAGCCAAAGCUGUUAAAACAAAGUAUAAAAUCAUAAACCAUCAGGUUGGCAAAGCUGUCAAGUACUCGAUGUUGAUAGAACAAAUUAGGCACUUUACAUUUGGUUUGGUGGUGACACAGCCCUAAUAAUGCCCUUUUUCUGUGCUCCUCAUCGAUGAAUCGGUUGAUGAGAAAAAUAAUCCCCUAACUUCAUAAAUUCGGUAAGACAAAAACUCCAUGAGUGGCUCAAGUAUAAGAUUGUUUGAACUUGAUGAUAUAAUCGGCAUGCCUUAUCCAUGCAUACAUAUCUUUAGUGUGUGCAAGUGCUGCCAUUAAACUUUAGUUUUACAUUUUAUUAAAUGUAACACCAUAAAAAAGUUUUAUCUUGCUAAAAAGCUCUGGACCCUCUAGAUUACCAUAUUAAGACGACUCGUUUCAACUUUUUAACAGAGGAUAGAUUCAAAUCACGGCACUUGUUUAGGAUUUUUCUUUAUGAGACGAAAAUUAGUAUUUUGGAUUUUUGAUAGGCUAAAGUUUUGGAGUAAACGUAUCAUGAGAGCACAAAUUUUGUUUUGGGGGAGGGGGGUUGGGUUUUGAGACGAAAAUUAGUUUGAGGUACAUGUAUCAUAGGAUACUAAUUUGGGAUUUUUAGUCAUAUUAACCCUUGGCAUAAUGAUAUAUACAUAUAUAUUUAUGUAAUUUUGGAUGUCAAACACCAAAUUUAUCCUUCUUUAUGAUUUCUUAAAGUAAAUCUACAUAACAAACAUCACUUCAUAUCACAAACUGUCAUAAUCAAGUACAUGUAUAGGAUCCGAGGCAUGCUCAGAUCAUUACGAUAGACAGAAACAACAUUAGUGAAUCACAUGAUAGUGUAACCCAACAGCGAACUCGCUACAUAGCUUCAAGGAGUAGUAGUGGAAACAGACAUGUCUUUCGGAAUUGUGGGAACGACUGGUAGUGUUGGCUUAGGGAAAUCGAGGAGAUGAGUUAGUUCGGGCACUUUUGGUAAUUCUGGCUUCGGUAUUGCUGUUAAUUCUGGCUUGGGCAAUUCAGGAAGCGAUGGCAAUUCGACUUUUGGCAAAGAUCGCAAUUCAGGCUUUGGCAGUUCAGGGAGCGGCGGCAAUUCGGCUUUUGGUGAAGAUGGCAAUUCUGGCUUAGGCAAGCUCACAAUGUCGGGAAGAUGAGGCAAUUCGGGUUUGGGCAGUUCAGGCACUUCUGGUAAUUCUGGCUUCGGUAUUCUUGGUAAUUCAGGCUUUGGAAGUUCAGGAAUCGACGGCAAUUCAACUUUUGGCAAAGAUGGCAAUUCUGGCUUGGGUAGGCUCGGAAUGUCGGGAAGGUGAGGCAAUUCGGGCUUAGGUAAUUCAGGCACUUCAGGCAAUUCUGGCUUGGGCAGGCUCACAAUGUCGGGAAGAUGAGGCAAUUCGGGUUUGGGCAGUUCAGGCACUUCUGGUAAUUCUGGCUUUGGUAUUGUUGGUAAUUCAGGCUUUGGAAGUUCAGGAACCGACGGCAAUUCAACUUUUGGCAAAUAUGGCAAUUCUGGCUUGGGUAGGCUCGGAAUGUCGGGAAGGUGAGGCAAUUCAGGCUUAGGUAAUUCAGGCACUUCAGGUAAUGCUAACUCCAAAAGUUGGCGAGCUUCAACAAAAUUCUCGCCAAUCAUCAAGGACAGAGCAAGGACAAACAAUCCCAAAAUGUGCACAAACCUGUGAUAGUUUGCCAUUAUGGAAUUGACUAGCGAAAUGAAGAACUUCGAUGGUGAGGAGCUAUGAAUCUCAAGUGAAGAUGGUGGUGGUGUGUUUGAGGGAUGGCUUGGUUGGGGUUUUUAAAGAGGGGGACGUGGAGAUUAGGGAGAUUGCAAGUAUGUUUUGGUAGGAAAACUAGCAGAGUGUUAGCUCAACUUCGAAACCAAUUUCAUUUCCAUAUGUUCAACACGAUUUGAGCAAAUCAAACAAUCCCAGAAUGAUCUUGCCAACUCUAGGCUUCAAAAGCAUGUAAUGUAACCAUCAGCUGUAUUAUUUUGGUUAGAAAAAAAGCCAAAAAGAAUCUUACUCUGCACAAGUAUGUUUUCUUUUCAAUUUUUUCUCACUAACUUAAUUUUUGACUUACAUUCAGUGGACCAAGUUGAAAAGGGUCACUUAAACUUAUAUAAAAUAGAUUUAAAAUGGUUAAGAAAAUCAAACCCAACUAGAUGUGGAUUUUAAUGGUUCGGACCAAAUUCAUUUUAAUCAAACGAAAUAAAGAAUCGGCAAUAAAAAAUACAAGACAGGUCAUCUUGGGUUUUAAUGGAUUGGGAUUGAACUCAGUUGAUUAGAAUAAUAGAUUUCGAUUGAACUCAUUUGAUUCAAACUAAAAAAAAAAUUUGGGGAUAAAAAAGAGGAGUGGGAUAUCAUGGUUACUUUCCUUCCUUCUAUUUGCAUGUGGGAAAACACCAAAAAAUGUUAUAAAUAUAUUGCAUUUGUAUCAAUUCAGUCUUAGGCCGUUUAAUUAGAUUAAUUUAGUACUAAAAAUUUUGUUGAUGCCAACUAAUUCACGUGCAUGCCAGUUAUCUUAUGUAUGCCAGUUAUCUUAUGUGAUAUAAUCGACAUUAACAUUAAUAUUUUUUAAUAAUUUUUAUUUUUAUUUUUAUUUUUUUCUUUCUUUUUCUUCCUUUCAUUUGGCCAGCCGGAGGAGAGGGCAUUCGUGCCCUUGCUCAUAGCCAGCCACGAGUAAGGGUGUGAGAAGUCCCUCGCCCAGGCCCCAUCCAAAUUGACCCUCAAGAGCAGUUAGGCCCUAACCGGUCAAAAUGAAAGAAAGAAAAAUAUAAACAAUAAUUCAAAAAAAUUAAAUUGAAAAAAUUGUCCAUGUAAGCACCAAGCACCAAUCAUACUACAUAGGAUGGCUAGUUAGCAAUUUUCAACCAAAUUUGAUCAGAUAAACUGAAUUGACACAAAUGUAAAUAGUUUAAUAUAAAAUUGGUUCAAUAGAGAGAUUUAGGAUUGAAUUAGUCAUAAUACAAUAAGUAAAAAAAAAUAUUUAAAUUCUCCUUGCCAGAACAUCAAUGACAAUGUUGCUACUGCCGCUAGGCAAUAACCACCGGAUAAUUGAAGACCCAACAACGUUGUCAUAGUUGGCAUUAUCAACAUUCUCGUUGGUGUUAGCCUCAACAAAAGAACAAAGCACCAUGAUCGUGGUGCCCAUCAUGAGCUUCACUAUCGUCGGGUGUUUGGGAAAUCCCUUAGGAUGUUUUAAAGAUAACAAAAUAAAUCAAAGGUUACUAACGUGUUUAAUAGGAAAUUAUUUUUUUGUAAAAUAGGGAGGGGGGAAAUUAAAGGAAAUGCUUGCAAGUCCCCUCUUGUUUCCUAUUGCUCUUAUUUUUUUUGUAGAAUAGGGAAUUAUUUUUGACAAAAGUUAUUUUAGUCUAUUAAUUUCUUUUAUAUCCCUCAUAGCCUUUUAUUUUGACAUAUAUACAGGUCACUUAGUCUUUGUCUAGUCAUUUUAUCCGAGACGAUAAAUGUUUUGGAAUGAAGUUAUAAAAUCAUAAGUUGGGUUGGGGUGACAUGAAAAUUAGUUCAAUGAGUUUCUCACCGUGCUUUGGAAACCGAAAUGAGAGAAAUCCUAUAAUCAUUUAUUGAUUAGUAGCUUCGUGGCAAUGAACAUAGUAAGCAUUAAAUUCCCAUUUGCCAAUUCACAUGGACAACCAACUUAAUCCAUCAAUAAGGUCGCAUUUGGCAUUUGAUGGAUUUUUUUUUUUUUGAACGGAAACCCAUACUGUAUUAAUACGAGUGUCCCAUACAACUAGCGACUAUAGCAUCCGCGCUUAACAGGUUCAAGAGAGGAGGGAGCGAAAAAAGGGCCCAAUUACAAGUCAAACUAUUGCUAUUAUGGGCCUUACAGGCCCAGUCGGCUACCGCGUUUGCUUCCCUUCGAUAGAACCCUAGCGUUAGAUUGGGAAAUAGGUUUAACAGGAAUGCUGCCUCUGAGAAGAGAGAGCGAUCCGUCCAUGGCAGCAGUGUCCGACGAUUCAACGUUUCCACCAGAGUGAUAUUGUCUGAUUCGACGAUUAUCGGUGUGUUUUGGAGCCCCUGUUGCAGAAGAUGGCGGAGUGAGAAGGAUAAGGCUUGGAUCUCAACCUGUAUAGCCGAGGACGCAACAACCCCUAUGGAGAAACCAUCUGUAAGUCGGCCUUGAUGAUCCCUGCAAAUACAAGUUAUAUUGCCAUGAUUACUUCCCUUAUGAUAUGAUCCGUCUAUAUUAACCUUCAGAACCACGGGAUCUGGGGGAUGCUAGAGAUGACUUUUAUUUUUGACCGAGAACUCUUGUUGUGUAUAGGAAGCCGAGGACAACCGAUCUACCUGAGCGUGAUUUAGUGCCGCUUCUACGACUUGGGUCGGAUUGGGAGCAGUUCCUCUAAAAAUGAAGCCAUUUCGGGCUCGCCAGAAUUGCCACAUAACAUGAGAAAUAAAUGCCAGACGAGGUAAUCGGUUUCCUUCCCCGACCGUGGACACGAUCCACGAGUCCAGACGCUGAAUAAUGUUGGGAAUGACUAAGAUCUCGAUCUGGGAAUGAUUCCACACCUGAUGAGUCCACGAACAGAGUAAGAACAUAUGUUCUAAGGUUUCUGGAACCUUAUUUUUACAUAGUUGGCAGGGGGGAUUUUCUAAUAUAUGUCUGCGAUGCAGGUUGUCUCUCGUCGCCAAGGAAUUGCUGCAGAUGGACCAGAGGAAAACACGGAGUUUGGGUGCAGCAGGCAUUUUCCAGAUAUUACGCCAUAACCAAGUAGGGAUUUGGUAUGAUGUUGAAGCACCAGAAUUUGAGAUACCUUAUUUUGUCUGAAUAAUUGCAUGAUAUGUUGAUUUGACCGUAAAUUUUCCUUGCUUAGUAGCUGUCCAUAUAAGUGCAUCUGAAGUGAAGUUAGGCCUGAGUUGGAUGUCUGUUAUCUGUUGAAUGAUUGACAAGUCGAAAAAUCUGUACAAUAAAUCUAUCUUCCAUGAACUGGUAGCCUGAUCAAUAAGAUCAGCUACUAGUAGAGGUUCUUCUAGGGCUUUUGGUCCACCUAGAAUGCCCAUUGGGAGCCAUCUGUCUUCUCUAAUGUUGAUGCAUUUGCCAUCUCCCAUUGACCAACUAACAUUUGGUAAAAUAGCAUCCCUCUCGCUCAAGAGGCUCUGCUAGCCCCAUGAUGGGCGAGAGCCCUUGUUAGCUUUUAAAAAGGUGGAUGAGUGAAAAUAUAAAUCUCUAAAAAACUUGCCCCAUAAAGAUAAGGGUUGAUGAAUUAGAUGCCAUGCUUGCUUAUCGAGCAUGGCUUGAUUAAAACUCAUCAAAUCUCUGAAGCCCAAUCCCCCUAAUUCAUUUCGGUUCUGUAAAGUUUUCCAACUCUGCCAAUGAAUUCCAGAUCUGCUUGUAUCAUUGCUCCACCAAAAUUUAGCAAUUCUCUGUUCAAUAACUUUACAUAAUGAGAUAGAAAUCUUAAAAACAGACAUGGCGUAUUGUGGAAUAGAUUGAAUGACAGUCUUUAGCAGAACUUCUUUCCCUCCCUUAGAAAUUAGUUUGUCCUUCCACCCUUCUAAUUUCGAUUGAACUCUACUCAACAGCCAAUAAAACAUAUCCCUUUUAGAUCUUCCCCAAUAUGUAGGUAUCCCUAAAUACUUCUCACAUUGCUGUAAAACAGGUACCCUUAAUUCCCUAGCCAAAUUUUCCUGGAGAGAGAUAGGACAAGAAGGACUGAAGAAAAUUCCAUAUUUAUUUCGAUUAAUAGUUUGUCCAGAAGCCAGGCAAUACUGGUUUAGAAUAUUAGAUAGGUUCUGACACUCCAGUAAGGUACCAUUAAGAAAGAACACGGCAUCAUCAGCGAAAAAGAGAUGUGAUAAAGUAGGACACCAUUUAUUCAACUUAAUGCAUUUGAGUAAGGCCCAUAUCCAUAGCAUUUCUAAUUAGGAAGGAUAAGAGAUUGGCUAUAAGGAUAAACAAGUAAGGGGAUAAGGGAUCUCCUUGCCUCAGCCCUCGAGUUGGGUGAAAACUCGGUAAAUACUCACAAUUCAUUUUGACAGAGAAAGAUGUAGUUGAAAUGCACUGCAUAAUUAGGUGGACCCAAUGAGAAUGAAAGCCUAAUCGAAGUAAAUAAUCUUGAAGAAAGUCCCAUUCAACACGGUCAUAAACUUUCUGCAUAUCUAACUUAAGAAUAGCUUUAAAAUGACGCCUCCGUUACUAGUCUUAAGCUGAUGAAUGACUUCCUGUACGAUGAGAACAUUGUCCUGAAUUUGUCUUCCAGCAACAAAAGCACUUUGUUCCUCAGUAAUCAGCGUAGGCAGCAAGGAUUUUAAUCUAUUAGCUAGUACUUUAGAGAAAAUCUUAUAGGCAUAGUUGCACAAGCUAAUAGGACGAUACUGAUCCAAGCUUUCUGGGUUUGGGGUUUUGGGGAUUAGGGUUAUAGCGGUUCUGUUUAAAGGUAAAGGUAAUGAUCCAGAAGUAAAGAAUUGCUGAACUGCUUUGUGAAUGUCCACCUUAAGAACUUCCCAAUGCGAUUGAUAAAAUAGUCUAUUUAAACCAUCUGGGCCUGGUGCCUUUGAAGCACCUAAUUGAAAUGUGGCCACUUUAACUUCUUCGAGAGUGGGUUGAACGAGAAGUGUUGCAUUCAUGUCUGCAUCAACCAUCUGUGGACACUGUUGUAAAAUCUGUGCAUAACAGCGAGGGCCUGAAGUGGUAUAUAGCUGUGAAAAAUAAUCUGUAGUGAGUUCUUUGAUCUGUCCAUUAUCCCAAACCCAUUACUGAUGUUCAUCCCUCAAUAUAGUAAUUUGAUUACGUUGUCUUCUUUGAAGUGUGGUAGCAUGAAAGAACUUAGUAUUGCGGUCUCCCCACUUUAACUAGUUUAUCCUAGAUCGCAUCACCCAAAAUUGCUCUUCCCUCUGCCAUACUUUUUGAAGUUUUUUUUUUUUUAUCAUUUGUUGUCGACAUUGAUUCAUUAAAGUAGGAUGCUGAUUUGUCAAAGUUUGUAACUGGUGCUCUAAUUCCAUUGCAUGUUGCCUGUUGUGGGAGAAAUUCUGGCAACUCCAAGUGGAUAAGGCUGCAGCAACCACGCGAAGCUUGACUGGGAGAGGAGAGUCCUGCCUCGAGACAGAGUGCCAAGAGGUUUCAAUGACUGAGUGACAUCCCGGGUCCUGAUUCCAGAAAGCUUCAAAAGUAAAGUGUCUCUUUCGUCGACCCGAACAGGGUUUUGCAUCUAAAACAAUUGGGCUAUGAUCUGAUCCCACUGCAGAGAGAGCUAGCACUUGAGCAUUCGGGUACGUGACACGCCAUUCAGCAGUGCAUACAGCUCGAUCAAGAUGCUCCUUCACCAAGGCUUCCCCAUCACGGUGAUUGGACCAAGUGAAAGCACAACCAUGAGAAGGUAGAUCCAACAAGCAGCAAUCAUUAAGGACAUCUCGAAAUGAAGAGAGGCGGUAAGAGUCCGCAGGCCGAGAUCCCAUUUUCUCCCAACGGUGAAGAAUUUCAUUAAAAUCACCAAGGCACACCCAAGGUAAGACAUUAUAACUACCAAAUUGUUGCAAGGUCUUCCAAAGAUGCCGACGGUCAUGAAAAACUGCAGGGGCAUGAAUGCAAGUAAUCCUCAUAGAUCUGGCCUCCGAAAUUUCCAGACAAAGAAAAUCCAAAAAAUGAGGAUUGGAGGAGAAGUCAGACAGCGAGAUCCCACCAUUCCAAAAAAGAGCUAAGCCACCUACAAAGCGAACAGGGUUGAACAGCUUGUGGUGCAAAAAACGGAAGGAACGUUUAAGGCGAAGGAGUACUUCAUCACCAUUCUUCGUUUCCAUAAAAAAUAACAGGUCAAGCUUUUCUUUAGCCAAAAAGGCUUUUAAGGAUAGGACUGUCAAGGGAUUUUCCAAACCCUGACAGUUCCAACUGAUAAUUUUCAUUGUUGUUCUAGUGGCUGUUUAGGGCCAGCCACCGUCGCCCACGAACCAUCUUCAGACGCCUCUACAAUUGGCAUAUCCAACAAGAAUGAAUCAUCAUAAACUCCUAGUGGCCCUCCAGGUAAGUCAUAUGGAGUAUAGCGUCUCGGUUUCUUAGCAGGACCUUUUUUGAUAUUCUGACGCACAAUUUUGCCUUUUUUUUACUUGAGGAGUUGAUAUGGGCAAUUGUACUCCUUUAAGCUUCUCUAAUGCUGGAAUUAGAGCGGUCGUGAGAUUUUGUUGCACUGAAGGAGUGAAGCCCAAGGUAUCAGUACCAGCCUGUGGUGUGGUUGGAGUAGCCUUUUGUGGAGAGGAGGUUGUUUUAGGAAUAGGUGGUAGUAGAAGAGGGAGAGGGCGAAUAUCAGUGGGAGGUGUUUCGGGUAUGGUUUCCUCUCGCUCCUCCUCCAUAAUUGAUUCUCCAUAGUAACACUUCCAGUAAGGGCUGUACUGUUGAACUUUAGCUUUUAACUAGGGACCGUAAGGAGUUGUUCCAGCAUCGGUGAUCAUAUUCUCCUCAAAAGGGAUGGUGGGGCAAGAGUCAGUAUAAUGGCCCGAUCGUCCACAAGAGUAACAGUAAUGAGGUAACUGUUCAUACCGAAAUUCCAACCACAGAGUUUGAUUUUUGUAUUUAAUUAGUCGACCUACCUUAAAAGGUUCAGAUAAAUUCAACUCUACUCUAGCGCGGCCUGCUUUCAGGGUGGAACUAGUAGCAAAGUCAGACUUAACUUGCAGAACAGGGCCUAUCAGACUAACAGCCUUACGGAUCAUAUCAUCGGUACAACAUUCUAAAGGCAGCCCAAUUACCUAAACCCAGAAUGCACAAGUAGAGAAGUCAUAACAGUGCAGAGGGGUAUUGGCUACCCUGGGUUUAAAAUUUAUAAGGUGUCCCGAGAAUUGCCAAGGGCCUUUGUCUAGAAUUCUCUAUUUUUCAGCUUGAGACCUAAAUUUGGCUAAAUAAAUUCCCGCUUCUCUCUAUAGGAUUUCCACUUGGUCGGACCUCCAUGCCCUCUUCAAGACUGACUAGAAAGCUGGGAAAUUGAAGGAAGGGUUGGAUGGAACUUUACCAAUUGACGGUAGCUUACACUCCUUGACUGCGCCAAGUGCGGGUUCAACUUGCCAUUCUUCAAUUGCUUUUUCUGUGCAUAAUCGGCCCAAUUUUUUACAAAGUGCAGCAACUCAAGAUGCAUCAUCUUCGCUAGCCAUUGAUGAAAUGACGGAUUGCCUUAACAGAUGAAGGUCGUGAACAUAAAAAUAUCGACAUGCGAAAGGAGAAACGGAAGAACCCUAGAGGUGGAGAAAAGAAAACCAGCCAAACAAUCGCUGGCGAGAUGUGUAUGGGUUAACUGAUUAAACUUGUGAAGGAAAGGAGAGAGGAAGAUGAUGAAGAAUUGCCGUUUGCAUGGCGACAGUAAGAUACUGGAGACUGAAGACAAAAGGGUUUAACAGAGAAGAAGAACUCUACCUAAUAGAUAGAGAGGAAACUUGACAAGACGAGAGGGUAAGUGCAUUUGAUGGAUAUUGGAUCCCAUUUGGUUGAGCUGUAUUGCCAAUUUCAGGUGAAUCUCUUCCUUAUAAUUUCCAUAAUGGUUUCUAUGUGUCUACUGUCAGGUGAAGCCACCAUCGAAGAAUCUCCCUCAAAUUGUAAAACCCACUCCCAGACCUCUUCGACCAUCUUCUUCACCACCUCCCUCUCUUCUCUCAGACCUCAAGCCGCCCUCUCUAUCUCCAUUACCAACCCUGACUCUCUCUAUAACCAAUCAUGAUAAUCUGAUGAACUUUCUUAAGUCCAAACUCUCUCUUUCCCUCUCACACCCAGGAGUCUCCUCCAAUUCCUCAAGUGCAAACUCCACCCCAACCCUCAUUUGACCCUCUAUGACUUUUAUAUUCAGUUGGGCCUCCACGAUUGACUCCUAUCACCAUGACCACUCAACAUUUGAGUGGAUGGCUCGCACUCUUGCUAUUUCAAGCCGUUUCGAGCAACUCAAUUCGCUUCUCUAGUUCAUGGCCUCAAACCCUUGCCCUUGCUCUGAUGGAAUUUUCUCAUGCCCUAAGACAGAGCCAAUUUUUCAAUUCUCAAUAGAAGCUUAUUGUAGAGCUCGGAAACCAAAGGAAGCAGUGAUUGCUUUCGAGAAUAUGGAGAAGAUGUGUUGCGAUAGGGUGAGCGAUCGAACAAAAUAUAGACAGAAGAAGAAAAUAAAUCGGACACCAGAUUUACGUGGUUCAAUCGUAAAGACCUACAUCCACGGGGAGAGCAGCAGCCAAUAUCACUAUAGAUCAAGCGAUACAAGGAGAUUACACACUCAAGUCACUCAAAUACUCUCUCGGUGUUUCCCAAACCCCAAUUUAAUCCCAAACCCAACUCACGACACAAAAUUACCACGCGUUCAAGCUCAAAAUACAACGCUCUACGUACGCCUGAUUUGCAUACGCACGAAAUCCCGUAUCUUUUUGAGCUUCGCGCGACUUCGAGCAAUUAGUGAAUGUGCGGCUUGUUGGAUCAUCGAACGUCUGUGGCUUCGUAGGGUUUAUUUCACAGAGACUUCAUGCAAGCCGUCCCACGCACUCUCGCAGAGAAGAAAAUAUAUUGUAUAUAUAUGUGUGCCCAGGAAAGGUCAAAUAAUUGACCUGGGCCCACCAUCCACGUAUUUAGCUUCACACGGCAGAUUCCUCUCUCAGUGGACGUGUGUGUGCGUGUGUGUGCCCAAGGUCAAAACUUUGACCUUGGGCCCCACCAAUAAACCAAUCUUCGCAUGAAGAGGAAAUCCCGUGCAAGAGCUUCGCGAGUUUCGGAUUCCGCAUAAUUUCCGAAGAGGAAAUUCAUAUCUAUUUUAGCAAACGCUCAAACUUGAGUCAUAUUUAACAAUCUCCACCUUGGCUCGACGUUUGAGCUAAGUUGCAAUCGCUUCAUAAAAUUUUCAAAUUCUACUGCUACUUUCCUAUAGCCCCCCGAUGGGCUCAACUGCCACAGAUAUAAUUCAAGUUCAAGCUUCGCUUGAACUUCACCAUAACUGAGGACCUCAUCAGAGUACCAACUCCACAUACACUUUUAACUGCUCCGCAAGGAUUUUCUGACACAACCUCCUUAACCGCAGAUAAAGCAAAACCAUUAUUGCAUCCAUAUCUAUCAAAAGAUCGAAUACGUACAUUGUUAAUUUCAGCAGUUACAGCAACCGUUGGCUCCAUAAGCUCCACCUCGCUACAAAUACCAUAUGUGUCAAUUACUUUGCUAGUACUUGUACUCGCUACCUUAGGAGUUUCUGGUUGCAACUCCACCUCAAGCUGAACACCGUCCAGAUCUGUAUUAACACUGCCACAAACACUCCUAGCCAUAAGUAUUGGAGACUCAUCAAGGGUAACUUCUCUGCUGUUAACAAGUGAAUUUAUAUCUGUGCACCACAACGGAUCACCCCGCUCACCUUGUACAUAGCCAUGGAAUAUGCACCAUGCCCUCCAAUCGAGCUUACCAUCACUCACUCGAAAAUAACAUGGGCAACCAAACAUUCUAAUAAUAGAAUAAUCAGCAACGUUACCUGACAACACUUCUUCAGGAGUCUGCCAUUCAAUAGCAGUUGAUGGGAAUCUAUUCACCAGGUAGCUUACCGUACUUAGCACAUCAGCCAUGAAUCUCCUAGCCAUACCAGCACUAGAGAUAAUUUUUCGAGCAAUCUCUAGUAAUGUUCUGCUCGUCAAUUUUGCAAAUUGUUGUGAUUUAUUGGCACUAGUGCGGUGUUUCACUAUGCUCUCUUUCAUGCAAAAUUUAUUUGCCAGCUUCGAGUAGAACUCCAUGCUAUUGUCAGUCCGCACAUGCUUGAUCGACUUAUCAGUCUCCAUCUCGAUCAAAGCUCUUGACUGCAUGAUCCUAACACCAGCAUCAAACUUGUGCCUUGGCACAAACACCUAGGUCUUCCUCGAGUAGUCAAUAGACUCUCGAACAAAUGCAUUCGACGUCUCCGCAACGAAAUUUAUCACUGUCUCACCUUGAAGUUUAUACAAGCCAUCGUGCUUGAUUCCUUUCAUUAUCACUAGGGCACCUCGAACAACCUUCAGAAUUCCACCUUUUAAAGAAUACCUGCAACCAGCUGAAUCUAGGGCACCCAAGGAAAUUAAGUUCUUUUUCAAUUCCGGAACAUGCCUCACUCCAGUCAAUGUCCUCACGAUACCAUCAUGCAUUCUGAUUUUAACAUCACCAACACCCACAACAUCGCACUCAGCGUUGUUCCCUAACUUGACCUUAUCACUACCCAUGCAUUGAUAAGUGAUAAACCAAUUUCUAUUUGGUGUGACAUGAAAAAAACAACUAGAAUCCAUAACCCAUCCAUCAAGUGAUGAAUCAUUAGUGAUAGACAAGACAUAAUCGGCAUUAUCUGCUACAGCUGCAACAUUAUCUGUAGAAUCAACCAUAAUUCCCUUACCUUUCUCAUUUUUCAGCUUAAGGCAAUCCCUUCUAAGAUGCCCCCUCUUGCCACAGCUCCAACAGACAGCAUUAGUAGUCCUAGAUUGACUUCGUCUGUUCAUAUUAGUACUACCAUUACCCACAUGUGUUACAAAUCUUCCUCUAUUUUCACCUACUAGAGUAGUAGAUACAGAUUCGCCAGAUUCUCUUCUACGAAUGUCCUCGCUCAGAAUCAAAUCUCGAACCCCAUCAAACGUCAAACUUGUUGACCCAGAGGAAUUACUAACAUCAGUAACGGUAGUAUUCCAACUAUCAUGCAAUGAGGAUAAUAGAAUCAAAGCACGUACCUCAUCUUCAAAAUCAAUCUCAAUUGACUAACAAUUACAUUGAAUUCAUUGAUAUGAUCUGCAACUGACGCACCUUCUUUCAUCUUUAAGUUAAAUAGACAUCGCAUCAAACAGACCUUGUUGAUCACAGAGGGCUUCUCGUACAUAUCCGAUAGGGCUUGCAUCAAAUCAGCAGUGGUCUUCUCCUUCAGGAUGUUAAACGCGACGUUACGAGCCAACAUCAGUCGAAUAACACCCAUAGCUCGUCUAUCCAGCAAAUCCCAAUCAGCUUGCUUCAUCAUCUCUGGUUUCUCCCCAAAUAAAGGCAAGUGCAGAUUCAUCUGGUAAAGAUAAUCUUCAAUCUGCAUCUUCCAGAAACUAAAAUCCUUCCCAUCAAAUUUGUUGAUUCUCACUUUUACUUCUUCUGUCGCCAUCGAUUCGCUUCAACUCAGCCAAACCUAGCUCCAAUACCACUUGUUGUGAUAGGGCGAGCGAUCGAACAAAAUAUAGACAGAAGAAGAAAAUAAAUCGGACACCAGAUUUACGUGGUUCAGUCGUAAAGACCUACGUCCACGGGGAGAGCAGCAGCGAAUUUCACUAUAGAUCAAGCGAUACAAGGAGAUUACACACUCAAGUCACUUAAACACUCUCUCAGUGUUUCCCAAACCCCAAUUUAAUCCCAAACCCAACUCACGACACAAAAUUACCACGCGUUCAAGCUCAAAAUACAACGCUCUACGUACGCCUGAUUUGCGUACACACGAAAUCCCAUAUCUCUUUGAGCUUCGUGCGACUUCGAGCGAUCGGUGAAUGUGUGGCUUCUUGGAUCGUCGAACGUCUGUGGCUUCGUAGGGUUUAUUUCACAAAGACUUCAUGCAAGCCGUCCCACGCACUCUCGCAGAGAAGAAAAUAUAUUGUAUAUAUAUGUGUGCCCAGAUAGGUCAAACAAUUGACCUGGGCCCACCAUCCACGUAUUUAGCUUCACAUGGCAGAUUCCUCUCUCGGCGGACAUGUGUGUGCGUGUGUGUGCCCAAGGUCAAAACUUUGACCUUGGGCCCCACCAAUAAACCAAUCUUCGCAUGAAGAGGAAAUCCCGUGCAAGAGCUUCCCGAGUUUUGGAUUUUGCAUAAUUUCCGAAGAGGAAAUUCAUAUCUAUUUUAGCAAACGCUCAAACUCGAGUCAUAUUUAACAAGAUGAUCGAUGGCAAGCCGAGUGCGCUGAGUUAUAAUGCUUUGAUUCAUGGAUUUGUGAAAUGGGGUGACCAUGCCAGGGCUUUGGCCAUCUAUGAUCAAAUGAUAAGGAACAGAGUCAAGCGUAAUGUGAUAACCUUUAAUAUCUUGAUUAGUAGUUAUAGUAGAAAUUUACAGUUUGGAUUGGCUUUGGAGGUGUUUAAGGAGAUGAAGGAGAAGGGUUGCAGCCUAGAUGUGGUCAGUUUCAAUACUUUGAUCAAGGGGUUUUUUCGGGAGAGGAAGUUUGAGGAUGCGAUCGGAAUGGCUUAUGAAAUGAUCGAACUAGGUGUUAGCCGGGUUCACUCCUAUGUAGAGGAGGCCUAAUGAGUUGGAAGCCUAAAAAAGGCUUGAACCCAUAUGAUAAGUUAUAUGAGAAAAUAGAGUUUCGCAUUAUCUAUAUAAAGAGAUAGCUGCAAAAAAGGAAAAGAAAAAGAGAAAGCAGAAAAUUUGGGGUUUUGGGCAAUAUCUGAUUUACAUCAAGCUAGCGUCGGAGGUCGAUCCGUGGUCCGAUUGAGCUAAAAUUUUGUUAGCAUGUUCAUGGCGCAAUUUUAUUGAAUCUGAACGAUUUGAUUUUCAUUUGAAGUUCCCUACAUUAGGUUUUUCGUGGAUUGAUCAAAACUUUCGUUUUUUGUCAGAUUUAUCCUUGAUCUCUUGUGAAGUUCUUGUGUAUUGCCAAGAAUUAUGUUCUUGAGAUCUUUGCUGCUAUGUACCUCUAGUAUUUGCUAGAGAAGAAUAAUUUUGUUGAUAGUGAAGAAUUUCGGGUGGACUCCGGUCCCGUGGUUUUUGAUCUCCUCACAUCGAGGAGGUUUUCCACGUAAAAAUCAUCUUGUGUUCACAUGUUUGGUAUUUACUUUACUCUACUAUAUCGAUUUCUAUUAGGUUUACACAAGAGGGGAGAUUAUUUUAUUUCGCUGCGUUGAUUCGAUAUUGUUCGAAUUAUUACCGUUCUCCCAUCAGAGUGGUAUUAGAGCAUCUAGUUAUUGCUUGAUUUUUCUGCCUUGUGUUAAAUAAUGGAAACGAAUACGAGUGGAAUGGUUACAUUGAAUGGUUCGAAUUAUCAUAUUUGGAAAGAGAAGAUGGAAGAUCUUUUAUAUGUUAAAGAUUUUUAUUUUCCUAUAUUUGCUGAGGAGAAACCAGAGAAUAAAACUGAUGCUGAAUGGUCUAUAUUUCAUUGUCAAGUGUGUGGUUAUAUUAGGCAGUAGGUAGAUGAUAAUGUUUUGAACCAUAUUAUUGAGGAAACACAUGCACACAGUUUAUGGGAUAAGCUCGAACAGUUAUAUGCUCAAUAGAUUGGGAAUAAUAAGUUAUUUUUGAUAAAACAAAUGAUGGCUCUGAGAUAUCAUGAUGGUACUCGUUUGAUUGAUCAUUUAAAUUCUUUUCAAGGAAUAUAAAUCAGUUGGCUGCGAUGGGAAUCAAGUUUGAUGAUAAGAUACAAGCACUAUGAUUGCUUGGUACUUUGCCGGACUCCUAGGAGACAUUCCAAACAUCUUUGUCUAAUUCUGCCCCCAAACGGUACGAUUACCAUGGAUUUGGCCAAGAGUAGUAUUUUGAAUGAAGAGAUGAGAAGGAAGAUACAAGGAUCGUCCUCUUCACAUUCUGAUGCCUUAGUUGUUGAGAAAAGGGGGAGAAGUGAAUCUCGAGGUUCGAGAAAUAGAGAUAAAAUUCGAGAUAAAAGCAGAGGUAAGUAUAAUAAAUUUGCUAAUGUUGAGUGCCAUUAUUGUCAUCGGAAUGGACAUAUUCAGAGGUUUUGUCGCUAGUUAAAAAUGGAUAAACAAAAGGAGAAAGGUAAAGAAAAGACAAGUGAUAAUGACAGUGAUGACAAUCGUGUCGCUGCACUUAAAGAAGAUUUUCUCACUAUUUUUUAUGGUGAUGUGGUGAAUUUUGUAUCUCAUGAGACUAGUUGGGUAAUUGAUAGUGAUGCAUCCGUUCAUGCUACAUCUCGUAGGGAUUUCUUUACAUCAUACAGGUCAGGUGACUUCAUAUUUAUGAAGAUGGGAAACAAUGGACUAGCUCAAGCUGUAGGCAUCGGUGAUAUGUGCCUAGAAACUAGCAAUGACACAAGGUUAGUAUUGAAUAAUAUUAAGCAUAUACCUGAUAUCCACUUGAAUUUGAUUUCUACAAGCAAGUUGGAUGAUGAGGGAUAUUGCAGCACCUUCAGUAAUGGUCAAUGAAAACUCACCAAAGGUUCUCUUGUUGUGGCUAGAGGUGAAAAAUAUUCUUCGUUGUACAUUAUGCAGGCAAAGUUAUCCACAGACAAAAUUAAUGCAGUAGACAACGAAGAUGCAGCUGAAUUAUGGCAUAAGAGGCUCAGUCACAUCAGUGAGAAGGGUUUGUCAAUAUUGGCCAAGAAGAAGCUCCUUUCAGGAUUGAAAAGUUCAGCGCUAAAGAAGUGUGCUCACUGUUUAGCAGGAAAACAUAACAGAGUUGCAUUUAAAAGCUCCCCUCCUUUAAGAAAGUCAGGUAUACUAGAAUUAGUGUAUUAUGAUGUUUGCGGUCCUAUGAAAACAAAAUCACUUUGUGGCUCUCUUUAUUUUGUUACCUUCGUAGAUGAUUUUUCAAGGAAAAUUUGGAUUUAUGCCUUGAAAACUAAAGAUCAAGUGUUAUAUGCUUUUAAGCAAUUUUAGGCUUCAAUUCAGAGACAGACUGGAAAGAAAUUGAAAUGCAUCAGAACUAAUAAUAGGAGAGUGUAUAUUGGACCUUUUAAUGAAUAUUGCAGACAACAAGGUAUUCGACAUCAAAAGACACCUCCCAAGACGCCUCAGUUAAAUGGCUUAGCUAAGAGAAUGAACAUAACACUGGUUGAAAGGAUAAGAUGCUUACUUUCACAGUCAAAGCUACGUGGAUCUUAAGUACAGUUGUGCAUGUAUUAAAUCUUACUCCAUGCGUUCCUUUAGAGUUUGAUAUUCAUAAUAGAGUUUGGACAGACAAAGAUGUUUCUUAUGAUUAUUUGCAUGUCUUUGGGUGCAAAGCAUUUGUGCAUAUUCCCAAAGAUGAGAGGUCUAAACUUGAUGUGAAAACACGACAGUGCAUAUUUAUUGGUUAUGGACAGAAUAUGCUUGGCUACAAAUUUUAUGAUCCGCUUGAAAAGAAAAUUGUAAGAAGCAGAGACAUUGUGUUUUUGGAAUAUCAAACAAUAGAGGAUAUUGAGAAAGCAUAGAUGAUUUCAGCACCACAAGUUAGUGAUAAUCUGGUUGAUUUAGAUCCGGUUCCUCUUACAAAUAUUCCUACACAGUUGAUGAAGAGCAGCAGGAAGUCAAUGUUCCAAAUAACGCACAUGUUCCUGAACAUGUUGAAAUAGAUAAUACUAUUCCUGAACCAGAGGCUCAAUUAGAUGUUCCACUGGAUGUUCUAGUCCGAAGAUUUGUUAGAGACCAACGACCUUUCACCAGGUAUUCUGAGGAUGAGUAUGUAUUAUUGACUGAUGUAGAUGAACCAGAGUGCUAUGCAAAAGCAAUAGAAGAUGAGUACAAAAACAAUUGGUUCAAUGCUAUGCGAGAUGAGAUGCAGUCACUUUAUGAUAAUCAAAAUUUUGAGUUAGUGAAGUUAUUUAAAGGUAAAAGAGCUUUGAAGAACAAGUGGGUAUAUAGGUUGAAGCAAGAUGAACAUACUUUACAACUACGGUACAAAGCUAGAUUGGUUGUUAAGGGAUUCGGUCAUAGAAAGGGUAUUGAUUUUGAUGAUAUAUUUUCUCCGGUAGUAAAAAUGUCUUCUAUCCGUGCGGUACUAGGCUUGGCAACUAACCUAGAUUUGGAAAUUGAACAAAUUGAUGUUAAAACAGCCUUCCUACAUGGUGACUUGGAGGAAGAGAUAUACAUGGAACAACCCGAGGGUUUUAAAGUGAAAGGGAAAGAGGAUUAUGUGUGAAAAUUGAAUAAAGGUCUCUGUAGCCUAAAACAAGUACCAAGGCAGUGGUAUAAGAAAUUUGUGUCAGUUAUGACAAAACAGGGCUAUAAGAAGACUUCCUCAGAUAACUGUGUGUUUGUUGAAAAAUUUUCUGAUGAUGACUUUAUUAUUCUCUUGCUUUAUGUUGAUGAUAUGCUAAUUAUUGGCAGGAAUGCUUCAAGAAUUGAGUUAUUGAAGAAACAGUUGAGCAAGUCUUUUGCCAUGAAAGACUUGAGCUCGGCGAAGCAGAUCCUUGGCAUUAGAAUUACCCGAGAUAGAGAUGCUAAGAAGUUAUUUUUGUCGCAAGAGAAAUAUAUCGAGAAGAUCCUUCAGAAAUUUUACAUGGACAAGACUAAAGUGAUUAGUACUCCUCUUGCUACCCACUUUAAGUUAAAUAUGAAGCAAAGUCCUACGACUGAUAAAUAAAAGAAAGAUAUGGAAAGUGUUCCAUAUGCCUCAGUUGUAGGAAGCUUAAUGUAUGCGAUGGUAUGUACACGCCCAGACUUGGCGCACACAGUUGGCAUUGUUAGUCGCUAUUUGUCAAAUCUAGGCAAAGAACACUGGAAUGCAGUGAAGUGGAUUAUGAGGUAUCUUCGGGGAACUUCAAAUUUGAAACUCAGUUUCGGGACCGGGAAGCUUGAGUUAGUUGGAUACACAGAUUCUGACUUGGCAGGAGAUAUUGAUACUCGUAAAUCUACUUCUGGUUAUUUGAUUUCUUUUGCGAGUGGAGCUGUGUCAUGGAAGUCAAGAUUGCAGAAGUAUGUUGCACUUUCUACAAUCGAAGCUAAAUUUAUUGCAGCGACUGAAGCUAGUAAAGAAAUGCCAUGAAUGAAGAAGUUCUUAGAAGAACUUGGGUUCAAGCAAAAGAGGUAUGUGCUAUUUUGUGAUAAUCAAAGCGCAAUUCAUCUUGGUAAGAAUUCAUCUUUCAUUCUAGAUCGAAACAUAUUGAUGUUAGAUAUCAUUGGAUAAGGAAUGUUCUAGAUGAAAAGUUAUUGGAACUUGAAAAAAUUCAUACGGAUCAUACUGGCUCUGAUAUUAUGACAAAGACUCUACCAAAAAAGAAACUUGAACAUUGCCAAUUAAUAGCAAGGAUGGUGAAUCGCUCCACAUAUGUCGUGAGGGGGAGAUUUGUUAGCUGGGUUCACUCCUAUGUGGAGGAGGCCCAAUGAGUUGCAAGUCCAAAAAGGGCUUGAGCCCAUAUGAUAAGUUAUACGAGGAAAUAGGAUUUCUCACUAUCUAUAUAAAGAGGUAGCCACAAAAAAGGAAAAGAAAAAGAGAAAGCAUAAAAUCUAGGGUUUGGGGCAAUAUCUAAUUUACAUCAAGCUGGCGUCGGAGGUCGAUUCGUGGUCCGAUUGAGCUGAAAUUUUGUCAGCAUGUUCGUGGCACAAGUUUAUCAAAUCUGAACCGUUUGAUUUUCGUUUGAAGCUCCCUAUAUCAGGUUUUUUGUGGAUUGAUCAGAACCUGCGUUUUUUGUCAGAUUUAUCAUUGAUCUCUUAUAAAGUUCAUGUGCAUUGCCAAGAAUUAUGUUCUUGAGAUAUUUGCUGCUAUGUACCUCUAGUAUUUGCUAGAGAAGAACAAUUUUGUUGAUAGUGAAGAAUUUGGGUGGACUCCGGUCCCGUGGUUUUUGAUCUCCUCACAUCGAUGAGGUUUUCCACGUAAAAAUUGUCUUGUGUUCACGUGUUUGGUAUUUAUUUUACUCUGCUAUAUCGAUUCCUAUUAGGUUUACACAAGAUUGAAGAUUAUUUUAUUCCGCUGCAUUGAUUUGAUAUUGUUCGAAUUAUUACCAUUCUCCCAUCACUGGGGUGCCAGCUGUCAAGUGCGACUUGUGAGAUUUUGGUGGAUGGCCUAUCUAGGGAAGGUAAAGUGGCUGAGGCAUGUGAAUUGUUGAUUGGUUUUUCAAGUAAAAGAGUGUUGCCCUGAGGAGUAUGAUUAUUUUGGCCUUGUGGAAGCUUUGUGCAGUUCAAGCAAUUCUCAUAGAGCAUUUGAUGUUAUUACUGAUCUGUGGAAGACGGGGAAUAUUCCAAGCUUGAUUGCUUGUACUGCUUUGGUGGAAGGAUUGAGGAAGCAGAAGACAAGGGAAGAAGCACUUGCUUUGAUGGAAAAUAUGCUUAAAGAAGGUAUUGUGCCAGACAUUGUGACGUUUAAUUGUUUGCUUGAGGAUCUUUCUGAUAUAGGGAAGACUGUGGAAGCAAACAAAUUGAGUUUGUUGGCGCAAAGCAAGGGUUUGGAACCAGAUGGCAUGACGUACAGGGUUCUGGUAUCUGGUUUUACGAGAGAAAGAAAGAGAAAGGAGGGCCAGAUUCUGGUAGAUGAAAUGUUAGACAAGGACUUUAUACCUGAUCUUGCAACGUACAAUAGAUUGAUUGAUGGACUUUCAAACUCAAAAAUUACUUCUAGGAAGAAAGGUUGAAGAUGGGUUAGGAUCUUAUUUUCAACUUGGUUUCUUGAAUGCUGGCAUCUGUUUGCAAACACCCUCAUGCUUUGUGCUUGGUUUGCCAAUCAGUUCUAUCACUUUGGGACAAAGCGGGUUUAUGGCUAUGUUUCAGUUGGUUGAGGACAAUGUACAGCCUGGGAGCGAGCAGAACAGAUACUGGUACGUGCACAAAACAACGAGUGGAAAGGAACGAACUUCGCAUUGAACUGUAUGAAUCGUAAAGCCAGGAGAGCAGAUUGUGAUGCUCAGCAAGAGAUGAUGCGGAUAAGUAGUGCCCAGACGACAUCUAGGAGGUAUGAAUCAUGGUAACGGUGAUAAGCAUUAAUCCUAAGAUAUGAGAGAGUUGGAAAGUUUGAGUGACUGAGAAUAGUUUAUUGGGAUUGUAUUUGUAUAUAGACGUGAUUAAUAAUGAUACCGAUGAGCGUGUAUAUUAUAAAAGCUGCAGAAGAUGAACAUUGAAUUUUCUGGCAGAUCUCAAACUGAUAUCAAUUAAUCAAAUGAGGAAAAGCUUAGGGUAGAAAAUUCAUGCAAAUUCUGAAUUGGGCUUUGCUAUAUAUUAAGAAGCACCGACAUUCUCUGGAAGCCUCCAUGUCAUAUCUGACACUCCGACACGUGAUCAACUCUUCCCGACACACGAAUUCGAAAUUCUGACACGCAACUCCAACACGCACGGGGUCAAUUUUAAAAAAUUUCAAUACUUGAGGAGUCAAAAUAUAAAUAUAUGAAAAAAUAAUGAAAAUAACAAAAAUAAAGAGGAAAUAAGAAAAUUUGCACUCUCGAGUUUCUCAUUUAUAAAUUUUGACAUUCUCGUGAGUGACGAUGAACGCUCCUCUUCUCGCCGACAUCGCUCUGCUGCCCCCGCAGAGUUAAAGUUGGAAUUUUUUUUCUUCUUUCCACCUCUCGCAAGCGUCACUUGCGAGUUAUCUCUUUUGGUCACAUUUUCCAUAGCAAAUUUAGUUAUUUCCUUUUCUUUUGGUCGUACUCUAUUUUGUAGAGGAGCUCAAGCCAAUCUAUAUCAUGAACUCCAAACCUAGUCUGGGAUUAUAAGAAAUCUCAUUAAUUUCCAACAAGUGUGAGAAAACAGGACAUGUUCCUUCAAAUUUACUCUUUUGUGUUUGCAAUUUUUGAAUUUCUCCUUAAAUCUCUCUCAAAUUAAAACAAUAAAUGAUAUUAACAAAUAUUGGAUUAAUACUUUUAGUAUAAAUUAAGUAUAUGCUCUUAUUUAUUUAUUUAUUUUUGUAUUUAUAUAUAAUUUGUCGGAAUUCUCUACUUUUUUUUAUAAAUAACGUAUUGGCAUGUCAUAUCGUGUCGUGUUGUGUGUCGCGUAUCCGUGUCGGUGCUGCAUAUAUAACUUGUGUGAGAUGGACCCUAGCAAAGAGAUUUCUUAGGAUUGAAAGUAAUGCAGAAAAGAGAAGGCAAGAGCCAAAGCUGUUAAAACAAGGUAUAAAAUCAUGAACUAUCAGGUUGGCAAAGCUGUCAAGUACUCGAUAUUGAUAGAACAAAUUAGGCACUUUAUUGGUGGUGACACUGCCCUAAUAAUGCCCUUUUUCUGUGCUGCUCAUCGAUGAAUCGGUUGAUGAGAAAAAUAAUCCCCUAACUUCACAAAUUCGGUAAGACAAAAACUCCACGAGUGGCUCAAAUAUAAGAUUGUUUGAACUUGAUGAUAUAAUCAGUAUGCCUUAUCCAUGCAUACAUAUGUUUCUUUGUUCAGUGGGUGCAAGUGCUGCCAUUAAACUUUAGUUUUACAUUUUAUUAAAUGUAACACCAUAAAAAAGUUUUAUCUUUCUGAUAAGCUCUGGACCCUCUAGAUUACCAAAUUAAGACGACUCGUUUCAACUUUUUAACAGAGGAUAAAUUCAAAUCACAGCAAUAGCUUAGGAUUUUUUUUAUAAGACAAAAAUUAGUAUUUUGGAUUUUUGUUAGGCUAAAAUUUUGGAGUAAACGUAUCAUGAGAGCACAAUUUUUUUUUUUUUUUGGGGGGAGGGGGGGUUGGGUUUUGAGACGAAAAUUAGUUUGAGGUACAUGUAUCAUAGGAUACUAAUUUGGGAUUUUUAAUCAUAUUAACCCUUGGCAUAAUGAUAUAUACAUAUAUAUAUAUAUAUAUGUAUAUAUGUAUGUAUGUAUGUAUGUAUGUAUGUAAUUUUGGAUAUCAAACACCAAAUUUAUCCUUAUGAUUUCUUAAAGUAAAUCUACAUAACAAACAUCACUUCAUAUCACAAACUGUCAUAAUCAAGUACAUGCAUAGGAUCUGAGGCAUGCUCAAAUCAUUACAAUAGAUAGGGAUAACAUUAGUGAAUCACAUGAUAGUAUAACAACAACGAACUCACUACAUAGCUUCAAGGAGUAGGAGUGGAAAUAGACAUGUCUUUCGGAAUUGUGGGAACGAAUGGUAGCGUUGGCUUAGGGAAAUAAGGGAGAUGAGGUAGUUUGGGCACUUUUGGUAAUUAUGGAUUUGGUAUUGCUGGUAAUUCUGGCUUGGGCAAUUCAGGAAGCGACGGCAAUUCAACUUUUGGCAAAGAUUGCAAUUCAAGCUUUGGCAGUUCAGGGAGCGGCGGCAAUUCGGCUUUUGGCAAAGAUGGCAAUUCUGGCUUAGGCAGGCUCACAAUGUCAGGAAGAUGAGGCAAUUCGGGUUUGGGCAGUUCAGGCACUUCUGGUAAUUCUAGCUUCGGUAUUGUUGGUAAUUCAGGCUUUGGAAGUUCAGGAACCGAUGGCAAUUCAACUUUUGGCAAAAAUGGCAAUUCUGGCUUGGGUAGGCUCGGAAUGUCGGGUAGGUGAGGUAAUUCAGGCUUAGGUAAUUCAGGCACUUCAGGCAAUUCUGGCUUGGGCAAGCUCACAAUGUCAGGAAGAUGAGGCAAUUCAGGUUUGGGCAGUUUAGGCACUUCUGGUAUUUCUGGCUUCGGUAUUGUUGGUAAUUCAGGCUUUGGAAGUUCAGGAACCGACGGCAAUUCAACUUUUGGCAAAGCUGGCAAUUCUGGCUUGGGUAGGCUCGGAAUGUCGGGAAGGUGAGGCAAUUCGGGCUUAGGUAAUUCAGGCACUUCAGGCAAUUCUGGCUUGGGCAGGCUCACAAUGUCAGGAAGAUGAGGCAUUUCAGGUUUGGGCAGUUCAGGCACUUCUGGUAAUUCUGGCUUCGGUAUUGUUGGUAAUUCAGGCUUUGGAAGUUCAGGAACCGACGGCAAUUCAACUUUUGGCAAAGAUGGCAAUUCUGGCUUGGGUAGGCUCGGAAUGUCGGGAAUGUGAGGCAAUUCGGGCUUAGGUAAUUCAGGUACUUCAGGCAAUUCUGGCUUGGGCAGGCUCACAAUGUCAGGAAGAUGAGGCAUUUCAGGUUUGGGCAGUUCAGGCACUUCUGGUAAUUCUGGCUUCGGUAUUGUUGGU